rnacentral:lncRNA from 1 species
AAAUACGAGUCUGCUUCACCUAACCAAAACACACACAUACUCCAUCUCUAAAUGCUUUGAAGAUAAACAAAUCAACCGUAAUCCUGCAACUUUAGCUCAGAGAAUCGGAUAAGAAAAGAACAGGUGAUGAAUCAAGGGUAAUGGCGCCGAGUGAGUGUCGCCUGCGGUCGGCGUUAGAGGCGACUGUCACUCAAUCGCGUACAAGGUUAGUCUUUGAAAAAACUCUUUGCACGUUAGAAAUCAGUGAUUGGGCAUUAUUUUGUUGUUUAAAAAUGAAAAUGGGUUUAUUAGUUUGUCGAAGAAUCUGCUCUGUUGCCGGUGUUGUUUGUUGAUUAAAAUGAAAAUGGGUUUGUUGAUGUGUUGAAGAAGUUGCUCUACUGCUGGUGUUUUUUUAUUAAUUAAAAUGAAAAUGGGUUUGUUAAUUUAUUGAAGCAGCUGCUGGCAUUGUUAUUGUGACUUUAUUUAUCCAAUUGAUGAGCUUAUGAGCUAAUAGUAUUGUUUGAUCAAGCUUGUGUUCUUAAUAGUGGAGUUGAUAUUCUUAAAAAUGAAUUUAUGAUUAUGAGAAUAUGAAAAUUGAAUGGCAUCAUAGAGAUCUAGAUUAAUCACCAUCGUAUAUGUUUCUAAAUAAAGGAAUAAGCAGCAACUGAUUUGAAACUUAAGACUUUAGGGAUAUGUAUGUGCAACUGAAUGAAUCAUCAGUUGCUAUCUUGUAAGUCAAUACUAGCAUAUUACUUAAUGGCAAGUGAAACUAUUUUAUGUGUAUUGCUGCCUAUCAAAAUGUUUAUGUUUGAAGUUAUCUCCUUUUAGGAAAUUGAAUGCUUCUGUGAGUUCUCUGGUAAGGGCUAUACAACUAGUUCUAAUAGAUUCCUUCAUGUGCAUUAAUUAGCUUAGUAGUUUAUUGACCUAUAUCCAAUGUCUAUUCCCCUUUUCUGUAGCCGUCUAGUUUUAUGAGCAUGUGAAGUGAACUUUUGUUUUAUGUUUCAGGACUUGGGAUUAGAGUGUAUAACAUUCAAUAUCUUUUUAUCAAAGAACUGAUAUAUGUCAAUGUAGUGCGAUCUGGUCUUUAUUAGCUUCUUGAUUUGCCAGGAUGUUUGACAACCAUCUUUGACCAUGAUUGCCAACAUAUAAGCUGCUACAUAGUGUCUCAGGAAUCACAGCAAAUUAUUAUCAUAAUAUGGUGAUUUUGAAUCCAAAACUUGGUAGUGUCAAGAAAAUAGACCCCUGUUUAUUUAUCUUCAUGUUUUGUAUGCGGCUGCAAUAGACUAUUAUAAGUUACUUUUAGUUUUAUCAAGUUUUUUUUCCUUAAAUUUCAUCGAGUCUUGGAGUCUUUGUAAUAUAGAGUCUAAGUGAAGAAUACUUGGGUGAAAUCUUGUAUUCUCUCUUCCAGUAAUAUAAUCAUCCUUUGUGUUUUUAUCUUUUUAUUUUGGAAUCAGAGCAUACUUUAUUAUAGAAGGACUUAGACUCUAUAUUACAAAGACUCAGCGGUUUCUUUUAACUGAGUUAAUAGUGUUGUUAGGUUAAACUAAGUUUGGCUUCAUAAGAUUCAUAGUAGAGUGUAGAACUGGGUACAAUGUUGGGUUAGACAAGUCAAAAGUCUUAUCAAGUAAUUGUUCUGCUUACUGAUUUGGUAAUUGCAACAUUGCUAAAUAGUUCAAUUUGUCCUUUUAUUUUGUUGAAUUUAUUGUAUGUCAUAUUACUUCAUUUAAUUAUUUUCUCAGAUCUUGUAGGUGAAAAUUUCAGCUUCAAAGGCCAAGCUAAUCAUCCAGCAAUUCAGUGAAACCAAGACACAGUGGCUCAUAAAUUGUUGUUGGUGAUCCAGCCAUUCGGGUGCUUGCCAGUCCUAGACGAGAAAACUUUCAACGCGGCGCAUAAAUUGUUGUUGAUCUACUUUAUAUAUUUUGACCUUUGUGAUUUGUGAAUACAUGGUUUGAUUCCAGUGUUUACAACUUUGAUACUGUGUAUAACUUAAAAAGCAAAUGAAACAAGUAGGAAAUGUGUUUUUAUUUUUUUUAUUCGAUCUAUCUAUUUAUUUUUUGUUUGGAAAUGUAACAAUUUAUAGCUGGCAAAGUACUAGAGUUGUAUACUUGUAUUUAAUUCAUUAUUAUUAUUUUUUUAAUGACUCAGUAAUGUCAUUGUCCAUGGUGUUCUGUCAUUUCGAAAGUACUUGACCCUUCCACGCUAAGGCACAUUACAGUAGCCGAAAUUUUGAGCUUUCAGUUCUUGAUUUUAGCGUGAGGGGUAUCUUUGUCUUUUCAGUUGUCAACAAACAAUUGGGGGGGGGGGGGGGGGCGGUGGUGGAGAUACGCUGAUACUUUCUAUCAUACUGGAGAUACACCUAACCUCAGGGAAGGAAACUGAAAUUUCACCUUUACGACGGGUGGACUUGGGUCAAACUUUCAUAUUUUAAUCAAGUAGGUCGAUCACGAUUCAAGCUUCAGUCAUAAGCCUUUCGUUAUGAUUGAUAUUAUUCUUUCUUGAUAGUAUCAUGGAAAAUGCAAACGAAAAGUCAGCAUCUUUGAGUUUUGUCUCAUCAUAUCCGACUUGUUGGUCUACUAAUCAAUCGACAGGCCCUUUUGAUCUUGAUAAUUUGAACUUAAGGAGGCAAAGCAGCAAUCCUGAAGAGCCAUUGCUUGAUGCUGAGAUCGUUGUUGACGGCAAAUCAGUGGCAGUUAAUCGCAGCAUAUUGUCUGCACGCAGUCGUUUUUUUCAUUGGCUUUUUCAUUUGAGCAGUGAUGGUUCUGUGAGUGAGGGGAAACCCAAGUAUCUUAUGACUGAUUUGGUGCCUUAUAGGAAGGUUGGAUAUGAAGCUUUUAAUGAUAUCUUGCAUUAUCUUUACACUGGAAUGCGUAAGGCACCUCCUUCAGAAGUGUUCACGUGUGUUGAUGAUACUUCUGUCUGUAGGCUUCAUAGAUUUGUUCAAGCCUUCAAGGAUGUCUAGCUGUUACUUACCGCCCAACAAUGGUGCUACAUUUCUAGUGAAUGAUAUGUUAUUCUACAUCUGUAUAUUGCGACUUUGACAAACUUCGCCUUUCCUUUGUUGAUUCACUCGUCUCACUUUUUUUAAAUUGCCCGAUUAUGAAAUGGUCUAUUGGAGACUAGCAUUGGAAGGUUUCUUCUGGAAAAAAAAUUUUACUUGACCACCAAUUUUCAUUUAGGUGGGUGUCAGUUCAUUCUCUGGCUUGACUGUUCUGUUAUUUAGGUUGUUUUAUCCGUAUUUCCUCACUCACUUGAUACUGAGUUUUCUCAUGCUUUCAAGCUCAACAGUGAAUGCGAAUGCGAGAGAUUCUCUUUCUUCCCGUCCAGGCUACAACGUAGCAAAUUGUUAAUGCUGUAGAAUAACAUCUUGUGUAGGCGAGCUUAUGUCUCUGUGAACAUUGGUCCAUCGGCAUUUAGGUUCAAUAAGCAUGGCACUGAUUUUCCCCCUCAUUAUUAUUUUCCUGAACAGGUUAUCCCCUUUAAGUAUUUGAAUUUUGAAUAUAUUAUUCUGAAUCAAAACUCUAUCUGUCCGUGUAGCAUUUUAUAUAUGCUUUAUGAUGUUUACCAAUAUUUACCCACUAUGGGGUAUUUGAAUUUUGAAUAUAUUAUUCUGAAUCAAAACUCUAUCUGUCCAUGUAGGAUUUGUUUCUGAACAAGGCUGAGGAUGCUCUUGUGGAAGAUGUAAUCCCAAUUCUCGUGGCUGCCUUCCAUUGCCAAUUGAACAAGCUUCGUUUUUUCUGCAUCCAGAGAAUUGCAAGGUCAAAUCUUGACAAUGUUUGUCUUGAGAAAGAGCUUCCUGAUGAAGUUUCAAGAGAAAUCAAAUCACUCCGUGUCAAAUCUAACCAGGAGUCUGAAGCUACUAUAGCAGAAGUGGAUCCUAUGCAUGCAAAAAUAGUCAGAAGAAUCCACAAGGCGCUGGACUCUGAUGACGUUGAACUGUUGAAGCUUCUUCUGGAUGUAUCUAACGUCACUCUGGAUGAUGCUUACGCUCUGCACUAUGCUGCUGCCUACUGCAGCCCUAAGGUUUUUAAGGAAGUUCUCAAUAUGGGCUUGGCUGAUCUCAAUCUUAAGGAUGCAAGAGGACGUAUGGUGCUUCAUGUAGCUGCAAGGCAUAAGGAGCCAGCAGUGAUGGUGGCCCUGCUGAGCAAGGGAGCAUGCGCAUCAGAAACUACAUCAGAUGGGCAAACAGCUUUAGCAAUCUGUCGAAGAAUGACAAGGUGAAAGGAUUAUAUUGAAGCUACAAAGCAGGGACAGGAAACUAACAAAGACCGGUUAUGAAUUGAUGUCCUUGAGAGAGAGAUGAGAAGGAACUCCAUGUCUGGGAACUUGGCAAUGUCAGCAGAAGUGAUGGAUGAUGAUUUCCAAAGGAAGCUGGACUAUAUGGAAAAUAUAGGUGAUAUUUUUUUACUGGUAUUAGUUCAUCACCUUCUCAGAGUUUGUGCAUAGCACACUUCUUUCUACUGUUUUUUUGUCCCUUCAUCUGGAAAAUAAAGGUGAUAUUCCUUUGCUGGUAUUAGUAAAUCAUCUUCUCAGAGUUUGUGAGUCCCUUCAUCAUAGGAUCUCAAACACACAUGGGCUUCUCAGAGUUUGUGAGUCCCUUCAUCAUAGGAUCUCAAACACACAUGGGCUCAUUGCUUGGAGCACACUGUUGGCCAGUCGUGUGAUUUGAUCCCUUUUUUGGAAUAGACAACUCUGAAUCCAUCUGAUCUAAGCUUGGCGGUUUGCACUGAACUGGUUUUUGAUGAAUAAUUGCACAAGACUUUGUCAUCAAAACUUUCAUUUUUUGGUUUUUUUGCCCCAAAAGUAAUGAGGUACAAAAAAAUCUAUGCCUAUCCUGGAUGAGUGCCAUAACAGCUUCUUAAUAUUUCGCAGUGGCUUGUGUACGGUUGUUUCCUUCUGAAGCUAGAGUAGCUAUGGAAAUAGCAGGUGCAGAUACAACCACUGGCCUUUCAGCAUUUGGUCGGAAAGGACUUAGUGGGAACUUAAAGGAGGUUGAUUUGAAUGAAAUGCCCUCUAUGCAAGCCAAAAGAUGCCAAUUGAGACUGCUCACUCUGCUUAAAACAGGUAUUUAUAUACUUUAUUCACUUUUGCACCUUUCUAUUUACUGAUUAUCUUUAUAAUUAAAUAAUACAUGUAUCCAGGUUUCUCCUUCCAUUUCAUUAGAAGUAAAAUUGGAAUCUCUUUAUAGUGCUCUGUUAGGUGUAAUCAGAUGUAUCAAAAGAGAAAGGGUAAUUGUUAGUACAUUGAUAACUCAACAAAAUGGUAGAACCUUUCUUUAUACCACUAAAGACAUUUGUUGCAGGUGUGCCUACAUAAUCGGUGUCCUUUAAAACUUUCAAGGAGUUAGCAAUGCCUAACCCUUGAAACACUAAAUCUCACGGGAUCAACUCUUUACCUCUAGACCGAAGGUGUGACACCCAGACCCAAUUAGGGCUUAGAACACAUAUCGAAUCUGAGCGAAACUAAAUGCUUGUAAAUCCAAAUCUCCAAAAUAUCAAAAGGUCGUCUACUUUCUCUUUUCAUGAAUUUCACAAAAUUUUGAAAAAUUUAUUCUCAAUCAUAAACUAUGCGCAGCUAAUUAAUCAGUAUAUCAGUAUACAACAAUACUUCCUCGUAAGCAAAUAAAUCUUACAAUCCUUCUUACAUGAUUUUUUUUAAAAAAAUACUUCUAUAAGUCUUCUAAAUACAAACAUAAACUGAACUCAACUGCUAAAACUAUGCCAAAAUACAAGCUUCAAUCAGUAAUACACGUGAAUAUUUAUUAAAAACAUCUAGCUACAAACCUUAUGAAAGCUCAAUCCUUCCGAAGCAUUCUUAGAAUUAAUAAUUUCUACUAUCUGUGAAAAAUAAUUGACAGGGGUCAGCUGUUAACUCAAUCCGUAGAAACAUUCAUAACGAACAAAAAGAAUUCUUUGUGCAAUAUUUUCAGAAAAUUCAUUUAACCUUUCAAAUGAAACAGAGUAAUUUUUCAAACACAGUCAGGAUUUAUAUAAAACAUAAACGUUUCAGACAAGCUUUUUGGAACGUAAAUUUUGCUUCUUUGAACAGAAAGUUAUACAUUAGUUUGAUUUUAAAGGGAGGUUAUUGGCAAGUUAAAAUUGGCAGUUGUGGUAAAAGGGUAAUAGCAGUUAUAAAAUCUCUUUUAAAACAAAUUCAAAUCAGGUUUUAAAUUUUAGGAGUACUUAAUUCAAUAAAAUAUAGAAUAAAUAAAGCUUUCAAUGAAACAAAACUAAGUAAAUUCAUUUAAAGCAAAACAGGAUGCGAGCAUUACCUAAGGGUUCUUGACCAUACUAUGUUUACCCGCAGUCACAUAUCUGGGACCUUGUUAUUUGGAGACAAGACUUGAUUGUGCCAUGUUUUCCGCAGCCAGAUAUCUUUUACUUCAUUAUUUCCUAGACAUCUGUGGAUAACAGAACCCUAAGCCUAUUGAGAAUAAAUUCUGUAAUCCAAGACUCUUCAGUCCUUUCAUUUGUGGCUAAUUAGUUAUAAAAUUUGUGAAUUUCAUGCCCCACGCCCCUUGCAAAAUGUAUUUUAUAUCCUUAAGAUGCCGGUGGAUGAACUGAAAUAAUAAAAAAUGGAAAACAGACUUAAUGUUGAUAGCAUUUCUUAAGAAAAACUUGGGAUGUUUAUAAUUUUCUUAGAGCAUUUGCUGAACUUUCUGUGAUCGCAGUCGAGACGGGUCAACGCUACUUCCCUAAUUGCUCAGAAGUGGUUGAGAAGUUUAUGUUUUUCAACCCCGCUAAUUGCUCAGAAUUGGUUGAUGAGUUUUUGGAUUGUGAUUCGGCCGAUGCUUCCCUCCUAGAAAAGGGUACUCCUGAAGUGCAGAAACUCCAAAGGGCAUGCUUCAUGAAACUUAAAGUAGAGAUGCCGGAGGCAGUCUGCAAGGACGUGGCUUAUCACCGUCGCUCAGGGCUGCCAUCAUCCUGGUCGGCAUUUUACAAGUACAUGGCUGAGAGCAAUCGUUCAGGUAUGCCGGCAUCCUCGGCAUCGAGCAAUUAAGCAUCACCUUUCCCUAAAAGAUAUAUUUGACACCUGGGACACUAAAAGAGUUUAGUGAGCUCGAUUGGUACUUGUGGAGAUACCCAGAGCCUAUGUUACGGCUAUGUAUUGUCAAGUAGCAGAGAAAUUUUAAUGAAUGAUGGAUGAUUUUCUUGUGACUCUUUUGGUAACAAUCAUGUAACGAUUUCAGUAAUGUUAACAUUAUCGCAAUUUUCUUUUUCUUCAAGUAAUCUGGCAUUUAUCAAUUAGGUUGUAGAAUUUAUUAUAUUGUCUGGAGUCACACGAGGGAAAACUUUAGGUGCAACUGUGGUACCGUGCAACAGUAGCAUCCAGCCGUUAGAUGUCAGUGGACCCCAUCAAUCUAAGUGCAUCCAAUCGCUAGAUGCAACUGUGGCACGGUGCCACAGUUGCACCGUAGCCUGUGUCACACGAACGCAUAACAUUGAUGGAAUGGAUCACGUUAUCAUGAACGUAUAAUUAACAUCAGUUGCUGAACAAACUUUGCCUUUCAAUUUUGUAGACAUUACUAUCUCAAAUUUUCUAUUAUCAUAAAUGAGAUUUUAGGUAAUCUUUAAAAAAAAAAAACUAGAGAUUUCUUUUAUUUUUCCUUAAAAAAUGAAGAAAAAUUUAGAAAGUAGUGAGAGACGGAGAAUUAAAGCAAUUUUAUUCACAAAUGUAAUGUGCUUGGAGUAGCAAUACAAACUAACAAAUUAUAAUUUAUGAGAUUAGUUUACAAAAUCUUAUAUAUAAAAUUAUAUCCUCUAAAUAAAAAUAUUCUCACCUCUUUGGACUUAUCAUUUAUGAUGCGUUUGAGAUUGAGGUGCUGUAACUUUUAAACUACAGUUGCUGUGGAAAAAAUAUUAUAAUUAUGAAAUAAAAGUUAGUAAUAUUUAAUAAAUAUAAAUUUAAAUAGUAAUUUUGACAAAUUUAUUAAAGAUAUAAUAGAUUUUCUAUCAUACAAGUGAAAAAUCAUAUCAGCAUAGCUUCCAAGUUACAACAAUUAGUGUUUACCAAACAUUUUAGUACUGUAGUUUAAAGUUGCCCAACCUCAAUUCCAAACACACCCUUAGAUGCCCUUUCUACAAUCUCUCUAGCGAUAAACACAUUUUUAUAAAAUAAAACAAAAAAAAUUAUAUAUAAUUGUCAAGAGGAAUCUUACUAAAAUGGUCUCUCAUAAAUUUUUCUCUAAUUUGAGAGAUAGUGGGGAGUGGGGUUAAAGUGCAUCAACAUAGAAUUAAAAUUUUUUUUUUAAUUUUUUUAACUAUUUUAAUUAAAAGUAGCAGUUAUUCUUUUUAUUAUUGUUAUUCCAAUUAUCUAAAAAUCAAGUAACUGGGGAUCAAAUUAAGUAGUUCAUUAAAUUUUUUAAAUGACGUAUGAUAUGGUGUAUGGAGUUUUUAUACAUCUAUUUAAAUAGUAAAAUAUUUAAUUUUGCUUGUCGUAAAAUUUUAAUUUACGUGGGUUAAAAAAGAAAAAAAGAAAAAAAGAAAAAAGAAAUUGACUUAACAAUUAUUGAAAGACUAAAUAGAAAAUUGUAGUUGCGUGGGAAAACUCUGGGGAAAAGGGCUCCUGAUUUCCUUUCCCUGGCUUCGUGCGUCUCCUUUUGCCCUUUCGAGCACGAUUGCACGAAUUCGAAUCCAAUUCUUGAUAAUAAAGAUAUAAUAUUAUUAUAAUGCUAAUAAUUAACAUUAAAAUAUUAAAAAAUAAGGGAAAAAAAAUCCAAAUUUUUACUGGUAUAUAACUCAGAGCCAAAGCGAUGGCGAAACAUCAAAUUGUUUUUGUUUCAACCUUCGCGCAACUUCCGGUGACAUAAUCUCUGUCUGUUUCAGGUAAAUACCCAAAACUAAACUUUGCAUGUAUUAUUAUUGUAUUUUUGUUAUUCAUUCACAUAUUCUUCUUUUCUUUUCUUUUUUUCUUUUGCUGUAAGUUUUUAUGAGACACUCUGUUUCAGUUCUGUUUCUGGUUUUGUUUCAGUUUAACAUUAUUGGUUCCGUUCGGUUCUGUUCUGCUCUGUUCUCUGUUGUAUGUAUAUAUGUAUAUAUUUUUGGCCUCGAAUUGCUUUGAUCACCGGUUUUGUUAUUCAUUUAUCCUGAAUUUUAGAUACCCGUAAAGCUUGUUUGGCCAUGUGUUCACUUGAUUGUUACAUUCAGCUGUCAUUUUCAUGGUGGGUUUGUAAGAUAGUCUCUGACUAACAUAUGGCAUUGAUUAUGAAUGACGGUUUUUGUUAAAAGUCAUGGCUGGCACCGGCCAUCUAGAUGGCCGGUGCCAACCAUUCAACCAUUCAACACGGCCCGCCAUUAUUGGUGGUGCCGUGUUGACUUAUUCUAUAAAAAAAAAAAAAAUAAGCCAAAAUUUUGGCUAUAUAAAGAGGGCUUCCCACCCUCAUUUUUCAUCCAAUUCCAUUGAGAGAGAAGCAUUGCUUUCUUUGAGUGUUGAGAGUUUUAAGAGUUUAAUAAACUCUUGAGUGUUUAGUGUUUUGAGAGUUUGGGUGUAUUGGGAUUUUGGGAAGUGAGCUAAAAUACUACAAUACUUGUAACUCCUUUUCACUAGUAAAAUAUUUCCUUCUGUCUUCGCCCGUGGACGUAGGCUAAAAGCCGAACCACGUAAUUUUCUGGUAUUCUCUUUUAUGCUUUUUCUUUAUUUUUCUUCUAAUUUUACUUUAGCUGUGUGUCUGCUUCACCCACCAAUUUCCUAACAGUUUUUUGAGAUACAUCACACCGCCGUUAACUCUUUUUAAUGUGUACUUAUGUACUUACUUCAUUCAAAAGAUUAGUGUUUUUCUCUUUUUUUUUUUUAAAAUGAAAUGCCCCUUUUCGCAUUUUAUAGGUGAAAGGAAGAAACAUAAUAUCGCAGAACUAGAAUAAAGGAGCCUAUUCCGGUACCUAUUGUCCAAGGAAACUUCUGUAUAUUCUGUAGGAACUACCGAACUACCAUGGAAGUCAAAUCUUACCAGAGCCAGGCGGAGUCGUUGCUGAAGGAAUAUAUAUUAGCAGAUCCAUUUGUCCCUUACAGUUCAAUUGCUGGUAGCAUUUUUGCAUGCAAGACAGUAUGUUUUUCAUCGUUACUGCAUGGUGUUAUUUACUAGAAAAUAUUUUGAAUGCGUAGUUUUUAUGUAAUUAGUUAUAAAUUUUUAUAUACCUUUUUUUUUUAUAAGAAUGUGUUCCUUUUCAGGUCUAUGAUCUUGCCCAAUUGAUUAGUGCUGUCCACUUUAAAUGUUAUUCCAGUUUCUCCAGCAUACAGCGGGUUGAGUGGAGUAACAGGUGAUUGAAUAUUUUCAUUUAGUUCAAUUGUCAUUUCUUUUUCAAUCGGUAAAGUUUAAUCAUUUUUCUUAAAUCGACAACUUAUGCAGGGCCAUAUCAACCGUCCAUGCCAUUUUUGUUUCAGCUAUGUCUUUGUACUGUGUGUUUUGGUCGAAUAUAAGAGUUUGUACAUAGCACACUUGUUGUUUGUUUGUCCCUUCAUAGACAUUUCGAUAAACUGUUAUUUUUGUUUGUCGGAAUUGAAUAUUUUCCACAACUAGAACUCCGAAGUAUCUGGAAUGAUCCAUUUUAUCAUUCUCAAUACCUAUAAAAGAAGGACAUAGAAAACAGUUUCCAAAGCAAGUUGCCUAUGUUUUGAAUUUGUCUUUGGAAGCCACUAAUUGCUUGGAGCACACUGUUAGCCAGUCGUGGUUCCAUCCACUUAUUUGGAUAGACAAUUGUGCAUCCACAUGAUCUGGAAUAAACUAGUUUUUAAUAAAUAAUUGCCCAAGGAUUUAGUCUCAGUGUUACAGCCCAGUCUUUGUUGUCAAUACUCUUUCCCCUGUCGUGGAUGAGCGUCAUAACAGCUUCUUAAUGUGCAGUGGCUUUUGCACGGUUGUUUUUUUUCCUGCUGAAGCUAGAGUAGCUAUGGAUAUAGCAGAUGCAGAUGCCAUCAAUUUUUAUACUGGCCUUUCAGCAUCAAAAUCAAAAGGAUCAAGUGGGAACUUAAAGGAGGUUGAUUUCAAUGAAACACCCUCUAAGCAAGCCAAGAGACUCCAAUUAAGCCUGCAAGCUCUGCUUAAAACAGGUAUUUAUAUACCUUAUUAGUUUUUGUACCUUUACAAUUAGCGAUUUUUAUAUCAAACGAGAGAGGUUAAUCUUAGUACAUUGAUAUCUCAACAAAAUGUUAGAACCUUUGGAGCACUAGAGACAUUUUCUUAGAGCAUUUACUGAAGUUUCUAUGAUUGCAGUGGAGACAGGUCGACGCUACUUCCCUCAUUGCUUAGAAGUGGUUGAUAAGUUUUAGGAUUGUGAUUGGUCCGACGCUUCCCUCCUAGAAAAGGGUACUCCUGAAGAGCAGAAACUCAAAAGGGCACGCUACAUGGUUGAGAAAAAUCGCUCAGAUUUGUCGUCAUCCUCGUCGUCGUCAUCUUCUCCAAAGGAAGGAGUAAAGUGUAAGGGUAGGAAAAUGUGUUGCUUAGCUGCCUGUCUUUGUAUCCAUUUAUAGGCAACUAAAAGAGUUUUAGUGAGUUUGAUUGUUACUUGCAGAGAGAUACUCUUCGAGCCUAUGUUAUGGCUAUGUUGCAUAAUAGCAACAGAACUUCAAGCUUGCGUUGUUGUAUUUUCCCAGAUAUUUGGCAUGUAAUACACUAAAUGACAAAUAAUUUUCUAAUUUUAGAGGGGAAAGUUAUGUCAGUUAAUUAUUUAUUUAUUUUGUCUGUUUAAUUCAGUUUAUUUUUUCUCCAAAAAAAUCUUCAUAUCUCCAUCUGCAAUUUAAGUCAUUUGUAACUUCUUUCAGGGAGGAAGGAAAAGGGAAAAAAGAAGAAGCCUUUGUAAGUAUAUUUUACAGUACUGAUUUUCCUAUAGAAAUUGGUUAAGGUGACAUUAAUGUUCUUAGUAACAGAUGGAUAUGCAGAAUUUUCGUCGAAAUUGAAAUUAGAAAUGGAUGGAUAUGAAUGACAUAUAUUCAGAAUUUUUUAGUAGAAUGUUUAAACAAAAUUUUUUAGCUCAUUACUCUCUAAAAGGAAAAUAAAUUUUUUAUUGUAAAUAUUAAAUAUUAAAUUUAUAAUAUAAUAAAUGUGUGACUUAAGGUGCACAAUACCUAUAUAAUAAUAAUAAUUAAGACAAGAAAAAUCAAAUUUUGUAAAUUACCAAAUUUCCCUUGGAAUUUGAUAUUCUAUAUGAACGUAGGUGUUGCAUCCACUGGGUGAGUACAACUGAAAGAAACUAACUAAAGUAAAACAAAAUAUCAGAAAAAUAUGGCGAGCUUCUCAUAUUUUUUAAGUGAAAAAAAAAAAAGAAAACUGAAAUUAAUUAUUUUUAUACCCAAAUUCUCAUGCUCGAAGGCCGCUGGAAUUGGCCAUUGUAAUUUUGUCAUCCUCGUUAUUCACUGGCCAUCGCAGCCUUCCUCCCUUAAAAUGAGAGUCGUUUUUUGGACCACGACAUAAUAAAAAUAGUAUUGAUUAAUACUAAUAAAUUUCUUUUUGAUUAUUUUGCAGUGUGAUAGUCUAGUGCGUGCCAGUGCCCAGCAUAUCACUUGAACAUGUGGUAAAAUUCUGCGAGUCUUUGUAAAAUAAUUUUUAAAUUGUGUAUUAACCAAAUAGCUCAAUGAAGAGUAUCGCUCAUUAUUUUAUUUUGUAUAUAUUUAUGAUAAUUGUUGAAAAGAAAAAUGUAAAGUGAGAUUCAUGAACAUUUAUGAAUGUGGAAAUUAACACAACCAGAAUUUAUGAUGAAAUAAUUUUAAGUCAAACGAGUGUAAGUUUGUAUAUAUAUUUUUUUGAAUUGUCAUAUAUAUACAAGUUUGUCACUAACAGUAAAUUAAAUUAUGAAUAAUUUAAUAAUUCAAAAUCUCAUUUAACCAUCAGUGUUUAUAGGGUGCGUUUGGCACAUUGUAUUGUAUUAUAUUGUAUUAUAUUAUUUUAAUGCAUGUGUAUUAUAUUAUAUUGUAUUACAUUAACAUUGUGUUAUAAUAAUACUAUACAAUGUUUGGUACUACAUUGUAUUAAUUUUUAAUAAAUAUAUAAUAUUACACUGUAUUAUAUUAAUUUUUUAAUAAGUAUUUUAAAUUAUAUAUUUAGAAAAUAACAUUUAUUAGUCGUUAAAAAAUACUAAAUAUCAAAUUCUUAAAUUUUAGAAAUUUAAUAUUAUCUUUCUGGUAUAAACGUUGAAAAAAAAUCAUAAUUUUCGGAAAGAUCGAAAUAAAUAAUUCAAUCAAGUAACCUUCAAUUUUUUUGUUUUAUUCUUAGAACUUCAUAGUUCUUUUGUUUUUUCUUUUUCUUUUUCUUUGCCUCUAUUUUCUUUUUCUUUGCCCUUUUUUUUUUCUUCAUAGUUCUUUUGGCUUCAUAAGUUUCUUUUAACUGAGUUAAUAGGGUCGUUAGGUUAAACUAAGUUUGGCUUCAUAAGCUUCAUGGUAGAGUGUAGAAUUGGGCACAAUUUUGGAUUAGACAAGUCAAAGGUCUUAUCAAGUAAUUGUUCUGCUUACUGAUUUGGUAAUUGCAACAUUGCUAAAUAGUUCAAUUUGUCCUUUUUAUUUUGUUGAAUUUAUUGUAUGUCAUAUUACUUGAUUUAAUUAUUUUCUCAGAUCUUGUAGGUGAAAAUUUCAGCUUCAAAGACCAAAGCUAAUCAUCCAGCAAUUCAGUGAAACCAAGACACAGUAGGUGCGUUUGGGAUUGAGGUGCUGUAGCUUUUAAGCUACAACUGCUGUAAAAAAAAAGUUGUAAUUAUGAAACAAAAGUUAAUAAUAUAUAGUAAAUAUAAAUUUUAAAUAAUAAUUUUGAUAAAGUUAUUAAAGAUAUAAUAGAUUUUGUAUUAUACAAGUGAAAAAUCAUAUCAAUAUAACUUAAAAGCUACAGCAGCUAGUGUUUACUAAACAUUUUAGUGCUGUAGCUUUUAAGCUACAGCUGCCCAAUCUCAAUUCCAAACGCACCCAGUGGCUCAUAAAUUGUUGUUGGUUAUUGAUCCCAGCCAUUCGGGUGCUCGCCAGUCCUAGAUGAGAAAACUUUCAACGCGGCGCAUAAAUUGCUGUUGAUCUGCUUUAUAUAUUUUGACGUUUGUGAUUUGUGAAUACAUGGUCUGAUUCCAGUGUUUACAACUUUGAAAUUCAAUUAAAAGUUGAGCUGUGAAAGAGUGUGUUGUAUAACUUGAGAAGCAAAUGAAACAAACAGAAAAUGUGUUUUUAUUUUUUUAAUCUAUCUAUCUAUUUAUUUUUGGUUUGGAAAUGUAACAAUUUAUAGCUGACAAAGUAAUAGAGUUGUAUACUUUUACUUGUAUUUAAUUUAUUGUUAUUAUUAUUUUUUUUUAAUGACUCGGUAAUGUCAUCGUCCGUGGUGUUUUGUCAUUUCGAAAGUACUUAACCCUUCCACGAUAAGUUUGAGCUUUCAGUUCUUGAUUUAGCGUGUGGGGUAUCUUUGUCUUUUCAGUAGUCAACACACGGUCAACAAAACAGUCUACAAACAAUCGACCUGUGAACUUGGGUCAAAGCUUUCAUCUUUAAAUCACAUAGGUAGAUCAUGAUUCAAGCUUCAGUUAUAAGCAUUUCGUUGUGAUUGAUAGUAUUCUUUCUUUGAUAUAUAUAUAUAUAGAUUCAGUUUGAAUAUGGUUCUUGAUGGUAUCAUGGAAAAUGCGAACGAAAAGUCAGCAUCUUUGAGUUUUGUCUCAUCAUAUCAAACUUGUUGGUCCACUAAUCAAUCAACAGGCACUUGUGAUCUUGAUAAUUUGAACUUAAGGAAGCAAAGCACCAAUCCCAAAGAGACAUGGCUUGAAGCUGAGAUUGUUGUUGAGGGCAAAUCAGUGGCGGUUAAUCGCAGCAUAUUGUCUGAGCGCAGUCAAUUUUUUCGUCGGCUUUUUAAUUUGAGAAAUGAUGGUUCUGUCAGUGAGGGGAAACCCAAGUAUCUUUUGACUGAUUUGGUGCCUCAUGGGAAGGUUGGAUAUGAAGCUUUCAAUGAUACCUUGCAUUUUCUUUACACUGGGAAGCUUAAGCCAUCUCCUCUAGAAGUUUCCACGUGUGUUGAUGACGCUUGUGCUCAUGGUGCUUGCCCUCCUGCUAUCAAUUUUGCUAUUGAGAUGAUGUAUGCUUCUGCUGCUUUCCAGAUGGAACAACUCGUUGUUUUGGAGGUAAUUGUGCUUCCCUACUAUUUGUAUUGAAUAAACUUAUGCUUCUUGGUAUAGUUUUAGCAUAUAUGGGAUUGAAAUCAAUUUCAGUUGUGAAGCAACUUCGGUGGUUCCCAAUAUUAGGCAUUGUAGUAGAUCCAAAAUUAGCUUGUUAAGAAGUGUAGAUACCGGAGAGCCCAAAACUUCGUCUUAUCUUGCAAGAGUCUGUUGUUUUAUUUUCAAAGAGACAAAAGUGAUGAUGAUGGGCAGCGAACUCUAGGAAUCAAUGCUUGCUGACACUGACUCCCAAGAAUGAUAAAAACUAACCAAAAAGGUAUAGAUUACAUGAGUCUGAAUUUGAUAAGUGCGCCUAUCCUAUCACAAAAGCUUUUGCGUUGAGUUUCUAACCAAGGAAAAUUGUCACUUCUUUCUGUAGGCUUCAUAGAUUUGUUCAAGCCUUCAAGGAUGUCUAGCUGUUACUUACUGUCCAACAAUGGUGCUACAUUUCUAGUGAAUGAUAUGUUAUUCUACAUCUGUAUAUUGCAACUUUGACAAACUUGGCCUUUCCUUUGUUGAUUCACUCGUCUCACUUUUAUUAAAUUGCCCGAUUAUGAAAUGGUCUAUUGGAGACUAGCAUUGGAAGGUUUCUUCUGGAAAAAAUUUUACUUGACCGCCAAUUUUCAUUUGGGUGGGUGUCAGUUCAUGCUCUGGCUUGACUGUUCUGUUAUUUAGGUUGUUUUAUCCGUAUUUUCUUCACUUACUUGAUGGUUAGUUCUCUCAUGCUUUCAAGCUCUCAACAGUGAAUGCGAGAGAUUCUAUUUUUCCCGUCCAGUCUAUAACCUAGCAAAUCAUUAAUGCUGUAGAAUAACAUCUUGUGUAGGUGAGCUUAUGUCUCUGAACAUUGGUCCAUCGGCAUUUAGGUUCAAUAAGCAUGACACUGAUUUCCCCCCAAUUAUUAUUUUCCUGCACAGAUUAUCCCCUUUAAGUAUUUGAAUUUUGAAUAUAUUAUUAUGCAUCAAAACUGUAUCUAUCCGUGUAGCAUUUAAAUCUGCUUUAUGAUGUUUACCAAUAAUUACCCAUUAUGGGGUAUUUGAAUUUUGAAUAUAUUAUUCUGGACCAAAACUCUAUCUGUCCGUGUAGGAUUGGCUUCUGUGCUUGGCUGAGGAUGCUCCUGUGGAAGAUGUAAUCCCAAUUCUCGUGGCUGCCUUCCAUUGCCAACUGAACAUGCUCCGUUCUUACUGCAUCCAGAGAAUUGCAGGGUCAAAUCUUGACAAUCUUUGUCUCGAGAAAGAGCUUCCUGAUGAAGUUUCAAGAGAAAUCAAAUCACUCCGUGUCAAAUCUAACCAGGAGUCUGAAGCUAAUAUAGCAGAAGUGGAUCAUAAUCAUGCAAUAAUAGUCAGAAGAAUCCACAAGGCGCUGGACUCUGAUGACGUUGAACUGUUGAAGCUUCUUCUGGAUGUAUCUAAUGUCACUCUGGAUGAUGCUUACGCUCUGCACUAUGCUGCUGCCUACUGCAACCCCAAGGUUUUUAAGGAAGUGCUCAAUAUGGACUUGGCUGAUCUCAAUCUUAAGGAUGCAAGGGGACGUACAGUGCUUCAUGUGGCUGCAAGGCGUAAUGAGCCAGAAGUGAUGGUGACUCUGCUGAGCAAGGGAGCAUGCGCAUCAGAAACUAUAUCAGAUGGCCAAACAGCUGUAGAAAUCUGUCGGAGAAUGACAAGGCGAAAGGAUUAUCUUGAAGCUACAAAGCAGGGGCAGGGAACUAACAAAGACCAGUUAUGCAUUGAUGUCCUUGAGAGAGAGAUGAGAAGGAAGUCCAUGUCUGGGAACUUGGCAAUGCCAUCAGAGGUGAUGGAUGAUGAUUUCCAAGCGAAGCUGGACUAUCUGGAAAAUAGAGGUGAUAUUUCUUUACUGGUAUUAGUUCAUCACCUUCUCAGAGUUUGUGCUAUGCACACUUCUUUCUACUGUUUGUUUGUCCCUUCAUAUGGAAAAUAGAGGUGAUAUUCCUUUACUGGUAUUAGUAAAUCAUCUUCUCAAGAGUUUGUGAGUCCCUUCAUUUUAGCAUCUCAAACACACAUGGGCUCAUUGCUUGGGGCACACUGUUGGCCAGUCAUGUGAUUUGAUCCCCUUUUUUGGAAUAGACAAUUCUGAAUCCAUCUGAUCUAGGCUUGGUGGUUUGCACCGAACUGGUUUUUGAUAAAUAAUUGUACAAGACUUUGUCAUCAAAAACUUUUUUUUUUGUUUUUUUGUUUUUUGUUUUCCAAAAGUAAUGAGGUACAAAACAAUUUAUGCCUAUCCUGGAUGAGUGUCAUAACAGCUUCUUAAUAUUUUGCAGUGGCUUUUGUACGGUUGUUUCCUUCUGAAGCUAGAGUAGCUAUGGAAAUAGCAGGUACCGCCACUGGCCUUUCAGCAUUAGGUCAGAAAGGACUAAGUGGGAACUUAAAGGAGAUUGAUUUGAAUGAAACGCCCUCUAUGCAAGCCAAGAGCCGCCAAUUGAGACUGCUAACUCUGCUUAAAACAGGUAUUUAUAUACUUUAUUAACUUUUGCACCCUUCUAUACAUGUAUUAGUUAAUUAUAAAGAUAUUUAUAUACUUUAUUAACUUUUGCACCCUUCUAUUUACUGAUUAUCUUUAUAAUUAACUAAUACAUGUAUCCAGGUUUCUCCUUCCAAUUGGAAUUCCUUUAUAGUGCUCUGUUAGGUGUAAUCAGAUGUAUCAAAAGAGAAAGGGUAAUUGUUAGUACAUUGAUAUCUCAACAAAAUGGUAGAACCUUUCUUUAUACCACUAAGACAUUUGUCGCAGAUAUGCCUACAUAAUCAGUGUCCUUCAAAACUUUCAAGGAGUUAGCAAUGCCUAACCCCUGAAACACUAAAUCUCACGGGAUCAACUCUUUACAUCUAGACCGAAGGUGUGACACCCAGACCCAAUUAGGGCUUAGAACACAUAUUGAAUCUGAGUGAAACUAAAUGCCUGUAAAUCCAAAUCUCCAAAAUAUCAAAAAGUCAUCUACUUUCUCUUUUCAUGUAUUUCACAAAAUUUUGAAAAAUUCAUUCUCAAUCAUAAACUAUGCACAGCUAAUUAUUCAGCAUAUCAGUAUAGAGCAAUACUUCCUCAUAAGCAAAUAAAUCUUACAAUCCUUCUUACAUGAUUUUAAAAAAAAUACUAAUAGAAGUCUUCUAGAUACAAACAUAAACAGAAUUCAACUGUUUAAAACUAUGCCAAAACACAAGCUUCAAUCAGUAAUACAUACGACUAAUUAUUAAAAACAUCUAGGCAGAAACCUUACGAAAGCUCAAUCUUUCUGAAGCAUUCUUCAAAUUAAAAAUUGCUACCAUCUGUGAAAAAUAAUUGACAAGGAGUCAGCUGUGAACUCAAUCAGUAGAAACAUUCGUAAUGAACAAAAAGAAUUCUUUGUGCAAUAUUUUCAGAAAAUUCAUUUAACCUUUCAAAUGAAACAGAGUAAUUUUUCUAACACAGUCAGGAUUUAUAUAAAACACAAACGUUUCAGACAAAAGCUGUGCGGAAUGUAAAUUUUGCUUCUUUAAACAGAAAGUUAUAUAUUAGUUUGAUUUUAAAGGGAGGUUAUUGGGAAGUUAAAAUUGGCAGUUGUGGGAAAAGGGUAAUAGCAGUUAUAAAAUCUGUUUUAAAGCAAAUUCAAAUCAAGUUUCAAAUUUUAGGAGUACUUAAUUCAAUAAAAUAAGGAAUAAAUAAAGCUUUCAUUGAAACAAAACUAAGUAAAUUCAUUUAAAGCAAAAAAGGAUGGGAGCAUUACUAUGGGUUCUUAUGUUUACCCGCAGUCAGACAUCUGGGGACCUUGUUAUUUGGAGACAAGACUUGAUUGUGCCAUGUUUUCCGCAGCUAGACAUCUGUGGAUAAGAGAACCCUAAGCCUAUUUAGAAUAAAUUCUGUAAUCCAAGACUCUUCAGUUCUUUCAUUUGUGGCUAAUUAGUUAUAAAAUUUGUGAAUUUCAUGCCCCAUGCCCCUUGCAAAAUGCCAGUUGUUGAACUGAAAUAAUAAAAAAUGGAAAACAGACUUAAUGCCGAUAGCAUUUCUUAAGAAAAACUUGGGAUGUUUAUAAUUUUCUUAGAGCAUUUGCUGAACUUUCUGUGAUCGCAGUCGAGACGCGUGACCUCUACUUCCCUCAUUGCUCAGAAGUGGUUGAUCGCUUUUUGGAUUUGAACAAUCCUGCCACCCCAGAAAUGGACGACGAGAAACUUAAAGCAGACAUGCAGGAGGCAUUCUGCAAGGACGUGGCUUAUCACCGUCGUUUAGGGCUGCCAUCAUCCCGGCCGGCAUUUUACCAGUACACGGCUAGGAGCAAUCAGUCGGCAUUUUACAAGUACAUGGCUGAGAGCAAUCAGUCGGCCAAGUACGUGGCUGAGAGCAAUGGCUCAGGAAUGUCGACAUCCUCGGCAGCGCGCAAUCUAAAAGUUAUAUUUGACACCUGGAAAACUAAAGGAGUUGAGUGAGAUCGAUUGGUAUUUGUAGUUUCUUUUUUUUUUUCCUCAAGUGAUCUGGCGGCAUAAUUAAAAGUUAUAUUUGUUUGUCUUCAAAGUUAUUGUAUUGUCUCAAGUCCGGUAAGAUGCGCGAACUUAUAGCAUGGAUCCAUAUGAUCUGGACUAAACUAGUUUCUAAUAAAUAAGUAUAUUUUACAGUACUGAUUUUCCUACAGAAAUUGGUUAAGGUGACAUUAAUGUUCUUUAUGAUAGACGGAUAUACAGAUUUUUCGUCGAAAUUGAAAUUAGAAAUGGAUGGAUAUGCAGAAUUUUUUAAUAGAAUUUUUAUACAAAAAUUUGUAGCUCAUUACCCUCUAAAAGGAAAAAAAUAAAUUUUUGAUUUUAAAUAUUAAAUAUUAAAUUUAUAAUAUAAUAACUUUGUGAGUUAAGGUGCACAAUACCCAUAUAUUAAUAAUUAAGAAAAGAAAAAAAUUAAAAUUUGUAAAUUACCAAUUUUUUCUUGAAAUUUGAUAUUCUAUAUUAACGUAGGUGUUGCAUGGACUGGGUUAGUACAAUUGAAAGAAACUAACUAAAGUAAAACAAAAUAUCAUUAAAAUAUGGCAAGCUUCUCAUAUUUUUUAAGUGAAAAAGAGAAGAAAACUAAAAUUAAUUAUUUUUAUACCCAAAUUCUAGUGCUUGAAGGCCGCUGGAAUUGACCAUUGUAGUUUUGUCAUCCUCAUUAUUCACCGGCCAUCGUGGCCUUCCUCCAUUAAAAAAAUAAAUGACCAUUUUUUUGGACCACAACAUAUUAAAAAUAGUAUUGAUUAAUACUAAUAAAUCUCUUUUUUGAUUAUUUUGCAGUGUGAUAGUCGAGUGAGGGCAGUGCCCAUCGUAGCACUUGAACAUGUGGUAAAUUUAUGCCAGUCUUUGUAAAAUAAUUUUUAAAUUAUGUAUUAACCAGAUAGCUCAAUGAAAACUAUCGCUCACUAAAUUAUUACUUUAUUUUGUAUAUAUUUAUGAUAAUUGUUGAAAAGAAAAAUGUAAAGUGAGAUUAACGAACGUUUAUGAAUGUGGAAAUUAACACAACCAAGAUUUAUGAUGAAAUAAUUUUAAGUCAAAUGAGCAUAAAUUUGUAUAAAUAUUUUUUGAAUUGUCAUAUAUAUACAAGUUUGUCACUAAUAGUAAACUUAAUUAUGAGUAUUUUAAUAAUUCAAAAUUUUAUUUAACCAUCGGUGUAUAUAGUGUUUUUCAUAAUACAAAAUUAUAAAAAGUCUCAUCCUGAAUAGUAUAAUGCCAAACCUUUUCAAAAAUUUAUUCUAUUAUAGUCGUCUUAGUCAGUUAUAUUUAUUUCUAAAUUGAAGAUAAAAACAGUACUUCAUAUAUCAUCCAUUACUUCAUACAUUACUUAAAGUUUUUUUUUUUUUCAAUCAAAUUAUGAGCAAGUGAAAGGAUGCAAUAAAUUACGACUAAAAUUGUAAAAUUUACCAAUGGCUAUAUACAAAGUCUGAUUCUCAUGAGCUUAAAAGAUGGGCUUUGAAUGAUGUAUGGUUCUCAAAACUCUACUUUUAUUAAUAUGAUUGCCCUGCUUCCUUCAUGACGGGUAAUUUUUAGUUUCGUCCCCUGAAGUUUGGUUUAUCUCCAUUUUAAUAGGAAAUAUUAGCGUAUCUCCCACUUUUCUCCCCUGCCGUUUGUAUACCGUUUCAUAUUGUUAAUGGACGAAGCUACAAGUCUUCUCUUUCAUCAAAUCGAUCCAUAACAAAUACGAGUCUGCUUCACCUAACCAAAACACACACAUACUCCAUCUCUAAAUGCUUUGAAGAUAAACAAAUCAACCGUAAUCCUGCAACUUUAGCUCAGAGAAUCGGAUAAGAAAAGAACAGGUGAUGAAUCAAGGGUAAUGGCGCCGAGUGAGUGUCGCCUGCGGUCGGCGUUAGAGGCGACUGUCACUCAAUCGCGUACAAGGUUAGUCUUUGAAAAAACUCUUUGCAUGUUAGAAAUCAGUGAUUAGGCAUUAUUUUGUUAUUUAAAAAUGAAAAUGGGUUUAUUAGUUUGUCGAAGAAUCUGCUCUGUUGCCGGUGUUGUUUGUUGAUUAAAAUGAAAAUGGGUUUGUUGAUGUGUUGAAGAAGUUGCUCUCCUGCUGGUGUUUUUUUAUUAAUUAAAAUGAAAAUGGGUUUGUUAAUUUAUUGAAGCAGCUGCUGGCAUUGUUAUUGUGACUUUAUUUAUCCAAUUGAUGAGCUUAUGAGCUAAUAGUAUUGUUUGAUCAAGCUUGUGUUCUUAAUAGUGGAGUUGAUAUUCUUAAAAUGAAUUUAUGAUUAUGAGAAUAUGAAAAUUGAAUGGCAUCGUAGAGAUCUGGAUUAAUCACCAUCGUAUAUGUUUCUAAAUAAAGGAAUAAGCAGCAACCGAUUUGAAAGUUAAGACUUUAGGGAUAUGUAUGUGCAACUGAAUGAAUCAUCAGUUGCUAUCUUGUAAGUCAGUGCUAGCAUAUUACCUAAUGGCAAGUGAAGCUAUUUUAUGUGUAUUGCUGCCUAUCAAAAUGUUUAUGUUUGAAGUUUUCUCCUUUUGGGAAAUUGAAUGCUUCUGUGAGUUCUCUGGUAAGGGCUAUACAACUAUCUCUAAUAGAUUCCUUCAUGUGCAUUAAUUAGCUUAGUAGUUUAUUGACCUAUAUCCAAUGUCUAUUCUCCUUUUCUGUAGCCGUCUAGUUUUAUGAGUGUGUGAAGUGAACUUUUGUUUUAUGUUUCAGGACUUGGGAUUAGAGUGUAUAACAUUCAAUAUCUUUAUAUCAAAGAACUGAUAUAUGUCAAUGUAGUGCGAUCUGGUCUUUAUUAGCUUCUUGAUUUGCCAGGAUGUUUGACAACCAUCUUUGACCAUGAUUGCCAACAUAUAAGCUGCUACAUAGUGUCUCAGGAAUCACAGCAAAUUAUUAUCAUAAUAUGGUGAUUUUGAAUCCAAAACUUGGUAGUGUCAAGAAAAUAGACCCAUGUUUAUUUAUCUUCAUGUUUUGUAUGCGCCUGCAAUAGACUAUUAUAAGUUACUUUUAGUUUUAUCAAGUUUUUUUUUCCUUAAAUUUCAUCGAGUCUUGGAGUCUUUGUAAUAUAGAGUCUAAGUGAAGAAUACUUGGGUGAAAUCUUGUAUUCUCUCUUCCAGUAAUAUAAUCAUCCUUUGUGUUUUUAUCUUUUUAUUUUGGUAUCAGAGCAUACUUUAUUAUAGAAGGACUUAGACUCUAUAUUACAAAGACUCAGCGGUUUCUUUUAACUGAGUUAAUAGUGUUGUUAGGUUAAACUAAGUUUGGCUUCAUAAGAUUCAUAGUAGAGUGUAGAACUGGGUACAAUUUUGGGUUAGACAAGUCAAAAGUCUUCUCAAGUAAUUGUUCUGCUUACUGAUUUGGUAAUUGCAACAUUGCUAAAUAGUUCAAUUUGUCCUUUUAUUUUGUUGAAUUUAUUGUAUGUCAUAUUACUUCAUUUAAUUAUUUUCUCAGAUCUUGUAGGUGAAAAUUUCAGCUUCAAAGGCCAAGCUAAUCAUCCAGCAAUUCAGUGAAACCAAGACACAGUGGCUCAUAAAUUGUUGUUGGUGAUCCAGCCAUUCGGGUGCUUGCCAGUCCUAGACGAGAAAACUUUCAACGCGGCGCAUAAAUUGUUGUUGAUCUACUUUAUAUAUUUUGACCUUUGUGAUUUGUGAAUACAUGGUUUGAUUCCAGUGUUUACAACUUUGAUACUGUGUAUAACUUAAAAAGCAAAUGAAACAAAUAGGAAAUGUGUUUUUAUUUUUUUUAUUCUAUCUAUCUAUUUAUAUUUUGUUUGGAAAUGUAACAAUUUAUAGCUGGCAAAGUACUAGAGUUGUAUACUUGUAUUUAAUUCAUUAUUAUUAUUUUUUUAAUGAUGACUCAGUAAUGUCGUUGUCCAUGGUGUUUUGUCAUUUUGAGAGUACUUAACCCUUGGACGCUAAGGCACAUUACAGUAGCCGAAAUUUUGAGCUUUCAGUUCUUGAUUUUAGCGUGAGGGGUAUCUUUGUCGUUUCAGUUGUCAACAAACAAUUUGUUGGGGGGGGGGGGGGGGGGGUGGAGAUACGCUGAUACUUUCUAUCAUACUGGAGAUACACCUAACCUCAGGGAAGGAAACUGAAAUUUCACCUUUACGACGGGUGGACUUGGGUCAAACUUUCAUAUUCUAAUCAAGUAGGUCGAUCACGAUUCAAGCUUCAGUCAUAAGCCUUUCGUUAUGAUUGAUAUUAUUCUUUCUUGAUAGUAUCAUGGAAAAUGCAAACGAAAAGUCAGCAUCUUUGAGUUUUGUCUCAUCAUAUCCGACUUGUUGGUCUACUAAUCAAUCCACAGACCCUUGUGAUCUUGGUAAUUUGAACUUAAGGAGGCAAAGCAGCAAUCCUAAAGAGCCAUUGCUUGAUGCUGAGAUCGUUGUUGACGGCAAAUCAGUGGCAGUUAAUCGCAGCAUAUUGUCUGCACGCAGUCGUUUUUUUCAUUGGCUUUUUCAUUUGAGCAGUGAUGGUUCUGUGAGUGAGGGGAAACCCAAGUAUCUUAUGACUGAUUUGGUGCCUUAUAGGAAGGUUGGAUAUGAAGCUUUUAAUGAUAUCUUGCAUUAUCUUUACACUGGAAUGCGUAAGGCACCUCCUUCAGAAGUGUUCACGUGUGUUGAUGAUACUUGUGUUCAUCUUGUUUGCCCUCCUGCUAUUAAUUAUGUUAUUGAGUCGAUAUAUGCUUCUGCUGCUUUUAAGAUGACAGAGGUCGUUUCGGUUUAUGAGGUAGUUGCGCUUCCCCGCUACUUGUAUUGCUUAAAUUUAUGCUUAUUGGUAUAGUUUUAACAUAUGUGGGAUUGAAAUCAAUUUCAGUUGUGACUUGCAAAGAGCCAAAGAAUCUGUUGUUUUAUUUUGAAAGAGACAAAGAUGAUGAUGAUGGGCAGUGAACUCUAGGAAUCAAUGCUUGCUGACACUGACACCCAAGAAUGAUAAAAACUAACCAAAAAGGUAUAUAGAUUACAUGAGUCUGAAUUUGAUAAGUGCACCUAUCCUAUCACAAAAAGCUUUUGCGUUGAGUUUCGAACCAAGGAAAAUUGUCACUUCUGUCUGUAGGCUUCAUAGAUUUGUUCAAGCCUUCAAGGAUGUCUAGCUGUUACUUAGGGUCCAACAAUGGUGCUACAUUUCUAGUGGAUGAUAUGUUAUCUACAUCUGUAUAUUGGAACUUUGACAAACUUCGCCUUUCCUUUGUUGAUACACUCGUCUCACUUUUAUUAAAUUGCCUGAUUAUGAAAUGGUCUAUUGGAGACUAGCAAUGGAAGGUUUCUUCUGGAGAAAAUUUUACUUGCCACCAAUUUUCAUUUUGGUCGGUGUCAGUUCAUGCGCUGGCUUGAUUGUUCUGUUAUUUAGGUUGUUUUAUCCGUAUUUUCUCACUAUCUUGAUAGUUAGUUCUCUAAUGCUUUCAAGCUCAACAGCGAAUGCGAGAGAUUCUCUUUGUCCUGUCCAGGUUAUAACCUAGCAAAUCAUUAAUGCUGUAGAAUAACAUCUUGCGUAGAUGAGCUCGUGUCUCUGAACAUUGGUCCAUCGGCAUUUAGGUUCGAUAAGCAUGGCAUUGAUUUUCCCCCUCAUUGUUAUUUUCCUGCACAGAUUAUCCCCUUUAAGUAUUUGAAUUUUGAAUACAUUAUUCUGAAUCAAAACUCUAUACGUCCGUGUAGCAUUUUAUAUAUGCUUUAUGAUAUUUACCAAUAAUUACCCACUGCGAGGUAUUUGAAUUUUGAAUAUAUUAUAUAUUAUUAACUUUUGCACCCUUCUAUACAUGUAUUAGUUAAUUAUAAAGAUAUUUAUAUACUUUAUUAACUUUUGCACCCUUCUAUUUACUGAUUAUCUUUAUAAUUAACUAAUACAUGUAUCCAGGUUUCUCCUUCCAAUUGGAAUUCCUUUAUAGUGCUCUGUUAGGUGUAAUCAGAUGUAUCAAAAGAGAAAGGGUAAUUGUUAGUACAUUGAUAUCUCAACAAAAUGGUAGAACCUUUCUUUAUACCACUAAGACAUUUGUCGCAGAUAUGCCUACAUAAUCAGUGUCCUUCAAAACUUUCAAGGAGUUAGCAAUGCCUAACCCCUGAAACACUAAAUCUCACGGGAUCAACUCUUUACAUCUAGACCGAAGGUGUGACACCCAGACCCAAUUAGGGCUUAGAACACAUAUUGAAUCUGAGUGAAACUAAAUGCCUGUAAAUCCAAAUCUCCAAAAUAUCAAAAAGUCAUCUACUUUCUCUUUUCAUGUAUUUCACAAAAUUUUGAAAAAUUCAUUCUCAAUCAUAAACUAUGCACAGCUAAUUAUUCAGCAUAUCAGUAUAGAGCAAUACUUCCUCAUAAGCAAAUAAAUCUUACAAUCCUUCUUACAUGAUUUUAAAAAAAAUACUAAUAGAAGUCUUCUAGAUACAAACAUAAACAGAAUUCAACUGUUUAAAACUAUGCCAAAACACAAGCUUCAAUCAGUAAUACAUACGACUAAUUAUUAAAAACAUCUAGGCAGAAACCUUACGAAAGCUCAAUCUUUCUGAAGCAUUCUUCAAAUUAAAAAUUGCUACCAUCUGUGAAAAAUAAUUGACAAGGAGUCAGCUGUGAACUCAAUCAGUAGAAACAUUCGUAAUGAACAAAAAGAAUUCUUUGUGCAAUAUUUUCAGAAAAUUCAUUUAACCUUUCAAAUGAAACAGAGUAAUUUUUCUAACGCAGUCAGGAUUUAUAUAAAACACAAACGUUUCAGACAAAAGCUGUGCGGAAUUUAAAUUUUGCUUCUUUAAACAGAAAGUUAUAUAUUAGUUUGAUUUUAAAGGGAGGUUAUUGGGAAGUUAAAAUUGGCAGUUGUGGGAAAAGGGUAAUAGCAGUUAUAAAAUCUGUUUUAAAGCAAAUUCAAAUCAAGUUUCAAAUUUUAGGAGUACUUAAUUCAAUAAAAUAAGGAAUAAAUAAAGCUUUCAUUGAAACAAAACUAAGUAAAUUCAUUUAAAGCAAAAAAGGAUGGGAGCAUUACUAUGGGUUCUUAUGUUUACCCGCAGUCAGACAUCUGGGGACCUUGUUAUUUGGAGACAAGACUUGAUUGUGCCAUGUUUUCCGCAGCUAGACAUCUGUGGAUAAGAGAACCCUAAGCCUAUUUAGAAUAAAUUCUGUAAUCCAAGACUCUUCAGUUCUUUCAUUUGUGGCUAAUUAGUUAUAAAAUUUGUGAAUUUCAUGCCCCAUGCCCCUUGCAAAAUGCCAGUUGUUGAACUGAAAUAAUAAAAAAUGGAAAACAGACUUAAUGCCGAUAGCAUUUCUUAAGAAAAACUUGGGAUGUUUAUAAUUUUCUUAGAGCAUUUGCUGAACUUUCUGUGAUCGCAGUCGAGACGCGUGACCUCUACUUCCCUCAUUGCUCAGAAGUGGUUGAUCGCUUUUUGGAUUUGAACAAUCCUGCCACCCCAGAAAUGGACGACGAGAAACUUAAAGCAGACAUGCAGGAGGCAUUCUGCAAGGACGUGGCUUAUCACCGUCGUUUAGGGCUGCCAUCAUCCCGGCCGGCAUUUUACCAGUACACGGCUAGGAGCAAUCAGUCGGCAUUUUACAAGUACAUGGCUGAGAGCAAUCAGUCGGCCAAGUACGUGGCUGAGAGCAAUGGUUCAGGAAUGUCGACAUCCUCGGCAGCGCGCAAUCUAAAAGUUAUAUUUGACACCUGGAAAACUAAAGGAGUUGAGUGAGAUCGAUUGGUAUUUGUAGUUUCUUUUUUUUUUUCCUCAAGUGAUCUGGCAUAAUUAAAAGUUAUAUUUGUUUGUCUUAAAAGUUAUUGUAAUAUCUAAAGUCCGGUAAGAUGCGCGAACGUAUAGCAUGGAUCACAAACUCAUUUCAUAGAAUAUUUUUUUGUAUAAUUAUAUAAUUUAUAGGCUUUGCUUAAAAAAUUAAAAAAGAAUUGCAUUACAAUUGGUAUGAGGCAUGCAUGUGUGUGUCAUAUCAGUUGCUGAACAAACUUUGCCUUUUAGUUUUGUAGGCACUACCAUCUCAAAUUCUCUGUUAUCAUGAAUGAGUAUUUUUUUCUUUUUUCUUUUUUAAGAAAUCAUAAAUGAGAUUAAGAUAAUUUUUUUUAAAAAAAGAAAAAAAUGGAGAUUUCUUUUAUUUUUCCUUAAAAACUGAAGAAAAAUUUAGAUGGUAGUGUGAGACGGAGAAUUAAAGCAAUUUUACUAACAAAUGUAAUGUGUUUGGUGUCGCAAUACAAAUUAAUAAAUUAUAAUUUAUGAGACUAGUUUGCAUAAUCUUAUAUAUAAAAUUAUAUCCUCUGAAUAAAAAUCUUCUCACCUCUUUUGACUUUUCAUUUAAAUAUCCUCUCUAGAAUCUCUCUGACCAUAAACACAUUUUUACAAAACAAAACAGAAGAAAUUAUAUAUAAUUCUCACAAGGACUAUUUCAUUUGCACAUAGUACGCAAUUGGUCACUAAAGUUAUUUGAGGAGAAAAUUUACAUGAGAUGGGUACAUCCUAUUAUCAGUAUUUUAAUUUAAGUUUGAACAUACUAGAAUGGUCUCUCAUAAAUUUUUCUCCAAUUUGAGAGAUGGUGGGGAAGUGGGGUUAAAGUGCAUCUGCAUAGAAUUAAUUAUAAUUAAAUUUAUUUUUUAAAACUAUUUUAACUAGAAGUAGUAGUAAUUCUUUUUAUUAUUGUUAUUCCAAUUAUAUCAAAAUCUAGUGACUCGUGAUCAAAUUAAGUAGUUCAUUAAACUUUUUUAGGUGACGUAUGGUAUGGAGUUUUUAUAAAUCUAUAAAUAUAGUAAAAUAUUUAAUUUUGCUUGUCGUAAACUUUUAAUUUGCAUGGGUUAAAAAAGAAAAACUAGCGAAAAGUUUGUGCGCAGAGAGCCAGAGAAAACUAGCGGCCGCUGUUAAGCAAAAAGUUAAAAGUUGAACCCCAUGCAUGAAAGCUCCGAAAAUAUCGGACGUGGCGAAAACCCUAUUUUCGGAGGGACUUUUUCUCCGCCGUUUAGGGAGGCUAGAACAACCAAAAAGGCACGGUUUCGUGAUGAGGAAGUAGCUGGUGACAAUCCUAUGCAGGUUUCGUACAAAGAAACCCUGGUGAACUCUUCGCAAGCAAUGGAGAAUGGUUUUGGAGGCGGAGCAGUGGACUGGGAUUUUGAGGAAGGAGAUGUGAUCGAGAACAACGAUGGACCUAUGCCAUCAAUAGCUUUCUCGGCUAGGGUCCAUGAGAAGUUGAGUGAACCGCGGAAGAAUUCUGUCGUUGUGAAACUACUUGGCCGAACAAUAGGCUAUAGGGCUCUCUGCACAAGAUUGAAUGUAAUGUGGAAAACAACCAUGAGUUUCUCAGUGAUUGAUUUAGAGAAUAACUAUUUUUUGAUUCGCUUCCGCUCAAGUAGUGAUGUUGUUGAUGCUCUAACUAAUGGGCCUUGGCUUAUUAUGGGGCAUUACUUAACGGUACAACCAUGGACACCCAAUUUCGAUUUCACCAAAACGGCUAUUGAUCAAGUCACUGUAUGGAUUCGUUUACCUGGUCUUGCUGUCCACCUCUAUGAUCGGAAAAUGCUGCAAAAGCUUGGACAAUUGGUGGGUACGGUGAUCAAAAUUGAUGUGAAUACAGCCUCCUCUACACGGGGACGUUUUGCCCGAGUUGCAGUCACAAUCUCUUUGGCUAACCCGCUAGUGUCUCAGUUUGAACUGGAUGGGAAGGUCCAGAAGGUGGAAUAUGAGGGAUUGCCAGUGAUCUGCUUUAUGUGUGGAAGGUAUGGACAUAACAGAAAUACUUGCAAGGAAGCUGGUGCAGCGAAUGAAGCUGAAAAUGCCCCCCAGCCUACUAUGCAACGUCAGGAGGUCCCUGCUCAUCAGGAGUUUGGCUGUCAUGAUGCUAGUAUUGUAGAACCCUUUGGCACUUGGAUGAUCGUCACGAGAAAAGGCAGGAGAACUAACAAUGGCAUGGAGAAUAACAGUGAGCUAAACCGGAACCGCGAGCCUUUUGGGGCUAGCACUUCAAGAUUCCACAUUCUAGCUCAAGUCUCAGAUGAGCGUGAGGAUCAUGCCCCUGCAGUGGUUAAGGAUAUCCCCUCCACUUCACGUCAACCACUCAUGCCUACCCUGAACCCUACUUUUACCUCCCAUCAAGAGACCAUAACAAGGACCUCGGCAAGGCGUAAACCUCAUAAUAAGGCUGUGGUUACAAAACCUCGAGGUAGGAAACCGGCCACCUCAAUGAAUCCAUUCCAAAACCCCUUUCAGUCGAGUGUUUUUACCACAAGCAAGAAGGAUGUAAACUCCACACCCCAUGCAAACCUUAAUCCCACAUCAUUUGUAACUUCACAGUUUGAACCUGGUCAUCAACAAGUUUCCCACCUUGCUAACACCUUAGACCCAACGAAGCAUACUGUGGUCUUUUGCUCACCACAAACCUUUCCAUCGGGGAAUGUAAGGGAUGCGGCCAUUGAGCAUAGAGCUCGGCAGGGACCAGACCCUCAACAUACAUCUACUUGCCAGACGCUCGAAACACAUCAUGUGUUAAUGAAGUUGAGAAUGCCCAUACACACCCUGAGCAGCCUACGAGUGGAGUUGAUGAGGCUGGAAUGUUGGAUGAAGAAGAAUCAAUGGUUCAAGAAACGCUUAUGGCGUUGAUGGCUGAUAUUAAUGAUCAGCAAAACUAAGGUUUCUAUCAUCCCCUACUGAAAUUUUUUAUGUCAAUUAGCAUCAUGUAUUGGAAUGUUCAAGGGGUGGCCUUGACUACUUUUCGCCACUCUUUUAAGACUAUUGUUAAAAAUUAUAAUCCUUCUCUGGUGGUAUUGAUGGAACCUCGUAUUAGUGGGGGUAAAGCAGAUGAGUUUAUUAAGAAAAGUGGUUUUGACAACUCUCAUCGUGUGGAAGUAGUAGGCUUCUCUGGAGGAAUUUGGCUGCUCUGGCAGAAUGUUAUAGAGGUGGAGGUUCUUUUAAAUCACAAGCAAUUUAUUCAUUUCAGGAUUAGCAUGAAUAAGGUAUUUAUGUCUUGGGCAACGGCUGUCUAUGCUAGCCCAAAUCCAAUGUUGCGGAGAUAGUUAUGGAAUCAUAUGGAUAGCCUUGCUCUCUCUAUCCAAGGACCUUGGCUGAUUGGUGGGGAUUUCAAUUCUAUAUUGUACGCUUCUGAAAAACAGGGGGAGCUGCAGGGCAGUCAGGAGUGUGUGGCUUGUUUCGGCAGUGGUUUGAUGGACACCAAAUCUUUGAUUUAAAGUUCAAAGGCCCUCAAUCUACAUGGUCUCGUGGUUUUCUUUUCAAAAGGCUAGAUAAAGCCUUAUGCAAUAAUGAGUGGUUAUUAAAGUUUGCAGAUAACUCAGUUCUCCAUCUUCCGAAAGUUGCUUCGGAUCACAGACCGGUGCUAGUUCAGUUUGAGAGAGUUGUACGGAGACAUCAUGGUAAUAGGCCCUUUCGGUUUUUGGCUUAUUGGUUUACUAAUGAUCAUUUUAAUAAUUUUGUUAAGCAGACGUGGGAUCCUCAAGCUUCUUAUAGUGAUGCGGCAUCUAUUUUUGUCAAGGAGGUUCAAGUUUGGAAUCGGGAGGUUUUUGGGAAUAUUUUUCAGCGAAAACGUAUCUUAAUGGCUCGGAUUAAUGAGAUUCAAGCAACCUUGGAGAAAUCUAGUUCGAGGGGGUUAAUGCGCUUAGAGGCUUAGUUGCGGAAAGAUUUGGAGAUGGUGAUGGGGCAAGAGGACAUUCUUUGGUGGCAAAAAUCGAGAAAGGAUUGGAUUAUGCAUGGGGACAGAAAUAUUAGGUUCUUUCACCAAAAAACUAUUGUUCGCAGGCGGCGGAAUAGAAUUGAAGCCAUCCAGGACAAUUCGGGCAAUUGGUUGUACAAUGAGGAAGAAAUCCGAAAUCAUACAGUUGGGUAUUUUUCUGCCUUAUUCACAAGUGAGGCUGCAAGUCCCCAAGUUUAUCUUGUUCCGAAUUAUUUCCCAACUCUGGAUGCUUAUGAUAUCGAUUGUGUUGCCAACCCAGUUUUGGAAGCAGAAAUCAAGAAUGUCGUCUUUAGUAUGAAACCGCUAAAGGCUCCAGGUACGGAUGGGUUGCAUGCUAUUUUCUACCAGUCUCAAUGGGCAGUGGUUUGGCCUUCCUUCUGUAAGUUUAUUGCUGACAUUUUUAACUCUGGUAAGAUUCCUAAAGAGGUCAAUACUACUCUUCUGGUAUUGAUCCCUAAAGUGGAGCAUCCUACUAGCUUAAAAAUGUUCAGACCUAUCAGCUUAUGUAUAGUCGCCUAUAAAACAGUGACUAAAAUAAUUACUAACCGUUUGCAAGUCGUGCUGCCUAAAAUUAUAGGCCCUCAUCAGACGAGUUUUGUUCCUGGCCGCCACAUCAUAGAUAAUAUUGUUGUUGCCCAGGAAGUGGUCCAUACUAUGCAACGAAAAACAGGUAAGCGAGGGCUUAUGGCUAUCAAGGUAGAUCUCGAGAAGGCGUAUGAUCGGCUCAAUUGGUCUUUUAUCUUCGAUACUCUUCAGCUGACUGGCAUUCCGAUUCAAUUAUCUAGGCUCAUCAUGGAAUGUGUUACUACAGCUAAAAUGAGCAUUUUGUGGAAUGGAUAGGCUAUGGAGGAAUUUUCUCCGGGGAGAGGAAUCCGACAGGGAGAUCCCCUGUCUCCCUAUAUUUUUGUGCUUUGCAUUGAGCGGUUGAGCCAUGGUAUUUCCCAAGCUGUGAGGGAAGGCAGUUGGAAACCAAUCCGGUUGGCCAAACGGGGAACUCCCCUAACACAUUUAUUUGUUGCUGAUGACUUACUUUUAUUUGCAGAAGCCUCAAUUAAUCAAGCUUAUAUCAUUGACGCAGUUCUGGAGAAUUAUUGUCGGAGCUCUGAAACAAAGGUUAAUAAAUCAAAAACCAAAGUCUUUUUCUCUAAAAAUGUGUUAUCUAGAGAUGCCCAGCUUAUUAGUGACGCCUUGGGAUUUUCGGCUACUAAGGAUUUAGACUGUUACCUUGGCAUGCCUCUAAUCCAUUCGCGGGUGAAUAAAGCUACUUAUCAGUCCAUUCUGGAUAAGGUGGACAUGCGGCUUACUGGAUGGAAUGUGGCUAAUUUAUCCUUUGCUUGAAGAGUAACUUUGGCUCAAUCGGUGGUUCAAGCAAUGCCCAUUUAUGCAAUGCAAACAACUUUGCUUCCCCCCCGAUGCGUCAUAAAAUUGACACGACUUGUCAUCGGUUUAUUUGGGACGGGAAGUCGAAGAGGCACAAGAUGAGUAUGGUGGGCUGGGACAGAAUUUGUAUGCCAAAGAAUCAUGGGGGUCUGGGGUUUAAAAAGCUAGAUGUGUUGAACCAUGCACUGCUGAUGAAGCUGACCUGGGAAGUUGUAUCUAACUCGGACAAAUUAUGGGUGAAGGUGUUUUGUUCUAAAUAUGGGUUGGAUCCUGGAAACUUACCGCUCUCUCUCCUAGAUAAACAAUGGUCCCGUAUUUGGAUGGCUAUCAGGAAAACGUGGGCAGACACCAUGCAUGGAGCCCGCUGGUCAGUUUGUGAUGGUGUGAGAACUCGGUUUUGGCUUGACUGCUGGGUAACGAAGCAAGAACCUUUGAUAAAUUUUGCCCUCCAGCCGAUCUCUCACGAGAUUAUUAAUGCUACUGUGAGUGAGUUUAUAAACGAACACAGGGGCUGGAACUGGCUGAGAUUUGAACAUUUGCUGCCAAAUUACAUCCUCAUAUUGCAUCAGUUAGGCACUGACAAAAUUUACUGGAGUUUUGAUCCAAGAGGUGUGUUUACUGUCCGUUCAGCCUACGACUCCAUCUAUCGUCAAAACCUAGCCAUCCAAGAUGAAGCAUGGAGCUUAGCAUGGUCGUGGAAGGGACCCCAAUCUAUCCGCCUUUUUCUUUGGCAAAUUAUGCAUGGGAAGUUGAAGACUCAUGGUGAGCUGUCUCGGCGUCACAUUCCCGUGUCUAUGGCUUGUGAUAGGCGUGGGGCAUUGGUUGAGGACAUUCUACAUGCAUUGAGAGAUUGCCAUUGUAUUAAACGGGUUUGGCUGCGACUUGUUCCAGAGGGUGAUUAUCACUCUUUCUUUCACAUUAAUUUACGGGAUUGGAUUGUAGUUAAUCUUCAGAACAAGUUAAAGUUCGUUUCCCACAUUCAUUGGGAGUGUGUUUUUGGAGUGGCCGUUUGGAGAUUAUGGUUCUGGAGAAAUCAUUUCAUGGUCGAAGGAAAAUUGGUGGAUAGCUCAGCAAUUAAUAUGGAUAUUAUGGCCAGAGCAAAUGAAAUUCAUAGAGUGAAUAAUUCUCACAUGAGUCAGCAACCGAGGAGAAAAGAGAUGCUUAUCGGCUGUCAGCCUCCUCCAUGGCCUUGGUGUAAGUUAAAUACGGAUGGAUUUGUUAGAAAUUCAUGGGAUGUAGGGGCUGGUGGUGUUAUUCGUGAUUCAGUUGGUCACUGGAUUUCGGGAUUUUGUAUGAAUAUUGGGGAGUGUUCGGUGGUUAUGGCUGAGCUAUGGGGUCUAUAUCAAGGUUUAAUCCUGGCGUAGGAUGCUGGCAUAAAACGUCUUUUGGUGGAAGUGGACAGUCUGUGUGUUUCACAGAUGAUUUCUAAGCAGGUGGUCGUGCCUAAUGCUUUUUAUGCUCUAGUUGUUGCUAUCCCGAAACUUCUAAGCAGGAACUGGCAAGUUUCCCUCACUCACAUCUUUCGUGAAGCGAAUUCAACUGCGGAUUUCAUGGCUAAUAUGGCUUAUUCAGUCUCUCAUGGGUUACAUUUAUUUACUAGCCCGCCUGUGGUUAUUUAUUUAAUUAUAUUGCAAGACAUGUUUGGGGUUGCUCAACCCCGUAUUGUUCCGGUUUAGCUCGAAUUUGAGCCCAUUUUAAUCAAAAAAAGAAAAAGAAAAAAAGAAAUUGACUUAUUAAUUAAUUAACAAUUAUAGAAAGAAUAAAUAGAAAAUUAUAAUGGCGAACCUUGCUUGUUCUUUGCCUCUUGGGCUUAUGGUGUACCCUUGUCCCCCGCUGGGGGUUUCAUCCAUUCUUCUGUAUGAUUCUUACGGGGUUGCGACUCCUCGUUCGGUUGUUUUUUAGCUCUUAAUUGAGCCCCAGUUGAUCAAAAAAAAAAAAAAAAAAUUAUAGUUGCGUGAGAAAACUCUCGUGAAAAGGGCUCCGGAUUUCCUUUCCCUGGCUUCGUGCGUUUCCUUUUGCCCUUUCGAGCACGAAUUCGAAUCCAGUACUUUAUAAUAAAGAUAUAAUAUUAAAAAAUAAGAAAAAGAAUCCAAAUUUUUACUGGUAUAUAACGCAGAGCCAAAGCGAUAGCAAAACAUCAAAUUGUUUUUAUUUCAACCUUCGCGCAACUUCCGGUGACAUAAUUUUUAUCUGUUUCAGGUAUCGUUCUUGUUUUUUUGUUAUUCAUUCACAUAUCCUUCUUUUCUUUUCUUUUUUGCUGUAUUUUGUUUAUGAAACGCUCUGUUUCAGUUUUGUUUCUGGUUUUGUUUCAGUUUAACAUUAUUGGUUCGGUUCUGUUCUACGUCGUAUGUAUAUAUGUAUAUAUUUUUGGCCUCGAAUUGCUUUGAUCACCGGUUUUGUUAUUCAUUUAUCGUGAAUUUUAGAUGACUUGUUUGGCCAUGUAUUCACUUGAUUAUUACAUUCAGCUGCCAUUUUCAUGGUGGGUUUGUAAGAUAGUCUCUGACUAGCAUACGACAUUGAUCAUGAAUGAUGGUUUUGUUAGAUACAUCAUACGGAUGUUAACUCGUAUUAUUGUGUACUUACUUCAUUCAAAAGAUUAGUGUUUCUCUCUCUCUCAAUUUUUUUAAGAAAAAAAAUGAAAUGCCCCUUUUCGCAUUUUAUAGGUGAAAGGAAGAAACAUAAUAUCGCAGUGUCAAGGAAGCUCAUAAUGUAUGGAAGGAUGCAGCACACGUGUGAGAUGAAUACAGUCAGCUGAAGUUAGUUAGACACGUUAAGAUCAUAUUCAAUUAGCUUCUUUAUUUUCUGUUAAGUUGUAAACAGCUGAGUAUAAAUACAAGCAUCUUGUAAUCAUUUCGUUGUUAAGAAAAAUGAAAUAAAGCAUUUGAUUCAGAAGUCUUUUACAAAUUUUCUUAGCACUUUAAAUACAUUUUCUCAGUAACCAAACAGUCUGUUCAUUCAAGCUUUUAAGCUUUCAAACAUGGUAUCAGAGCCAUACAGAGCUAGUUCCAGUAAUCAACAGUCAAGCUUUCGUAAUCAAACAACAAACAACACAAAUCAAUCUACUCAAAUCAACUUCUCCUUUACUAAUCCUAUCAAGCUAGAUCGAUCAAAUUACUUACUCUGGCGCUUUCAAGUUUUAGCCUCAAUAAGAGGCAAUCGUUUGGAAGAUUUCGUCACAGGAGCCAAAUCAGUACCUGAUAAGUGUCUUCUGUUAACUGAAGUAGAUGGAUCUACACAACAAAUUGAAAAUCCAGAAUAUCAGAUCUGGAGAUCACAGGAUCAGACACUUCUUGGCUGGCUACUGUUGUCAUUAAGUGAAGGUAUCUUAAGUCUUGUUAUCAAUUGUGAAAGUUCAUUUGAUAUAUGGAAAACUUUGGAAAAGAAAUUUGGAGUUCAAUCUGAAGCUCGAGUUCUUCAGCUCAGAUAUGAACUAAACACUCUUAAAAAGGAAGCUCUUAGUGUUUAAGAUUAUUGUAUUAAAAUGAAAGCAAUAACUGAUAAGCUAGCCAGUGCUGGUAGUUCAAUUACAGAGAAGGAUCUUAUGUUAACUAUUCUUAAUGGAUUAGGACCAGGAUUUCGUGAUAUUGCUACAUUUAUAACUGGUUCACGAAUGGAAUUUGAUGAUGCUUAUGCACUGUUACUCACUCAUGAGACUAGAUUAGAGCAGGAGAAAGGUGACAGAAGUAUGUUUAAUGCAAACUAUGCAUAUACGAAUGCAUAUUAUCCUAGAGCUUAUUUUGCACAGCCUAGAGGAAGUUUUAAACGAGGAGGUUAUUCUGGUGGUAGAACUCCUUUCUUUGGCAGAGGAAAUAUGAAUUACUCUCCAAGAAUGUUUAAUGGAGGUGUUAGAAAUGGAUAUUGCAGAGGAUUUUUUCCUGGAAAUAACUCAACUGAUUUCAAUCAUUUUUCAGCUCCUAGGAAUCCAGUACCUAGGAACUCAUCCUUUCUAGCUAGAAAUGGUGCUAAUAUGAGUGGAUCACAAGGAAGCUUUAAUAAUGCUAGGGAGCUGGUAUGUCAGAUUUGCUUUAAGAAUGGUCAUACUGCUGAUGUCUGUUGGCACAGAUUUGUUGAAGACUUUGUACCUAUUCCAAGAGGUUUUGGCAGGGGAAAAACACCAAGAGCAGCAUAUUUCUCAAACUUUGAUGGCCCUACUUCUAAUCCAGAUUUUGGCUAUGAAAAUAAUAAUAUGUUUCCAGGUUAUGAUUCUAUAUCUGGCAAUAGUUACUAUUCUGGAAUGGAUGGAUACACUUCUGGAGCAGUUGGAACAGCUUUCAUGGCUAAUUUUGAAGGAACUGCUGAUGAUAGAUGGUAUCUGGAUAGUGUGGCAACUCACCAUUUAACCAACAAUAUGGAGAAUUUGCAGAUCAAUGAAGAGUUUAAAGGUACUGAUCAGCUUAUCAUUGGAAAUGGUCAAGGUUUGUCUAUUACUCAUGUUGGACAUGCAUUUCUGGUAUUAAGAGCUUCUAAAUCUUUAUCUAUACAUGCUAGAAUAACACUUAAAGAUGUGUUAUUUGUUCCUUCAAUUACCAAAAAUCUAUUAAGUAUUUCCAAACUCACAUCUGAUAAUCUUGUAUCUGUUGAAUUCUGUGGAAAUGUUUGUUUUGUAAAGGACAUGAAGGGUCAAGUUCUUCUGCAGGGUAUUGCUGAAAAAUGCCUUUACAAGCUGCUGCUGAAAUCUAAUUCUCUUUCUUCAUCACCUACAUCUUAUCUUUGUAAAUCCCAGCCAAAUAAACCAGUUUCUAUGUUAUCUGCUUUCAAACACUGUGAUAAUGGUACUCGAGCUUGCUAUCAAUCUGUUUUAAAUAAGUGUAAUGUCAAACCUGAUAUGAUAACUUUGUUACAUAGAAAGUUUGGUCAUCCAAGCUCAAUGACAUUGGUGCAUUUGCUCAAAUCAUGUAAACAGUUUAAAGUCUCUCCAAAAGACAUGUUAUCUUCUGCAAACACUUUAUGUGAAGCAUGUCAGCUAGGCAAAGUCCAUAAGCAACAUUUCUCAAUAACUGAAACAAAAACAAAAGGGGUAUUAGAAUUGAUUCAUACUGAUCUUUGGGGGCCUUCACCCACUGUGUCUAGAGAUGGAUACAAAUACUACAUUAGUUUUGUGGAUGAUUAUACUAGGUAUUCUUGGAUCUAUCCUCUUAAGCUCAAAUCACAAGCAUUUGAAGUUUUUAAAUUGUUCAAAACUCAAGUUGAGAAUCAGUUUGAUACCAAAAUUAAGAAGCUACAAUCUGACCUUGGGGGAGAGUUUAGAGCAUUUACUGAUUUUCUGAAUCAAAAUGGAAUAAUGUUUAGACACUCAUGUCCUUACACUCAUCACCAAAAUGGUUUUGUUGAGAGGAAACACAGGCAUAUAGUUGAGCUAGGCUUAACCCUCAUGGCUCAAGCAAACCUUCCUCUUCAAUUCUGGUGGGAACCUAUUCAUACAGUAGUGUAUCAUAUUAAUAGAUUGCCUACCCCUGUUCUGAAAUUCUUAUCUCUUUAUGAGAAACUUUUCAAACACAAACUAGAUUACACAUUCCUGAAGUGUUUUGGUUGUCUUUGCUACCCAUACUUGAGAGAUUUUAACAAACAUAAGUUUGAUUUUCACACCUCUAAAUGCAUUUUUAUUGGAUACAAUCCCUCUUAUAAAGGAUACAAGUGCUUAGCAAGUUCUGGCAAAGUCUAUGUUCUUAGACAUGUCAUUUUUGAUGAAAACACAUUCCCUUAUCCAAUAAACACUACAUCUCACACAUCAGAAAACUCCAUAUCUUCUGAAACCUCAGUGUCUAAUUUCUCUCAACAACAUAUCUAUCAUCUUUCUACAAUGGCCUUACCCAACAGCAGCUUUGAAGGUCUUCAAUCAGCAGGCUCAGCAAGAAGUGAACAAAUGUCCUCUGUUCCCACACAUACAGAUAUUCUGAAUCAACAAGAACAUCCAUCACACACAUCUUUAGAGUUAUCAUCCUCAACCUCACCAUCACCAAACACAUUACCAGUACAAUCAUCCAUUCUACAAUCAGAGGAAACUUCUAUUCCACAGAACAUAGACCAAAUUCAAACCAGAAAUCAUUCCCAACCAUCUUCUCAUCCAAUGAUUACCAGAUCAAAAUCUGGAAUCUUCAAACCAAAGGUCUAUACAGUCACCUUAGCCAACAAAGAACCUAGUACAGUUCAAGAAGCUCUUAGUAGUCAGAAUUGGCAUCAAGCCAUGGUAGAUGAGUAUGCAGCUUUGAUAAAGAAUGAGACUUGGUCACUGGUACCAUUUUCAAAUGCAUACAAAGUAGUUGACAAUAAAUGGGUGUUUAGACUUAAGCAAAAUACUGAUGGAAGCAUAGUUAAACACAAGGCCAGGUUGGUUGCCAAAGGUUUUCAGCAAACUGAAGGUGUGGAUUACUUUGAGACCUUUAGCCCAGUUGUAAAAGCUUCAACAGUAAGGAUUGUUCUGAGUUUAGCUGUGAUGCAUAAAUGGAAAAUAAGGCAAGUGGAUGUGAAUAAUGCAUUCUUGAAUGGAGACUUGACAGAGGAUGUCUAUAUGUAUCAGCCUGAAGGUUUUAUUGAUCAACAAAAACCCAAUCAUAUAUGUAAGCUGAAGAAGGCCUUGUAUGGCUUGAAGCAAGCUCCUAGAGCUUGGUAUGACAAGCUUAAGAAUUGUCUUAUUGCUAAUUGGAAAUUUCAGAAUUCAAAGGCUGAUACCUCUCUCUUCUUCAAAGAAGUGCAGGGUUCAAUGAUACUUAUCUUAAUCUAUGUUGAUGACAUUCUAAUAACAGGACCUGAUAAUGGUGAGCUGGAAAAAUUCAUCUCAGAAUUCAGUAAGACUUUUUCCUUAAAAGACUUAGGGAAUUCUGUCAUAUUUUCUGGGGAUAGAAGUUUCCUAUGCUGAAGACUGCAUCUAUUUAUCUCAGAAGAAAUAUAUCUUGGAUUUGUUAUCCAAAGCUGAUAUGCAAAAUUGUAAAGGCUGUGACACUCCCAUAGUUACUGGAACAAAGCUUCAGAAAGAAGUCAAAGGCUGUUUGGGUCAAUAUAUUGAGGAUGCAACAAGCUAUAGAAGCUUAGUUGGAGGUUUACAAUAUCUGGUAUUAACCAGACCAAAGAUAGCAUUUGCUGUGCAUAAGUUGAGCCAGUAUGUGACAGCUCCAACACUCCAGCAUGUUAUGGCUUGUAAAAGAGUUCUUAGAUACCUUAAGGAAACUGCAGAUCAUGGUUUGAAGUUUUCAGCAGGUGGAGAAAUGAAGAUCACAGGAUUUACAGAUGCAGAUUGGGCAUGUGAUGUUGAUGACAGAAAAUCAAUAGGAGCAUAUUGCAUUUAUUUUUGGAAACAAUCUAAUUUCAUGGUCAUCCAAGAAGCAGGCUAUGGUUACACGAUCCAGUGCAGAGAGUGAAUAUCGUGCUCUGGCUUCUGCAAGUGCAGAGAUAACAUGGAUCCAGUCAUUAUUCAGUGAACUCAACAUUAAGUGUACUUCAUUACCAACUAUCUGGUGUGAUAAUAUAAGUGCAACAGAGUUGGCCAAGAAUCCAGUUUAUCAUUCAAGGACAAAACACAUUGAACUGGAUAUGCACUUUAUUAGAGACAAAGUUUUGGCAAAGGAGUUGGAGAUUAACUAUAUUCCCAGCGAGGAGCAAAUUGCUGAUGCUUUGACAAAGCCUCUGACAUUCAUUCAUUUCAAUUAUUUCAGAGACAAACUCAAUGUGCAACCAUGCCCCUUGAGUUUGAGGGGGGCUGUCAAGGAAGCUCAUAAUGUAUGGAAGGAUGCAGCACACGUGUGAGAUGAAUACAGUCAGCUGAAGUUAGUUAGACACGUUAAGAUCAUAUUCAGUUAACUUCUUUAUUUUCUGUUAAGCUGUAAACAGCUGAGUAUAAAUACAAGCAUCUUGUAAUCAUUUCGUUGUUAAGAAAAAUGAAAUAAAGCAUUUGAUUCAGAAGUCUUUUACAAAUUUUCUUAGCACUUUAAAUACAUUUUCUCAGUAACCAAACAGUCUGUUCAUUCAAGCUUUUAAGCUUUCAAACACGCAGAACUAGAAUAAAGGAGCCUAUUCUGGUACCUAUUGUCCAAGAAAGCUUCUGUAUAUUCAGUAGGAACUACCAUGGAAGUCAAAUCUUACCAGAGCCAGGCGGAGUCGUUGCUGAAGGAAUAUAUAUUAGCAGAUCCAUUUCUCCCGUACACUUCAAUUGUUGGUAGCAUUUUUGCUUGCACGAUGGUAUGUUUGUCAUCGUUACUGCGUGGUGGUAUUUACUAGAAAAUAUUUUGAAUGCGUAGUUUUCAUCUAAUUAGUUAUAAAUUUUAUACCCUCUGUUUUCCAUAAGAAUGUGUUCCUUUUCAGGUCUAUGAUCUUGCCCAAUUGAUUAGUGUGCUGAUAACUUUAAAUCUGAUUCCAGUUUCUCCAACAUACAGCGGGUCGAGUGGAGUAACAGGUGAUUGAAAAUUUUCAUUUAGUCCAAUUGUCAUUUCUUUCUCAAUCGGUAAAAUUUAAUCAUUUUUCUUAAAUCGACAACUUAUGCCGGGCCAUAUCAACUGUCCAUGACAUUUUUAUUACAACGAUGUCUUUGUACUUUGUGUUUUGGUCGAAUCUCAGAGUUUGUGCAUAGCACACUUGGUUCUACUGUUUGUUUGUCCCUUCAUAGACAUUUUGAUAAACUGUUAUUUUUGUUCUUUGGAAGUGAAUAUUUUCAGCAACUAGAACUCCGAAGCAUCUGGAGUGAUCCAUUUUGUCAUUCGCAAUACCUAUAAAAGAAUGUCAUAGAAAACAGUUUCCAAAGCAAGUUGCAUGUGUUUUGAAUUUGUCUUUGCAAGCCACUAAUUGCUUGGAGCGCACUGUUAGCCUGUCGUGAUCCCAUCCACUUUUUUGGAUAGACAAUUGUGCAUCCAUAUGAUCUGGACUAAACUAGUUUCUAAUAAAUAAUUGCCCAAGGAUUUAGUCUCAGUGUUACAGCCCAGUCUUUGUUGUCAAUACUCUUUCCCCUGUCGUGGAUGAGCGCCAUAACAGCUUCUUAAUGUUUUGCAGUGGCUUUUGCACGGUUGUUGUUUCCUUCUGAAGCUAGAGUAGCUACGGAUAGAGCGGAUGCAGAUGCCACCAAUUUUUAUACUGGCCUUUCAGCAUCAAAAUCAAAAGGAUCAAGUGGGAACUUAAAGGAGGUUGAUUUGAAUGAAACACCCUCCAUGCAAGCCAAGAGACUCCAAUUAAGAUUGCAAGCUCUGCUUAAAACAAGUAUUCAUAUACCUUAUUAGUUUUUGUACCUUUACAAUUUGUGAUUUUUGUAUCAAAAGAGAGAGGUUAAUUUUUAGUACAUUGAUAUCUCGACAAACUGUUAGAACCUUUGCACCACUAGAGACAUUUUCUUAGAGCAUUUACUGAACCUUCUAUGAUUGCAGUGGAGAUAGGUCGACGCUACUUCCCUCGUUGCUCAGAAGUGGUUGAUAAAUUUUAGGAUUGUGAUUGGUCCGAUGCUUCCCUCCUAGAAAAAGGGUACUCCUAAAGAGCAGAGACUCAAAAGGGCACGCUUCAUGGAACUUAAAGAAGACGUGAAGAAGGCAUUUUACAAGGACAUGGCUGAGAAAAAAUGGCUCAGGUUUGUAGUCAUCCUCGUCAUCGUCAUCUUCUCCGAAGGACGGAGUAAAGUGUAAGGGUAGGAAAAUGUGAUGCUUAUCUGCUUGUCUUUGUUAUUCAUUUACAGGCAACUAAAAGAGUUUUAGUGAGUUGGAUUGUUACUUGUAGAGAGAUACUCUUCGAGCCUAUGUUAUGGCUUAUGUUGUAUAAUAGCAGAGGAACUUCAAGCUUGCGUUGUUGUAUUUUCCCUGGUAUUUGGCAUGUGAUGCACUAAAUGACAAAGAAUUUUCUAAUUUUAGAGGGGAAAGUUAUGUCAGUUAAUUAUUUAUUUAUUUUGUCUGUUUAAUUCAGUUUACACAGCGCUUUUUUUUUUCUAAAAAAAUCUUCAUAUCUCCAUCUGCAAUUUAAGUCAUUCUUAACUUGUUUCAGGAUGGGGAACAAAAAAAAAAAAGAGAAAAUGAAAAGAAGCAUUUGUAAGUAUAUUUUACAGUACUGAUUUUCCUAUAGAAAUUGGUUAAUGUGACAUUAAUGUUCUUUGAGAUAGACGGAUAUACAGAUUUUUCGUCGAAAUUGAAAUUAGAAAUGGAUGGAUAUGCAGAAUUUUUUAAUAGAAUUUUUAUACAAAAAUUUGUAGCUCAUUACUCUCUAAAAGGAAAAAAUAAAUUUUUGAUUGUAAAUAUUAAAUUUUAAAUUUAUAAUAUAAUAACUUUGUGAGUUAAGGUGCACAAUACCCAUAUAUUAAUAAUUAAGAAAAGAAAAAAAAAUUAAAAUUUGUAAAUUACCAAUUUUUUCUUGAAAUUUGAUAUUCUAUAUUAACGUAGGUGUUGCAUGGACUGGGUUAGUACAAUUGAAAGAAACUAACUAAAGUAAAACAAAAUAUCAUUAAAAAUAUGGCAAGCUUCUCAUAUUUUUUAAGUGAAAAAGAGAAGAAAACUAAAAUUAGUUAUUUUUAUACCCAAAUUCUAGUGCUUGAAGGCCGCUGGAAUUGACCAUUGCAGUUUUGUCAUCCUCAUUAUUCACCGGCCAUCGUGGCCUUCCUCCAUUAAAAAAAUAAAUGAUCAUUUUUUUGGACCACGACAUAUUAAAAAUAGUAUUGAUUAAUACUAAUAAAUCUCUUUUUUUAUUAUUUUGCAGUGCAAUAGUCCAGUGAGGGCAGUGCCCAUCGUAGCACUUGAACAUGUGGUAAAUUUCUGCCAGUCUUUGUAAAAUAAUUUUUAAAUUAUGUAUUAACCAGAUAGCUCAAUGAAAACUAUCGUUCACUAAAUCAUUACUUUAUUUUGUAUAUAUUUAUGGUAAUUGUUGAAAAGAAAAAUGUAAAGUGAGAUUAAUGAACGUUUAUGAAUGUGGAAAUUAACACAACCAGGAUUUAUGAUAAAAUAAUUUUAAGUCAAAUGAGCAUAAAUUUGUAUAAAUAUUUUUUGAAUUGUCAUAUAUAUACAAGUUUGUCACUAAUUCCUUACCUAAAUCAUGUACUAAGCAAACAGCAAAUAAGAUCGAAAAUCUUGUUGAAUAUUCCUAUGUUCCCGAGUCCGCCCAGAUCACUGAAUCUUCUUUACCUCUUAUCAGUCCAUACCAUCUGUAUAAAAAAACCAUCUUCUUUUACUAAAACCAUCAAAACCCUGAUUUCUACCAAACGCCCCUCUCCUAAAGAGUAUAUCCAGUCAUCUAAACUAGAUCAGUGUGCUUUAAUGGCUACUGCAGCUGAACAAUAUGUGACACUUGAGAUACCCCCAGAAGUAAUCUCUACAUGGAAAAGAAAAGGCUAUACACAUCUUCAUCUUGCAGGUGUUCGCCUUAUCCUUACUCUCAAUGGGAGAAAGGGUCUACCCGUCACAGCCCGAAUUGCUUUGCUUGACACCAGGUUUAAGCAAUAUCAGCAUGCCAUUAUUGGCACAGUUCUUACUACUCUCUCUGCCGGAAAUGUUUUGCUUACAUUCUAUCCUAAUUUCAAUCUUUCUCUUCUUGACUCUAAUCUUUUCAAAGUAGGUUUUAAUGGUGUUCAAAAACAUAACAUCACAUUAAGGAAUCAUUCUUUUAUUGUUAUCCCCAAAAAAAGUUCACCUUCACCAACCCCCUCAUUUACCCUUCUUCUCAGCUAUCCUUUGGCGUAUCUCCAUUUUAAUAGGAAGUAUUAGCAUAUCUCCCACUUUUCUCCCCUGCCGUUUGUAUACCGUUUCAUAUUGUUAAUGGACGAAGCUACAAGUCUUCUCUUUCAUCAAAUCGAUCCAUAACAAAUACGAGUCUGCUUCACCUAACCAAAACACACACAUACUCCAUCUCUAAAUGCUUUGAAGAUAAACAAAUCAACGGUAAUCCUGCAACUUUAGCUCAGAGAAUCGGAUAAGAAAAGAACAGGCGAUGAAUCAAGGGUAAUGGCGCCGAGUGAGUGUCGCCUGCGGUCGGCGUUAGAGGCGACUGUCACUCAAUCGCGUACAAGGUUAGUCUUUGAAAAAACUCUUUGCACGUUAGAAAUCAGUGAUUGGGCAUUAUUUUGUUAUUUAAAAUGAAAAUGGGUUUGUUGAUGUGUUGAAGAAGUUUCUCUACUGCUGGUGUUUUUUUAUUAAUUAAAAUGAAAAUGGGUUUGUUAAUUUAUUGAAGCAGCUGCUGGCAUUGUUAUUGUGACUUUAUUUAUCCAAUUGAUGAGCUUAUGAGCUAAUAGUAUUGUUUGAUCAAGCUUGUGUUCUUAAUAGUGGAGUUGAUAUUCUUAAAAUGAAUUUAUGAUUAUGAGAAUAUGAAAAUUGAAUGGCAUCGUAGAGAUCUGGAUUAAUCACCAUCGUAUAUGUUUCUAAAUAAAGGAAUAAGCAGCAACCGAUUUGAAAGUUAAGACUUUAGGGAUAUGUAUGUGCAACUGAAUGAAUCAUCAGUUGCUAUCUUGUAAGUCAGUGCUAGCAUAUUACCUAAUGGCAAGUGAAGCUAUUUUAUGUGUAUUGCUGCCUAUCAAAAUGUUUAUGUUUGAAGUUUUCUCCUUUUGGGAAAUUGAAUGCUUCUGUGAGUUCUCUGGUAAGGGCUAUACAACUAUCUCUAAUAGAUUCCUUCAUGUGCAUUAAUUAGCUUAGUAGUUUAUUGACCUAUAUCCAAUGUCUAUUCUCCUUUUCUGUAGCCGUCUAGUUUUAUGAGUGUGUGAAGUGAACUUUUGUUUUAUGUUUCAGGACUUGGGAUUAGAGUGUAUAACAUUCAAUAUCUUUAUAUCAAAGAACUGAUAUAUGUCAAUGUAGUGCGAUCUGGUCUUUAUUAGCUUCUUGAUUUGCCAGGAUGUUUGACAACCAUCUUUGACCAUGAUUGCCAACAUAUAAGCUGCUACAUAGUGUCUCAGGAAUCACAGCAAAUUAUUAUCAUAAUAUGGUGAUUUUGAAUCCAAAACUUGGUAGUGUCAAGAAAAUAGACCCAUGUUUAUUUAUCUUCAUGUUUUGUAUGCGCCUGCAAUAGACUAUUAUAAGUUACUUUUAGUUUUGUCAAUUUUUUUUCCCUUAAAUGUCAGUUAUUUCAGCGGUUUCUUUUAACUGAGUUAAUAGUGUUGUUAGGUUAAACUAAGUUUGGCUUCAUAAGCUUCAUAGUAGAGUGUAGAAUUGGGUAUAAUUUUGGAUUAGACAAGUCAAAGGUCUUAUCAAGUAAUUGUUCUGCUUACUGAUUUGGUAAUUGCAACAUUGCUAAAUAGUUCAAUUUGUCCUUUUUAUUUUGUUGAAUUUAUUGUAUGUCAUAUUACUUAAUUUAAUUAUUUUCUCAGAUCUUGUAGGUGAAAAUUUCAGCUUCAAAGACCAAAGCUAAUCAUCCAGCAAUUCAGUGAAGAAACCAAGACACAGUGGCUCAUAAAUUGUUGUUGGUGAUCCCAGCCAUUCGGGUGCUCGCCAGUCCUAGAUGAGAAACCUUUCAACGCGGCGCAUAAAUUGUUGUAGAGCUGCUUUAUAUAUUUUGACCUUUGUGAUUUGUGAAUACAUGGUUUGAUUCCAGUGUUUACAACUUUGAAAUUCAAUUAAAAGUUGAGCUGUCAUUGAUUGAUGACAAGAUUGUGUUGUAUAACUUGAGAAGCAAAUGAAACAAACAGGAAAUAUGUUUUUUUAUUUUUUUAAUCUAUCUAUCUAUUUAUUUUUUGUUUGGAAAUGUUACAAUUUAUAGCUGGCAAAGUAAUAGAGUUGUAUACUUGUAUUUAAUUUAUUAUUAUUAUUAUUAUUUUAAUGACUCGGUAAUGUCAUUGUCCGUGGUGUUUUGUCAUUUCGAAAGUACUUAACCCUUCCACGCUAAGGCACAUUACCGCAGCCGAAACUUUGAGCUUUCAGUUCUUGAUUUUAGCGUGAGGGGUAUCUUUGUCUUUUCAGUAGUCAACACACGGUCAACAAAACAGUGUACAAACAAUCGACCUGUGAACUUGGGUCAAAGCUUUCAUCUUUAAAUCACAUAGGUAGAUCAUGAUUCAAGCUUCAGUUAUAAGCCUUUCAUUGUGAUUGAGGUAAUUGUGUUUCACUGCUAUUUGUAUUGCUUAAAUUUAUGCUUCUUGGUAUAGUUUUAACAUAUAUGGGAUUGAAAUCAAUUUCAGUUGUGAAGCAACUCCGGUGGUUCCCAAUAUUAGGCAUUGUAGUAGAUCCAAAAUUAGCUUGUUAAGAAGUGUAGAUACCGUAGAGCCCAAAACUCCGUCUUAUCUUGCAAGAGUCUGUUGUUUUAUUUUGAAAGAGACAAAAGUGAUGAUGAUGGGCAGCGAACUCUAGGAAUCAAUGCUUGCUGACACUGACCCCCAAGAAUCAAUGAGUCUGAAUUUGAUAAGUGCACCUAUCCUAUCACAAAAGCUUUUGCGUUGAGUUUCUAACCAAUUUUCAUUUGGGUAGGUGUCAGUUCAUGCUCUGGCUUGACUGUUCUGUUAUUUAGGUUGUUUUAUCCGUAUUUUCUUCACUCACUUGAUGGUUAGUUCUCUCAUGCUUUCAAGCUCUCAACAGUGAAUGCGAGAGAUUCUAUUUUUCCCGUCCAGUCUAUAACCUAGCAAAUCAUUAAUGCUGUAGAAUAGCAUCUUGUGUAGCCGAGUUUAUGUCUCUGAACAUUGGUCCAUCGGCAUUUAGGUUCAAUAAGCAUCUUGAAUUUUGAAUAUAUUAUUCUGAAUCAAAACCCUAUCUGUCCGUGUAGCAUUUUUUAUAUGCUUUACGAUGUUUACCAAUAAUUACCCACUAUGGGGUAUUUGAAUUUUGAAUAUAUUAUUCUGAAUCAAAACUCUAUCUGUCCGUGUAGCUUUGGCUUCUGAACUUGGUUGAGAAGGCUCUUGUGGAAGAUGUAAUCCCAAUUCUCGUGGCUGCCUUGCAUUGCCAACUGAACCACCUCCGUUCUUUCUGCAUCCAGAGAAUUGCAAAGUCAAAUCUUGACAAUGUUUGUCUCGAGAAAGAGCUUCCUGAUGAAGUUUCAAGUGAAAUCAAAUCACUCCGUGUCAAAUCUAACCAGGAGUCUGAAGCUAAUAUAGCAGAAGUGGAUCCUAUGCAUGCAAAAAUAGUCAGAAGAAUCCACAAGGCGCUGGACUCUGAUGACGUUGAACUGUUGAAGCUUCUUCUGGAUGUAUCUAGUGUCACUCUGGAUGAUGCUUACGCUCUGCACUAUGCUGCUGCCUACUGCAACCCUAAGGUUUUUAAGGAAGUGCUCAAUAUGGGCUCGGCUGGUCUCAAUCUUAAGGAUGCAAGAGGACAGACGGUCCUUCAUGUGGCUGCAAGGCGUAAUGAGCCAGAAGUGAUGGUGACUCUGCUGAGCAAGGGAGCAUGCGCAUCAGAAACUACAUCAGAUGGGCAAACAGCUGUAGCAAUCUGUCGGAGAAUGACAAGGCUAAAGGAUUAUCUUGAAGCUACAAAGCAGGGGCAGGGAACUAACAAAGACCGGUUAUGCAUUGAUGUCCUUGAGAGAGAGAUGAGAAGGAACUCCAUGUCUGAGAACUUGGCAAUGCCAUCAGAGGUGAUGGAUGAUCAUUUCCAAGCGAAGCUGGACUAUCUAGAAAAUACAGGUGAUAUUUCUUUACUGGUAUUAGUUCAUCACCUUCUCAGAGUUUGUGCAUAGCACACUUCUUUCUACUGUUUGUUUGUCCCUUCAUAUGGAAAAUGGAGGUGAUAUUCCUUUACUGGUAUUAGUAAAUCAUCUUCUCAAGAGUUUGUGAGUCCCUUCAUUUUAGCAUCUCAAACACACAUGGGCUCAUUGCUUGGGGCACACUGUUGGCCAGUCAUGUGAUUUGAUCCCCUUUUUUGGAAUGGAGAAUUCUGAAUCCAUCUGAUCUAGGCUUUGUGGUUUGCACUGAACUGGUUUUUGAUGAAUAAUUGUACAAGACUUUGUAAUAAAAAACUUUUUUUUUUUUCCCAAAAAGUAAUGAGCUACCAAAAAAUUUAUGCCUAUCCUGGAUGACUGCCAUAACAGCUUCUUAAUAUUUUGCAGUGGCUUUUGUACGGUUGUUUCCUUCUGAAGCGAGAGUAGCUAUGGAAAUAGCAGGUGCAGAUACCGCCACUGGCCUUUCAGCAUUAGGUCAGAAAGGACUAAGUGGGAACUCAAAGGAGAUUGAUUUGAAUGAAACGCCCUCUAUGCAAGCCAAGAGACGCCAAUUGAGACUGGUAACUCUGCUUAAAACAGGUAUUUAUAUACUUUAUUAACUUUUGCACCUUUCUAUUUACUGAUUAUCUUUAUAAUUAACUAAUACAUGUAUCCAGGUUUCUCCUUCCAAUUGGAAUUUCUUUAUAGUGCUCUGUUAGGUGUAAUCAGAUGUAUCAAAAGAGAAAGGGUAAUUGUUAGUACAUUGAUAUCUCAACAAAAUGGUAGAACCUUUCUUUAUACCAGUUAAGACAUUUGUUGCAGGUAUGCCUACAUAAUCAGUGUCCUUCAAAACUUUCAAGGAGUUAGCUAUGCCUAACCCCUGAAACACUAAAUCUCACGGGAUCAACUCUUUACCUCUAGACCGAAGGUGUGACACCCAGACCCAAUUAGGGCUUAGAACACAUAUCGAAUCUGAGUGAAACUAAAUGCCUGUAAAUCCAAAUCUCCAAAAUAUCAAAAAGUCAUCUACUUUCUCUUUUCAUGUAUUUCACAAAAUUUUGAAAAAUUCAUUCUCAAUCAUAAACUAUGCACAGCUAAUUAUUCAGCAUAUCAGUAUAGAGCAAUACUUCCUCAUAAGCAAAUAAAUCUUACAAUCCUUCUUACAUGAUUUGAAAAAAAUACUAAUAGAAGUCUUCUAGAUACAAACAUAAACAGAAUUCAACUGUUUAAAACUAUGCCAAAACACAAGCUUCAAUCAGUAAUACAUACGACUAAUUAUUAAAAACAUCUAGCCAGAAACCUUACGAAAGCUCAAUCCUUCCGAAGCAUUCUUCAAAUUAAUAAUUGCUACCAUCUGUAAAAAAUAAUUGGUAAGGAGUCAACUGUGAACUCAAUCAGUAGAAACAUUCGUAACGAACAAAAAGAAUUCUUUGUGCAAUAUUUUCAGAAAAUUCAUUUAACCUUUCAAAUGAAACAAAGUAAUUUUUCUAACGCAGUCAGGAUUUAUAUAAAACACAAACGUUUCAGACAGAAGCUAUGUGGAACGUAAAUUUUGCUUCUUUAAACAGAAAGUUAUAUAUUAGUUUGAUUUUAAAGGGAGGUUAUUGGGAAGUUAAAAUUGGCAGUUGUGGGAAAAGGGUAAUAGCAGUUAUAAAAUCUCUUUUAAAGCAAAUUCAAAUCAAGUUUCAAAUUUUAGGAGUACUUAAUUCAAUAAAAUAAGGAAUAAAUAAAGCUUUCAUUGAAACAAAACUAAGUAAAUUCAUUUAAAGCAAAAAAGGAUGGGAACAUUACAUAAGGGUUCUUAUGUUUACCCGCAGUCAGACAUCUGGGAUCUUGUUAUUUGGAGACAGGACUUGAUUGUGCCAUGUUUUCCGCAGCUAGACAUCUGUGGAUAAGAGAACCCUAAGCCUAUUGAGAAUAAAUUCCGUAAUCCAAGACUCUUCAGUUCUUUAAUUUUUGGCUAAUUAGUUAUAAAAUUUGUGAAUUUCAUGCUCCAUGCCCCUUGCAAAAUGUAUUUUAUAUCCUUAAGUUGCCAGUUGUUGAACUGAAAUAAUAAAAAAUGGAAAACAGACUUAAUGCCGAUAGCAUUUCUUAAGAAAAACUUGGGAUGUUUAUAAUUUUCUUAGAGCAUUUGCUGAACUUUCUGUGAUCGCAGUCGAGACAGGUCACCUCUACUUCCCUCAUUGCUCAGAAGUGGUUGUUGAGUUUAUUGAUUGCUAUCAUUGCUCAGAAGUGGUUGAUGAGUUUUUGUAUUGUGAUUGGUCCGAUGCUUCCCUCCUAGAAAAGGGUACUCCUGAAGAGCAGAUACUCAGAAGGGCAUACUUCAUGAAACUUAAAGAAGACAUGCAGGAGGCACUCUGCAAGGACGUGGCUUAUCACCGUCAUUCAGGGCUGCCAUCAUCCUGGUCGGCAUUUUACAAGUACUUGGUGGCUGAGAGCAAUCGUUCAGGUAUGUCGAUUGGUAUAUUUGGCACCUGGGAAACUAAAAGAAUUUAGUGAGCUCGAUUGGUAUUUGUAGUUCUUUUUCCUCUAGUGAUCUGGCAUGUAUCAAUUAGUUAAAUUAUUGUAUUUUCUCAUGUCCAGUGGGACACGCAAACGUUAGUAUGGAUCAAAAACUCAUUUCAUAUAAUAUUUUUUUGUAAAAUUAUAUAAUUUACAGGCUAUGCUCAAAAAAUUAGAGAAAAAGAAUUGUAUUACAAUUGGUAUGAGGCAUGCAUGUGUAUAUCAAUAUCAGCUGCUGAACAAACUUUGCCUUUUAAUUUUGUAGGCAUUACUAUCUCAAAUUUUCUAUUAUCAUAAAUGAGUUUUUUUUUUCUUUUUUUUAAGAAAAUCAUAAAUGAGAUUAAGAUAAUCUUUUUUUUAAAAAAAAAAAAAAGAAAACUGGAGAUUUUUUUUUCCUUAAAAAAAUGAAGAAAAGUUUAGAAAGUAUUGAGAGAUGGAGAAAUAAAGCAAUUAUAUUCAUAAAUAUAAUGUGUUUGGUGCAGUAACAGAAACUAAUAAAUUAUAAUUUAUGAGAUUAGUUUACAGACUCUUACAUAUGAAAUUAUAUCCCCUAAUUAAAAAUCUUCACACCUCUUUUUGCUUCUCAUUUAGAUGCCCUUUCUAGAACUUCUCCAACGGUAAACACAUUUUUAUUAAACAAAACAGAAAAAAUUAUAUAUAAUUGUUCAUAAGGACCAUUUCUUUUGUACAUAAUACAUAAUUGGCCAUUAAAGUUAUUUGAGAAGAAAAUUUACAUGAGAUGGGUACAUCACAUUAUCAGUAUUUUUGUCUAAUUUUGAACAUACGUUCCUUGUACGAAUUUUCCUAGAAUGGUCUCUCAUAAAUUUUUCUCCAAUUUGAGAGAUAGUGGGAAUUGGGUUAAAGUGCAUUUACAUAGAAUUAAUUUAAAAUAAAAUUUAUUUUUUAACUAUUUUAACUAAAAGUAGCACUACAAGAAAAAAGGCCUACAAUGACAGUCCCUUGUGUGACAGUUUUUUAUCUGGAGACCUACAAUGAUGGAUUUGUGUUAAAUUUUAUUUUUAUCAUGCAAUUAUGACAUAAUUGUGAUAUAAAUUUCGUCUAUCAAAAACUUAGGAUAGACUCAUGAUAGAUUUUUUAACUAUCAAGAAUUUAUGACUCAUAUUUAAUUUUGACUUCAGUUAUUCGGGUUUGACUGUAUUUUUUAAAAUUAUUUUAUUACAAAAAAUUACUAUUAAAAGGAAACGCAGUCGUUUCUUUUGCAAGCAAAACGACAACGUCUUUUUGGCAAGCAAAACGACAACGUCUCUUUGUCGAAUAUAAACUUGAUAAUUCUGAAUAAAAGUUGUGACUUUUGGGGGAAAAAAAACAUAAAAUGCAGAGUUUUAAAGAGAUAACUCAUUUUAAGUGUGAGAAAUUCACUCUCACACUCAAAACACACAAAAGACUUCGACAAAUUAAGAGAAAAUGAAGAAACCCACGACAAACCCACAACAAACCAUAAUCAUUCGAAGUCAUUCUCAUUGCCUACCAUUCUCGCCGCUAUUUUCGAUGUCGUUCGUCUGCCAUUCUCACUCAUUCGUCGUUCGAGCUCUGCCGAAACCUGCUUUUGUCAAAGAUUUCACCCUUUCGUUUGAACGCAAUUUCUACUCUGUGCUAGAGAUAUUUGAAGUCCCAGCUUCUGCCAUUGUCAUUGCUUCUGCUUCGGAUUUGUUGAUAAACCCUAACAAUUUCUAUUGUACCUAUCUAUUUCGCCAGCAAAGCCCUAACUGAAGAACUGAUUUCUUUGCACUGUGAAAUCAUCAGUUCAUUGGUAUGAAAUUCAUCAUUACCUUUAAUUUUUGUUUAUUUUUGUUGAUUUUCUGUGUUUGUAUGUUUGUAUAAAAAUGAGACUUCGAAAAAUAUUUUCAAUUUAGGAGCAUUUGUUGGGGACUUGACUUUUGAGGAAGAUACGAGUAAAUAUGUGGAAGUAUUUGUUUAAUUACUUUGAGGUCUGAUCUCUAUUGGACAUUUAGAAUAAAGAUCAAGAAAUUUAUGCCAUUUUUAAGAAAGAGUUGAUUCUUGAUAAACCAGAUUCUUGUUCUUUUUAGAAGGUUAUUUUGUGAAUUCAAUUUGUUUUUAAUUGAAUCUGUUGUUGUUUUUGGUAGCGAUGAUAUAUGGUUUGAAGAACUUAAGGAAGAGCUUGAAGAAUGCAAGAACCAUGAAGUAAGCAGAAGCUUUAAUAUUUGUUCUUUUUAUGCUAAUAUGUAGCCAAUCUUUUAGUGAUUAUAUGUUUAGUUGUUAGUUUAACCACUCAGGCAUGGUGCUACUUUUAACAUUGAUUCAUUCUUUGGGAAAUAAUCAGUUGAGAGAUUGACAUAAAGUACAAGCUUAAGAAUUCAAUUGUUGUUGUUGAUCGGUGCAUUCUUUGAACUGAAAAUUUGAAAACUUGUAAGUGAUUAGGUAGCUGUUUGUUGGAUGUUGAUUAGACCUGUAAGUGUAUAAUACUUCUUGAGCUUACAUUAAUGCAAGUUAUUCAGAUUUCUGGGUUUAGAAAUUAACUUGUUAAAUGGUUGAUGCACAAAUCAGAUGAUUACAUUAUCCAGUUCAAUUUUUUUUUUUUUUGAUAAUACAUUUAUCCAUCAAAUAGAAAGGAAUGAAAAGUGAGUUUAGAGAGUACCACUUGUCAUUGUCUUGUAGUUUGAUGUAGAAUGUGCAUAAGCUAACUGUAACAUCCCAUAUUCCUUUAACUGUGAUUUUAUUAACUCUUAAGUUUAAGCCCAAUAUUAUAUAUUUAGCCAUUUUUAAAAGCCUAUUUUCUCUAUUACUUAACUAAAUAGCUUAAACAAUAUAUUUGCUUGUCAUUCUCAUGUGUAAGAAAUGGAGGCAAAAGACAUUGCCAUUAUCCACCAUUUGAGAAAAAGAAACAGAACCUGAUACAAAGUUUAAAAACUUUUCUGAUUUCACCAAUUGAGCUUCAAUUUCUUUAGUUUCAGUGUCAAUUUGAAACAUAUCUUGCCAAGGCUUUAGAACCAUUCUUGCAUGUUAAAUUAUCCAAGCUUGGCAGCCUCAAAUCCAUCAAAAUUAUAAGUCUACCUUAAAUUGCUUUAUAUGUAUGUUAAUUUACUCUCCUUUCUAUAGUUGGUGUAAGUUUGAAGCCAUUGUGAGCUAUUCUUAUGCUAUCUCAGAACUCUUGACUCACCAUUGUAGUCCAACCACUGAUUUUUCUCCUUUUAUGAUUUAGGGAGAGUAGAACUGGUGUGGGGGAUAAAAAUCUUGUUGUUUUGAGUAGUCUUUUUGGCAGAAGACAAUGGGCUUCCUUUUGUUUUUAGGUAAAACCCCUCGAUUUCUCAAUAACUUCUUAUGACUUUGUUUAAUGGUAGUGUGAUUGAUUAUUAUUUCUUUGAUCUUUUAUGUUUUGAGUAGUCUUUUUGUCAAUUCCAAGGUUGAGGUUAAUACUUGAGAAGGUGGCAGAAAGCUUUAACAGGCUACAAAGUUAAAGCUUGUGAUUUAGGUAGGUAACUUUGGGCAACUAAUGUUCUGGUUUUGUAGUUCACUUACAUAGUGCAUAGAUACUUUUUUACAAUUCAAUUGAAAGACAACAUAUUCUAAUGAUGAAUUAGAUGAAGUUCGUAUUGAGUGGGCAAACCAUGUUUCUGAAUUACUUGCUACUAUGUGAGGUAAGCCUUACCUAUUAUGUUGUUAUAGUGAGUUCAUUGAUGAAACAAAUUAAUUUACCAAACUUUUGUUCAUUGAAAACAAACUUUGCUAGCUAUUAUUCUAUUGCUUAGUAUUCUAAUCUAUAUGAGUUGUCACGGACUUUGAAUUUGUUAUAUUUUACUUGUGCAGUUACCUAGCUUCUUACACUUGCUAUGUUGGAAUUUGAUGAAGAUGGCGGGUACUGCUGGAGUUCGCUACCUUUUUUAUUUGAUGCAAAAACAGGUCCUGAAUAUUGAGGCAACUUUGCACAUUUAGCUUCUUCUUAUAUUGGUAUUUGUUGUAUGCUUCACCAAAACUGUUAGAAUGGAUUUUCUUAGUCUGAUCAGUGUUGUUGGCUUCAUCUUGUGUUGCUGGAAAUGAACUGUGUUCUUGGCUUUCUUUGUGUUGCUCUAAAUGACUAUGUUGUUGGCUUCCUUUUGUUGCUGGAAAUGAACCGAUCAUGGUACAUUAGUCUUGUACAUGUUGCAGGAAUUUGUUUUUAUGUUGUUACAAUACUCUUCUAUUUAUGUUGGACUUGUCACUUGUAUUUGGAUAAAUUAUGUUUGUUCACAAUUAUCAAUAAUUAGCCAAUGUUAUUUAUUUUGUUUUCUUUGUCAAUGAAUUUUUAAUUGCAAUUAAUUUUAAUAAUCUAAUUAAUUAGCUAAAUUAUGAAAUAUUAAUUUCUAAAUCAAUUGUAGGAUUUUUAUUAAAAUGAUAAUAAUUUCAUGGUACAAACAAAAUAGUUAUUUUUAUUAAUUAUAAUUUCAAAUUUCCAAUUAAUUGAAAAAAAUCAAUUAAUUAUAAUUUCCAUUUUCACUGCAAAUUGAACAUUUCCUGCCAAAAUUUAAAAAAUAGCGUGCGAAAUUCAAAAAAGGCAACCCAAAUUCAAAAUUAUUAUAUUUCCCUCUAAUUAAAGUUAUGAUGGUUGUGUGACUGACUAUAUUCAUCAUAGGUUAUGAUUGGUAUUAUUCUGUCAUCAAUUCUUGACGCUGGCUAUAAUGACGGUAUGAACAACUGUCAUCCACCCCCUACUAUGACAAUUUUUGCCUGUCAUCGUAGGUACUUUUUCUUGUAGUGUAGCAGUUAUUCUUUUUAUUAGUGUUAUUCCAAUUAUAUCAAAAUCAAGUGACUGGUGAUCAAAUUAAGUAGUUCAUUAAUUUUUUUAAGCGACGUAUGGUAUGGAGUUUUUAUAAAUCUAUUUAAAUAGUAUAAUAUUUAAUUUUGCUUGUCCUAAAAUUUUAGUUUACGUGGGUUAAAAAAGAAAAAAAGAAAAAAGAAAUUGACUUAUUAAUUAAUUAACAAUUAUACAAAGAAUAAAUAGAAAGUUAUAGUUGGCAAUGGCAUUAUUUUUCUCCUUGUUAAGUUUUUCUUUCCCACAUUAUCCCCCUUGAAGCAGCAUAUUGAAGGAAAGGAGCAUUCUUAUAUAUGCUUUAUGAUGUUCUUAAUGUAUUCUAACUCAAAACUCUAUCUAUCCGUGCAGCGUCGCCUUCUGAACUUUGUUGAGAAGGCCCUUGUGGAAGAUGAAAUUCCAAUUCUUGUGGCUGCCUUCCAUUGCCAACUCAACCCGCUCCGCUCUCACCGUGUCCAGAGAGUAGUAAGGUCAAAUCUUGAUGAUGUCUGUCUCCUGAAAGAGCUUCCUGAUGAAGUUUCAUGUGAAAUCAAGUCACUCAGUGUCAAAUCUAGCCAGGAGUGUGAAGCUAAUAUAGCAGAAGUGGAUCCUAUGCAUGCAAAAAAGAGUCAGAAGAAUCCACAAGGCACUGGACUCUGAUGACGUUGAACUGUUGAAGCUUCUUCUGGAUGAAUCUAAUGUCACUUUAGAUGAUGCCUACGCUCUGCACUAUGCUGCUGCCUACUGAAACCCUAAGGUUUUUAAGGAAGUGCUCAAUAUGGGCUUGGCUGAUCUCAAUCUUAAGGAUGCAAGAGGUCAUACGGUGCUUCAUGUGGCUGCAAGGCGUAAGGAGCCAGCAGUGCUGGUGACUCUGCUAAGCAAGGGAGCAUGCGCCUCAGAAACUACAUCAGAUGGGCAAACAGCUGUAGCAAUCUGUCGGAGAAUGACAAGGCGAAAGGAUUAUAUUGAAGCUACAAAGCAGAGGCAGGAAACUAACAAAGACCGGUUAUGCAUUGAUGUCCUUGAGAGAGAAAUGAGAAGGAACUCCAUGUCUUGGAACGUGGCACUGUCACCAGAGGUGAUGGCUGAUGAUUUCCAAAUGAAGCUGAACUAUCUAGAAAAUAGAGGUGAUAUUUCUUUACUGGUAUUAGUUCAUCACCUUCUCAGAGUUUCUGCAUAGCACACUUCUUUCUACCGUUUGUUUGUCCCUUCAUCUUAGCAUCUCCGACAUUGCUGUAAACGGGAUAACCACACAGUCUACACUUGUGCUAUCAUCAAAGAAUUUUUCUUGAACUGUUAUUUUUGUUAUUUGGAAGUGAAUAUUUUCAGCAACUAGAACUCGGAAGCAUCCGGAAUGAUCCAUUUUUUUUUUUUUUUAUGUCAAAACAUGAAGUAAUUAAAGGAGGUCAAACAACAAUAAACUCAUUCAUUUUGUCCAAAAUUGAAAAAGACUACAUAGUAAUCAUAAUUGAAAACAACUAAGCACAAAAACAAAUAACAUCCUUUUUCAAAAUUAUGUUCCCAUGAAUCUUGUCUCCACACAUUAAAGAAGACUAAAUCUAUAAUUAGGUGCUGAUUCACGCCCAAAAUUACCCUUCAACUCCUUAAGCAGAGGCAGCUGCUCCCUUCUUCCUUGGUGCUGCCUGAGUACCUUCUCUGAAGCCGCUCUUGAACCUGCGAGGGACAUGGCGCAGAUACCUCAUCCUGCCGGUUCCAGUGGUCUUUCUUCGGAUUGCCUUCACACUCCAGUUAUACGUUCUCUUGCGAGCAGCGGGGUAAGCACAAGCAGCGCAACGACUCUUCUGAAGAUGGAAGCUGCGACGGCCACAUCGCACACACAAAGUGUGCGUCUUGUUUCUCCUCUUACCAAAACUCCCUGUGCCCUUACCCAUUGAAGCGUAUGCGAAGUAGAGGAAAGCCUUCUGAUGAGUUCCGGAAUGAUCCAUUUUAUCAUUCUCAAUACCUAUAAAAGAAUGUCAUAGAAAACAGUUUCCAAAGCAAGUUGCAUGUGUUUUGAAUUUGUCUUUGGAAGCCACUAAUUGCUUGGAGCACACUGUUAGCCAGUCGUGAUUCCAUCCACUUUCUUGGAUGGACAAUUGUGCAUCCAUAUGAUCUAGGCAUGUUGGUUUGGACUGAACUAGUUUUAAUAAAUAAUUGCCUUCAGGAUUUAGUCUGUGUGUUACAGUCCAGUCUUUGUUGUGAAUAGUUCUUUUUUCCCCCUCCCGAGGAAAGAAUUGAGAUAAAAAAUAAUUUAUUCCUGCCACGGAUGAGUGCCAUAACAGCUUCUUAAUGCUUUGCGGUGGCUUUUGCGCGGUUGUUGUUGCCUUCUGAAGCUAGAGUAGCUAUGGCUAUAGCAGAUGCAGAUGCCACCAAUUUUUAUGAUGGCCUUUCAGCAUCAAAAUCAAAAGGAUCAAUUGGGAACUUAAAGGAGGUUGAUUUGAAUGAAACACCCUCCAUGCAAGCCAAGAGACUCCAAUUAAGACUGCAAGCUUUGCUUAAAACAGGUAUUUAUAUACCUUAUUAGUUUUUGUAUGUUUAUAAUUACUGAUUUUUAUAUCAAAAGAGAGAGGUUAAUUUUUAGUACAUUGAUAUCUCAACAAAAUGGUAGAUCCUUUAUACCACUAAAGACAUUUUCUUAGUGCACUUACCGAGCUUUCUAUGAUUGCAGUUGAGACGGGCCGACGCUACUUCCCUCAUUGCUCAGAAGUGGUUGAUAAGUUUUUGGACUGUGAUUGGUCUGAUGCUUCCCUCCUAGAAAAUGGUGCUCCUGAAGAGCAGAGACUCAAAAGGGCACGCUUCAUGGAACUUAAAGAAGACGUACAGAAGGCAUUUUACAAGGACGUGGCUGAGAAAAAUCGUUUAGGUUUGUCGUCAUCCUCGUCGUCGUCAUCUUCUCCAAAGGAAGGAGUAAAGUGUAAGGGUAGGAAAAGGUGAUGCUUAGUUACUUGUCUUUUGUUAUUCAUUGCUAGGAGACUAAGAGAGUUUUACUGAGUUUGAUUGUUACUUGUAGAGAGAUACUCUUAGAGCCCAUGUUAUGGCUAUGUUGUAUAAUAGCAGAGGAACUUCAAGCUUGCAUUGUUGUAUUUUCCCACGUAUUUGGCAUGUAAUAUACUAAAUGACAAAGAAUUUUCUAAUUUUAGAGGGAAAAAAUAUGUCAGUUAAUUAUUUUUUUAUUUUAUCUGUUUAAUUCAGUUUAUAAUAUAGCUUUUUUUUAUAUAAAAAAAAAUCUCCAUAUCUUCAUCUGCAAACUCAGUCAUGUGCAACUUCUUUCAGGGAGAAAAGAGGGGGAAAAAAAAAGGGCAUUUGUACCUGUAUUUUACGGUACUGACCCUCAUACAGAAAUUGGUUAAGAUGACAUUAAUGCUCUUCGAAAUAAAUAGAUAUGCAGAAUUUUCAUCGAAAUUGAAAUUAGAAAUGGAUGGAUACGAAUGAUAUAUAUGCAGAACUUUUUAACAGAAUUUUUAUGCAAAAAUUUGUAGCUAAUUACUCCCCCGAAGAAAAAUAAAUUUUCAAUUGUAGAUAUUAAAUUUUAAAUUUAUAAUAUAAUAAAUGUGACUUAAGUUGCACAGCACCCAUAUAAUAAUAAUAAUUAAGAAAAGAAAAUUUAAAUUUUGUAAAUUAUCAAUUUUUUAAAAUUAAUUAUUUUUAUACUCAAAUUCUCAUGCUCGACGGCCGCUGGAAUUGGCUAUUGUAAUUUUGUCAUCCUCAUUAUUCACUAGCCAUUUUUGGACCACGACAUAAUAGAAAUAGCAUAGAUUAUACUAAUAAAUUUCCUUUAAUUAUUUUGUAGUGUGAUGAUCUAGUGAGUACCAGUGUCCAUCAUAGCACCUGAACAUGUAAAUUUCUGAUAUUUUCUGUAAAAUAGUACUUAAAUUGUGUAUUAACUAGACAGUUCUAUGUAGACCACAACUCAUUAAAUCAUUACUUUACUUUGUAUAUAUUUAUGACAAUUGAUGAAGAAAAAUAUAAAGUGAGAUUAAUGAACAUUCAUGAAUGUGGGAAAUUAACACAACUAGGAUUUAUGAUGAAAUAAUUUUAUUUCAAAUGAGUUUAAGUGAAUGGAUGUUAAAAAAACUUAUAGUAUAUAUUUUUUGAAUUGUUAUAUAUACAAGUUUGUCACUAACAGUAAAUUAAAUUAAGAAUAUUUUAAUAAUUCAAAAUCUCAUUCAACCAUCCCUGUUUAUAGUUUUAUUCGGAGUACAAAAUUGUAAACAGCCUCACCCUUAAUAGUAUAAUGCUAAACACUUUUAAAAAUUUAUUCUAUUAUAGUCGUCUUAGUCAGUUAUAUUUAUUUCCAAAUUGAAGAUAGAAAUAGUACUUUAUAUAUCGUACAUUACUUAAAGAAUUUUUUUAAAAAUCAAAUUAUGAGCUAGUGAAAGGAUGCAAUAAAUCACGUCUAAAAUUGUAAAAUUCAUCAAUCACCGAAUAAAUUAAAUAUCAUGUCUCAUGGGCUUAAAAGAUAGGCUUUUGAAUGAUAUAUCGUACUCAAAAAUCUAUUUUUAAUUAAUUAUUAUACGAACGUUUAAAUGUGUCUCUAAGCUAUAUUAUAUAGUUGCUAAUUACUAUUAAGCUUACACUUCUUCCUUCUAAAAAAAGCAUCUUUUGGCUUCUCAGAUCGCGAUUCAAGCUUCAGUUAUAAGCAUUUCGUUUCGAUUGAUAUUGUUGAUGCGAGAUUCUGGCUCUCUGCUCGACCACGACCAGGAUCUCUCCUCAACUAAACGGACCACGACCAGGGUCUUUCCUCGUAACACUUCUUCUCCACAAACUCCUGUGUACACAGAAACAAGUCAGAGCACGCCGGGUGUUUUUCCGGCGUAAACCCUCCGACGCUCAAGUCAGGAAUGUAGGCUUUGCCUUUCUGGGAAAAACGGCCACUAAUCUUAUGGCUCUUUUCUUAGAUCUAUCAAUCGAAAAUUCUCUUUCUCUCCUUUUUUUUCUCAAAAAGUCUAACCCUUUUACCUUCGUUGGCUACCUUUUUAUAGGCUUCUCCUGAGUUCAGACCUUCCCUCAAUUCACGCCCGUUACCUUCCCACCUCUCGGAAGUGGAUGCAUCGUUUCUGUAAUCGUGGGUGGUUGCAUGGCCUUCGUGCCUUGAUUCUCGGGUUGGAGAGCACGUCUCGCCAACUGUCGUUGACCGGGUCUCCUCGCCUCAACCCUUAGCAGGAAUGGCUUUACGCUUCUAAUAGGAGACCGGCCUCGCAGAUGGUGUAUUCACGGACGAGCAGUAUAUUCCUGCUCCUGUUCCCCUACUACCAGACUUCUACAAAAUAUACCUGUUCGUGGAACCCUGCUACCAAAUAUCUGCUCAUCAUGGCUGGUCUUGUCAAAGUACAUCCCCCAAACACCGAUCCCCCAGUUUCUGGUGUUGGGUAACAUAGUGAGCCGACAGUAGAAACUCGACAGUUCUGGCUCGCGCGGGAUAGGAAAAGACUGCCAAGAGUCGUGUCGCAUUUAAUUGCGGAUGAGGUGAUGUGGCAGAAAUCUACCCCUCUAUUUGAAUUUCAAACCGAUGGUUACGAAACUCUUGGGAUUUGUGCCGUUAAAUGCUGGCAGCCCAAGAGUUUGUUCCUCAUUAGGAAAACCCAAAACCCCCAAAAGAGAAACUUGUCAUUUACUCUGUUUCUGUCUCUCCGGCGAACGAGUCCUUCCUCUCCCUCGGCGUAAAAGCUUCCAUCCUUGUCUCUCUCCGACUAAGUCACAACUUCAGGUAUUAUUUCUAUUUCCUCGGUCUUGGAUAGUUGUAGACAAUUUCCUUUCUCUCUGUUUUGUUUGGGUAGUGCUUGGUGAUGCUGCUCUGGUUAUAGUUUAAGGAAUGUCAAAAGGUAAAGAGAAAGUCGUUGAGAUUGAUGACGACGAACUAGACUUCUUGCCUAGUCUGCUCGCCGAUUCUGCCUUUGACCCCGGGAUCCCCUUAGAACCCAUUAGAUCUAGUGUUGGGGCUAGUGCUAGGAAGAUGUCCCCCCCAAUAACCUCCUCAAGCGGCAAUAGCGGCGACGAGGGGUCUUCUGGUUCGGAAGACACUCUGAGUAAGGAUCAGGGAGAUGAUUAUGGUGGAAUGUCCUCACCAGGAAUAUCGCGACCACAUAGGAGGGUCACAGUAGGAGGUAGAGCUUUAUCAAAGCAUUACGCUAUUGAUUUCAUCACGUGCACGACCACAGUAGAGGAGCUCACUAACCUCCGGGUUAGGUAUGAAAUUCCUGAUGAUAUUCCUCUUAGGAUCCCAGGAAAGAAGGAUACUCCUAGUCGGCCUCAUAGGGGAUAUGUUACUCUAUUUUUGGAGAGUUUUAAACUUGGGUUGAGGUACCCCCUGCAACCCUAUUUUGCCCGAAUACUUAAUGGGUUAAAUUUAGCUCCUGGUCAGCUGAACCCCAACGGGUGGAGAGUACUCUCUGGUCUGUUCAUAUUGUGGGAUAGAUGUUGCCAAAGCGAGCCCACAGUUGAUGAGGUGAAGCACCUGUAUCAGCUAAAGAGCUGCCCCAAAGACGCCGGCUGGUAUUACUUCCAAUCAAGUACCAAGACCAGGAAACCCAUAAUUGAUCUUCCAACUGGUGGUGGUGGGAAUUGGAAGAAAAAUUUCUUUUUUGCUGGGGGUCCCUGGGGUCAAGUUGCACAGAUUGAUGGGAAGGAUUAUCGCGUCCCACCCCGUUUCGUGGUCCCAGGUUGCCUGCUCGCUUUAGAUGUCUUGUCUCCAUAGUUGUUCUCACUUUGUUGAUUUGUCUCUAACCCAAUAUUUGUUCGCAUUGCAGGUUCUUGGGGUGUGCAUUACCCUCUUAAACCUGAGCAGCUCAAGCGGGUCGAGGCUGUACUGGCCAAUUCCUGUUCGAACCGAGAGCUGCUAACUACUUACAACUUGGUCGAAUCUCGUUUGGUGUCCACCGGCUAUAAGAUGUAGGAUGCUGUGAUCGGGGCUUUGAAUCGGAAACGUCCUCGACCUCAUGCUGCCAAGCAGGACCAGAAUAAAGAUGCUCCUUUUGCGAAGCGGGUGAACAUUGUUCAGUAGGUUCCCCCCCUGGAGACUCUACCUCCUCCUCCUGCCAAAGCUGGAGAAACUAGUGGAGCAGCCACUUCUUCUCCCCCAGCUGGGUCGAAACCCCGUUUGCCCGACAAUCGAGCGGAGCAUCUGGCCCCCUACAUCAGUGAGUUUUCUAAGCUCAUGAGCAAGAGAGACUUGGAGGAUUUUGACGGCAGCACUCCGGGUGAGCUGGUGGGGGCUAUGCAGUAUAAUGCUUUCCACCUCGGCUGCAUGUCCACCUACUAUAAGGCGAAGGUCGGCCGCUAUGAACAGAAGAUGAAAGAGGACAUUCAAUCGGCAAAAACCAAAGCAGGAGACCUAAAUCUCGAGAAUCUAAAGUUGAUAGAGUGAGAAUCUCUCGCUCAAGCCAAGGCCAUCACUCUUGAGGAAGAGCUGACUAAGGUCAAGGAGGAUCUGCAGGGGCAGAAGGCCACCUAUGAGGCUCAGCUCGAAUCCCUCAAGGACUCUCACCAGGCUCAGGUCGAGAACCUAGAGAAGGAAGCUGACAACCAAUAUGACCAGGGUCUGCGGCAUUCUUAUCGCUGCAUCAUAGCUGUUUUAGGGAAGCAGCAUCCUGAUCUGAAGAUGGAUGACCUUACUGCUGGUGUUGCUCAACACAUGGACGAGGAGGCAGCAAAAGAGGAUGUCGAAGAGGUGGAGCCAAAUGCGGUUGAGGAGGGAAAUUAUCCUCCUCAUUCAGUCCUUGCUGAUGUUGCUGAGGCGAGUACCCCCCGGAUGCAACUAGUGGUACCCCCCUCCAUUUGAGGUGGACCAGCCAACCGAGAAUGCUCGGCUUACUGACCCGCCGUCCUCUUGAAUGUAUCUUGUGUUGUAGCUGUUUUUUUUUUUUUUUUGGAACACUGUAUGUUAUGAGUAGCAGCUUUUCAUGAUUAUUGAUAAAUUAAUAAGAAUGUUCUUAUUUGCUUUCUCGUGCUGUAGUUGCAAAUUAUUUUACGUUUGAGGGUCUACUCGCCUUCACCGGGUCAAGCAAAUCCUGGCACGCUUGGCUUCUGGUGUCGCCAUAAGACAGGCUUUGAGACUUGGUGAGCCUUUGCAUACCUUAGAAAUUUUUAUAACGCUUGGGAGUCUGCUUGCCUUCGCUUGGUCGAGCAGAUCCCGGCACGCUUGGCUUCUGGUCUCGCCAUAAGACAUGCUUUGAGACUUGGUGAGCCUUUGCAUGCCUUAGAAACUUUUUUAUCGCGUCUGGGAGUUUGCUCGCCUUCGCUUGGUCGAGCAGAUCCUGGCACGCUUGGCUUCUGGUCUCGCCAUAAGACAGGCUUUGAGACUUAGCCUUUGCAUGCCUUAGAAACUUUAUAACAUUACACUGACUGAAAUUCAUCAUGGUUUCAUUGAUUAUUGAAUUCGGCUUACACGAGGUUGAUUUAACAUAAAACGAAUAACAACAAAAGCGAACAGAAAUAACUUUAAAUCAGGAACGAGUCUUACUGGAAUUUCCUGAGGUGUGCUGCGUUCCAGGGGCGUUUCACCUCGUGACCAUCCGCACGAACAAGCUUGUAGGCUCCGGGUCCAGCUACCUGCUUGACCCUGUAUGGCCCCUCCCAGUUUGGUCCAAGUACUCCUUGAGUCGAGUCUUUCGUGUUCUGAUUCACCCUCCUUAAAACCCAAUCUCCGACCUUGAACUGCCGUACAUUCACCUUCUGGUUGUAAUAUCGGGCAACCCUCUGCUGGUAGAUGGCUGAUCGUUUCGAUGCUUGCUCCCUCUUCUCGGUUAGCAAAUCCAGAUUCAAGCACAUCUGGUCGUUGUUCUCCUGCUCAUCGAAGUGAUCUGUCCGGUGCGUGCUCGUCCCUAUCUCAACUGGUAUAACUGCUUCAUGUCCGAAGGCCAAGGCGAAUGGAGUUUCGCCAGUUGUUGUUUUGUGGGUUGUCCUGUAUGCCCAUAAUACACAUGAUAACUCAUCAACCCAUGUACCCUUUUUUGCUCCAAGCCUGGUUUUCAACAGCCUCUUGAUUAUCUUGUUGGCUGCUUCUACUUGCCCGUUAGACUGAGGAUGAGCAGGCGAGCAAUACUUAAACUCUAUCCUGAGGUUCUGGCAGAAGUCCCUGAAGUUCUGGUUAUCAAACUGCCUGCCAUUAUCUGUUAUCAAAGCAUAAGGGAUCCCGUACCGGCAGACCAGGUUUCUCUAUACGAAGUCAGUUGUCUUUUUCUCUGUGAUCCUGCUAAGGACUUCUACCUCUACCCACUUCGUGAAAUAGUCUAUUGCUACUAUUGCAUGUGUUGCUGCUCCUCGUCCCUUUGGCAAUGGCCCAAUCAAAUCAAUUCCCCAUUGAGCAAAUGGCCAUGGGGAAGCCAUAGAAGUGAGCUUCUCUGGUGGUUGGGUAGAGAAAUUUACAAAACUCUGGCAACUUACGCAGCUCCUGGUCUUCUCAUGCACGUCCUGGUGCAUUGUCGGCCAGAAAUAUCCCUGCCUUAGGACCUUGUGGGCAAGGGAUCUUGCACCAGAAUGGUUUCCGCAAACUCCUUCAUGUACUUCUCUCAGCAUGUAAUCUGCGUCGUCCUCGUCUAAACACCGAAGGAACGGUAAGGUAUAUCCCCUCCGAUAUAAUACCCCAUCAAUCAUUGUAUACCUCGACGCUUGGGCUCUAGUCUUCCGAGCUCGUAACUUAUCUGGUGGCAGUACCCCAUUCCGGAUGUACGAGAUUAUCGGGUCCAUCCACGAGCAUUUCUGCUCUAUCUGUAGCACCUCCAGAUUCUGCUCGAUGUUGGGGCUGGACUUCACCUCCAGAGGGACUGACUUUGGCAUUUUCGGAUCUGCUACCGCUGCCAUCCUGGCCAGAAUAUCUGCUCGACUAUUCUCUUCCCUUGGGAUUUGUAUCACCUCAACCGCUUCAAACUUCCCAAUCAUCUGCUUGACUUUCUUCAGGUACUGCUCUAUCGUCCCAUCUCUUGGUUGAAAUCUUUCACUGACAUGAUUUGCAACCAGCUGAGAAUCAGUUCAGAUUUUCACCCUAUCCGCUUUCACUGCCUUAGCCAAUCCCAAGCCCGCUAUUAAAGCUUCAUAUUCUGCCUAGUUAUUUGUGGUUGUGAACUCUAACUUUACAGCAUCAGAGAUUUCCUCCCCUUCUAGGCCUUCCAAAACAAUCCCUGCUCCAGACCCCUGCUCCCCUGAUGAUCCAUCUACAUACAUCUGCCAUACUCGAGUUUCGUUGUUGGCUGUAGCAGUAUCCAGCUGGUCGAAACAUACUUCGGGCUCUGCGAAUUCUGCCACGAAAUCAGCCAUUGCUUGGGCCUUUAUUGCUGCUCGGGGUUUGUAAUCUAUGUCGAACUCACUCAACUCUAUGGCCCACUUCACGAGCCGACCAGAAGCAUCCGGCUUGUGUAGAGUCUGCCGCAAUGGUUGGUUUGUUAUUACCGAGACGGGGAAUGCCUGAAAGUAUGACCUCAGCUUUCGAGCAGCAACCACAAGGGCGAGUGCCCAUUUCUCCAACGGUGGGUAUCUGGUUUCGGCAUCGAGCAAAGCCUUGCUGGUGUAGUAUAUCGGAUACUGAACCCCUUCUUCCUCUCUUACUAGAACAGAACUUGUGGCAUGAUCCAAUACUGCCACAUACAGGAACAGCACGUCCCCAUCUCGCGGCGUGGACAACAGAGGUGCUUGCUGCAAAUAUUGCUUCAAAUUCUGGAAGGCUUUUUCGCAUUCUGGGGUCCAUUCUGUUUUCUUUCCUCUCCUUAUCACUUGAAAGAAUGGCUGGCACUUAUCUGUUGCCUUGGAUAUGAAUCGGCUCAAUGCUGCCAACCUCCCUGUAAGGCUCUGCGUCUCCUUCAGGUUAUGAGGAGACCCCAUAUGCACGAUCGCCUGAAUCUUCUCAGGAUUCGCCUCGAUCCCCCUAUGACUCACCAUGAAUCCGAGGAAUUUGCCCGACUCGACCCCAAAAGCACACUUCUCCGAGUUGAGCUUCAUCUUAUACUUCCUCAGAAGUCCAAAUGUCUCCUCGAGGUGCUCGACAUGUUCCUUCGGGAUUUUUGACUUGGUUAUCAUGUCGUCCACAUACACCUCCAUUGUUCUCCCAAUCAGCGGCUUAAAGAUUUUGUUCACCAGUCUCUGGUAUGUGGCCCCCGUAUUUUUAAGACCGAACGGCAUUACCCUGUAACAGAACAAACCCUGGUUAGUAAUAAAUGUCGUGCUCUCCUCAUCCUGCUCGAACAUGGGGAUUUGGUUGUAUCCCGAAAAUGCGUCCAUGAAGCUGAGCAGGUCAUGUUCGGCUGUUGAGUCUACAAGCUGGUCGAUCUUGGGUACGGGAAAGCUGUCUUUCGGGCACGCCUUAUUGAGAUCCGUGAAAUCUACACACAUCCUCCAUUUGCCAUUAGCAUUUUUCACUAACACCACGUUCGAUAUCCAUUCAGGAUAGUUAACUUCCCAAAUGAACCAUGCCUUCAAGAGCUUCUCCACCUCGCCAUUUAUAGCCUCAUACCUUUCCUGAUUGAAGUACCUUCUUUUCUGCCUUACUACCCGAGCACCUUUCUUUAUUGCCAGCCUAUGACAUGCGACCUCAGGGUCGAUUCCCGGCAUGUCCUCAUGCGUCCAAGCAAACACAUCUGCAUGAGCUCGUAGGCAUUGCACCAACUCCCGCUUCUGCUCUUCUUUAAGCCUCGACCCGAUUCAGAUCGUUUUUCCUGGAUCAUUUUGUUCCAGGCUUACUGUUUCCAGCUCCUCUACAGGUUCCUGUCUACCAUUCUUGGCUCCCACUCGUGUAUCAAGGGAUGUAAUAUGCAUUGCUUCCCUUGCUGCUGUGGAGUAACAGCUUCGGGCGAUCCUCUGAUCUCCUCGUACCACUCCAACUACCCCAUUCACUCGGUACUUGAGAGCUAGAUAAUUGUUGGAAAGUACCGCUGUGCUCAUACUCAGAAAGGGACGACCUAAGAUCAUCUGGUACGGACCCUCUUCAUCGACCACCACAAAAUCCAGUAUUAUGGUCUUUUCUGUCGGGGAAUUACCAAUUGUGAUGGGCAACUCGACCACGCCUAGGGGAACCAGCUUUCCUCCUCCAAAUCCCUUCAAGGAGGUAUUGGUAUGCUCCAACCUCAAGUCCGUUAUUCCCAUCUCCUCCAGAGUUGACUUGAACAAAACAUCGACCGAGCUUCCCGUGUCUACCAGAACUCGGUCAAACUUCUUGCUAGCAGCGGUGACUUUAAUAACUAAAGCAUCCUCAUGUGGAUAUAGAAUUCCCUCUUCAUCCUCAUUUGUCCACAUGAUUGGAACUUACCUGACUCUUGCUCGCUUAGCUGCUGGGGUGUUGAAAAAUACUUCUUUGCUAGUCAUGGCAUACUUGGCAUAAUUCUUCCUCGACCUGUUGGAAUCUCCUGCCAAUGUUGGGCCCCCAGCAAUCACUCUUAUUAUAGGCUGCUCGUGGUUCAAGUUCCUAUCUCUCUGCUCCCCUUCACCCGGCGAGGGCACCAUCGGGAAAGUCUCAUCAAUAAAUUCGUCCAUGUAUCGAUUUCUCACCAAAUCUUCAACCUAGGUCUUGAGAUCUCUGCAUUCUGUUGCGGUAUGGCUAUGAGUGCCAUAGAACUUGCAAUAGCGUCCCCUAUCCCUCCUGCUGGGUAGCUUUGUUAUUGGGGCAAGGAGGUACAGUAAUCUCUGGUCCUUUAUGGCCUCGUACACCUCAUCCAGCGGCAUCUUUAAGGAAGUAUACCGCCCAUAGUCCUGGUUAUGGUCGAUCAUGUGCACUGCCCUUUCCCCGUUUGUGUUGUUCUGAACUGGAGGAGGUGGCAGCGCUUCCGGCCUGCUUCCUCUACCACCAGGGGGGUGUGGUUGAGGAUGACUAUAUGUCGAGCCAUGCCUUCUCCAAAACUCCCUGGCUGGUGAACGAGGAGGUUGUGCCCUGCUGCGCUGAUACUGUGGUGGCCUCUGAUGAGGCUGGUAGGCGGUGACUCGACCUCCUAUACCACUGCCUGAGGCAUGUUGGUCCCUCCUCUUGAUCGGUCUAUUUCCUGGUAAGGCUCUCUUCUUUUUCAUUCUCAACCCUUCUAGCUGGUCUGUCUUGAUCUGUGCUGCCUUUUCCUCAUCAAUCUCUAUAUCCCUCUUAGCCUGCUCGUAAGCAGCUGCAUACGUUUGAAUAGCUGGGCUCCUCAAAUUGUACCACAGCCUUCCUAUCUUCACUCCUUCUUUCAAUCCCCUUAAUGUCUGAGGAUGGUUGAAGGCUCCCAAGUCGAGGACAGCGCGAUGGAACCUCUUGAUGAAUUCCCGAAGGGUUUCUUCCUCCCCCUACUUCAUGUUUUUCAACUCCAUCAUGUCAUCUUCCGGUGCCAUUGCCACACGAAACUGCUCUGCAAAUUCCUGGCACAUCUGCUCGAAAGAUUUAACGCUUCCUCGAGGAAGUUUUCGGUACCACUCACGUGCUCGUCCCUCUAGAGACAGCGGGAACAUCCUGCAUCUUUGAGCUUGGGAUAAUCCUUGCACCCCAGUUAUGUCGUUAAAGCGCUCUAUGUGCACCAACGGAUCGGUUCAUUCCGAGUACUUGAGGUCUGGGAGGCGAAAAUCCCUUGGAAUGACUGCUCUCAUGAUCUCUGCCGAGAGUGGGGAUUCUCCGUCCAGCAUUAUCCUCCAACCAGGUGCUCUGUUCCUUCCUUGCAUGUCAUCAAUUACCUGCACUAAUCUGCGCACUUCUUCCUCCAGCUGUACUGCAUGAUCAGGGUCACGUGCUGCAACUUGAUCCCGCUCUUGCUCUACAUCAUGUAGGUGUUGCCUGAGCUCUGUUUCCUAUGCAUUCUCCACCUCGUCGUCAUUAUCAAAAAUCUGCCUUCCUGGGGAUUGGUCUUCUCUUCUAUGGACUUCUCCCCGUAGAGAUGAGUUACCUCCCUCACCACCAAAUCUCCUGGUGGUCCGACUUCUCAUCAUAUUAUCGUGCCCUGGUGCCAUUCCGCCACUUCUCACCCUUUCCUCAUGGAUUCCCCUCCGUUCACUCCUCAGCUCAUGUAGGAUGGUGGUCAGGGUCUCCAUCUGCUUUUCCAUCUGUUUCAUCCGGUCAUACAUGAUUUUUUCCCGUGUUUCAUUGGCUAUCUCCCUCAACGUCACGGAUUCGUUAAGCCUCAUAUCACCUCCUUGUGCACUACUUCGUCCUACAUCUAUUGUUUCUUCACUUGCUGUAUUCCUCCUCUUUCUGUCAACAGAGCUUUUUUAUCAGCUCCCCACAGACGGCGCCAAAAUGUUGAUGCGAGAUUCUGGCUCUCUGCUCAACCACGACCAGGAUCUCUCCUCAACUAAACGGACCACGACCAGGGUCUUUCCUCGUAACACUUAUUCUCCACAAACUCCUGCGUACACAGAAACAAGUCAGAGCAUGCCGGGUGUUUUCCCGGCGUAAACCCUCCGACGCUCAAGUCAAGAAUGCAGGCUUUGCCUUUCUGGGAAAAACGUCCACUAAUCUUAUGGCUCUUUUCUUAGAUCUAUCAAUCGAAAAUUCUCUUUCUCUCUUUUUUUUCUCAAAAAGUCUAACCCUUUUACCUUCGUUGGCUACCUUUUUAUAGGCUUCUCCUGAGUUCAGACCUUCCCUCAAUUCACGCCCGUUACCUUCCCACCUCUCGGAAGUGGAUGCUCCGUUUCCGUAAUCGUGGGUGGUUGCAUGGCCUUCAUGCCUUGAUUCUCGGGUUGGAGAGCACGUCUCGCCAACUGUCGUUGACCGAGUCUCCUCGCCUCAACCCUUAGCAGGAAUGGCUUUACGCUUCUAAUAGGAGACCGGCCUCGCGGAUGGUGUAUUCGUGGACGAGCAGUAUAUUCCUGCUCCUGUUCCCCUGCGACCAGACUUCUACAAAAUAUACCUGUUUGUGGAACCAUGCUACCAGAUAUCUGCUCUUCAUGGCUGGUCUUGUCAAAGUACAUCCCCCAAACAGAUAUUAUUCUUUCUUGAUAGUAUCAUGGAAACUGCAAACGAAAAGUCAGCAUCUUUGAGUUUUCUUUCAUCAUAUCUGACUUGUUGGUCUACUAAUCAAUCAACAGGCCCUUCUGAUCUUGAUAAUUUGAACUUAAGGAGGGAAAGCAGCAAUCCUGAAGGGCCAUUGCUUGAUGCCGAGAUCAUUGUUGAGGGCAAAUCAGUGGCAGUUAAUCGCAGAAUAUUGUCAAAGUCUGCAAGCAAUCCGUUUUUCCGUCGGCUUUUUAAAUUGAGCAGUGAUGCUUCUGUGAGUGAGGGGAAACCCAAGUAUCUUAUGACUGAUUUGGUGCCUUAUGGGAAGGUUGGAUUUGAAGCUUUCAAUGAUAUCUUGCAUUGUCUUUACACUGGAAAGACAAAGGCAACUCCUCCAGAAAUGUCCACGUGUGUUGAUGAUGCUUGUGCUCAUGAUGCCUGCCCUCCUGCUAUUAAUUAUGUUAUUGAGUUAAUGUAUGCUUCUGCUGCUUUUCAGAUGACACAUCUCGUUUCGGUUUAUGAGGUAGUUGCGCUUCCUCGCUAUUUGUAUUGCUUAAAUUUAUGCUUGUUGGUAUAAUUUUAACAUUUAUAGAAUUGAAAUCAAUUUCAGUUGUGACUUGCAAAGAGCCAAAGAAUCGAAUCUAGUAAAUCCAAAAUUAUUUUGAAAGAGACAAAAAUUAUAUGGCAACUUCGGUGGUUCGCAAUAUUAGGCAUUGUAGUAUAUCCAAAAUUAGCUUGUUAACCUAGCAAAUCAUUAAUGUUGUAGAAUAACAUCUUGUGUAGGUGAGCUUAUGUCUCUGUUCAUUGGUCCACCGGCAUUUAGGUUCGAUAAGCAUGGCACUGAUUUUCCCCCUCAUUAUUAUUUUCAUGCACAAAUUAUCCCCAUUAAGUAUUUGAACUUUGAAUAUAUUAUUCUGAAUCAAAACUCUAUCUGUCCGUGUAGCAUUUUAUAUAUGCUUUUUGAUGUUUGCCAAUAAUUACCCACUAUGGGGUAUUUGAAUUUUGAAUAUAUUACACUGAAUAAAAACUUUGUCUGUCAAUCUUAAAGAUGCAAGAGGACGCACGGUGCUUCAUGUGGCUGCAAGGCGUAAUGAGCGAUCAGUUCUGGUGACUCUGCUGAGCAAGGGAGGAUGCGCAUCAGAAACUACAUCAGAUGGGCAAACAGCUGUAGCAAUCUGUCGGAGAAUGACAAGGUGAAAGGAUUAUAUUCAAGCUACAAAGCAGGGGCAGGAAACUAACAAAGAUUGGUUAUGCAUUGAUGUCCUUGAGAGAGAGAUGAGAAGGAACUCCACGUCUGGGAACUUGGCAAUGCCAGCACAGGUGAUGGAUGAUGUUUUCCAAAUGAAGCUGGACUAUCUGGAAAAUAUAGGUGAUAUUUCUUUACUGGUAUUAGUUCAUCACCUUCUCAGAGUUUGUUCAUAACACACUUCUUUCUACUGUUUGUUUGUCCCUUCAUCUGGAAAAUAGAGGUGAUAUUCUUUUACUAGUAUUAGUAAGUCAUCUUCUCAGAGUUUGUGAGUCCCUUCAUCUUGGCAUCUCAAACACACAUGGGCUUAUUGCUUGGAGGGCACUGUUGGCCAGUCAUGUGAUUUGAUCCCCUUUUUUGGAAUAGACAAUUCUGAAUCCAUCUGAUCUAAGCUUGGUGGUUUCCUCUGAACUGGUUUUUGAUGAAUAAUUGUACAAGACUUUGUAAUAAAAAACUUUUUUUCCCCCAAAAGUAAUGAGGUACCAAAAACUUUAUGCCCAUCCUGGAUGACUGCCAUAACAGCUUCUUAAUAUUUUGCAGUGGCUUUUGUACGGUUGUUUCCUUCUGAAGCUAGAGUAGCUAUGGAAAUAGUAGGUGCAGAUACCGCCCCUGGCCUUUCAGCAUUAGGUCGGAAAGUACUAAGUGGGAACUUAAAGGAGAUUGAUUUGAAUGAAACGCCCUCUAUGCAAGCCAAGAGACGCCAAUUGAGACUGCUAACUCUGCUUAAAAAAGAUAUUUAUAUGCUUUAUUAACUUUUGCACCUUUCUAUUUACUGAUUAUCUUUAUAAUUAAAUAAUACAUGUAUCCAGGUUUCUCCUUCCAUUUCAUUAGAAGUAAAUUGGAAUCUCUUUAUAGUGCUCUGUUAGGUGUAAUCAGAUGUAUCAAAAGAGAAAGGGUAAUUGUUAGUACAUUGAUAUCUCAACAAAAUGGUAGAACCUUUCUUUAUACCACUAAAGACAUUUGUUGCAGGGAUGCCUGCAUAAUCAGUGUCCUUUAAAACUUUCAAGGAGUUAGCAAUGCCUAACCCUUGAAACACUAAAUCUCACUGGAUCAACUCUUUACCUCUGGACCGAAGGUGUGACACCCAAACCCAAUUAGGGCUUAGAACGCAUAUUGAAUUUGAGAGAAACUAAGUGCUUGUAAAUCCAAGUCUCCAAAAUAUCAAAAGGUUAUCUACUUUCUCUUUUCAUGUAUUUCACAAAAUUUUGAAAAAUUCAUCCUCAAUCAUAAACUAGGCACAGCUAAUUAAUCAGCAUAUCAGUAUACAUCAAUACUUCCUCAUAAGCAAAUAAAUCUUACAAUCCUUCCUACAUGAUUUAAAAAAAAUACUUCUAGAACUCUUCUAGAUACAAACAUAAACAGAAUUCAACUGCUAAAACUUGUUGAAAAUUGAUUAAAAAAAAAAGUGUCAAAAUGGUGGGUGGUUGAGCAACCAUCUUUGAAUUCAAAGAUGGUGGGUGGCUAGCCAUUGAACAAGGAAAAUGGGUAGGUGCCGCCCAUGGAAAGAAGAAAAAAAAUGAAGAAAAGGAAGCCAUAAUUUGGCUAUAAAUAGAGGAGUGCUCCUCCUUAUUUUUGUAUCCCAAAUCCCAGAGAAGCGAUCCAAGUUUUGGUGAGAAAUUGAGAGAGAGAAAUGUUCUUAAGCAUGUAGUUAUAUUGUAGGAGUAUUUGACUCCUCAAUAUAUGUGUUACGGGUUUACUUUGUUAAAGGAUAUUUCUCAGGAUUAUGUAUUUGGGGAUUGGGUGAGAGAAAAUUAUUUCUCAGAGUGUGGUUGUAAUAAUUUUCCACAUAGUGAAUAUUUUUUCUCUGGUUGGCUUUUGACAACGGCAGUGGUUUUUCUCCAGAUUUAGAGUUUUCCACGUAAAUCUUGUGUUGUGUGAUUGGUGUAUUCUCUAUUUAAUUUUUUCUGUUAAUUUGUUGCUUGACAAAUUGCUUAGAGUGAUCUUGGGAGGAAACUCAAUUUCCUAACAAAACUAUGCCAAAACACAAGCUUCAAUCAGUAAUACAUACGACUAAUUAUUAAAAACAUAGAGCCAGAAACCUUACGAAAGCUCAGUCCUUCAGAAGCAUUCUUCGAAUUAAUAAUUGCUACUAUCUGUGAAAAAUAAUUGACACGGGUUCAGCUGUUAACUCAAUCAGUAGAAACAUUCAUAACCAACAAAAAGAAUUCUUUGUGCAAUAUUUUCAGAAAAUUCAUUUAACCUUUCAAAUGAAACAAAGUAAUUUUUCAAACACUGUCAGGAUUUAUAUAAAACAUAAAUGUUUCCGACGGAAGCUUUUUGGAACGUAAAGUUUGCUUCUUUAAACAGAAAGUUAUACAUUAGUUUGAUUUUAAAGGGUGGUUAUUGGGAAGUUAAAAUUGGCUGUUGUGGUAAAAGGGUAAUAGCAGUUAUAAUCUCUUUUAAAACAACUUCAAAUCAAGUUUCAAAUUUUAGGAGUACUUAAUUCAAUAACAUAAAGAAUAAAUAAAGCUUUAAUUGAAACAAAACUAAGUAAAUUCAUUUAAAGCAAAACAGGAUGCGAGCAUUACGUAAGGGUUCUUGACCAUACCAUGUUUACCCGCAGUCGGAUAUCUGGGACUUUGUUAUUUGGAGACAAGACUUGAUUUUGCCAUGUUUUCCGCAGCUAGACAUCUGUGGAUAAGAGAACCCUAAGCCUAUUGAGAAUAAAUUCUGUAAUCUAAGACUCUUCAGUUCUUUCAUUUGUGGCUAAUUAGUUAUAAAAUUUGUGAAUUUCAUGCCCCAUGCCCCUUGCAAAAUGUAUUUUAUAUCCUUAAGAUGCUAGUGGAUGAACUGAAAUAAUAAAAAAUGGAAAACAGACUUGAUGCCGACAGCAUUUCUCAAGAAAAACUUGGGAUGUUUAUAAUUUUCUUAGAGCAUUUGCUGAGCUUUCUGUGAUCGCAGUCGAGACAGGUCAACGCUACUUCCCUCAUUGCUCAGAAGUGGCUUUUAAGUUUAUGGAUAUCAACUCCCCUCAUUGCUCAGAAGUGGUUAAUGAGGUUUUGGAUUGUGAUUGGUCCAAUGCUUCCCUCCUACAAAAGGGUACUCCUGAAGAGCAGAAACUCAAAAGGGCAAGCUUCAUGAAACUUAAAGUAGACACGGGGGAGGCAUUCUGCAAGGACGUGGCUUAUCCCCGUCGUUUAGGGCUGCCAUCAUCCUGGUCGGCAUUUUACAAUUACAUGGCUGAGAGCAAUCGUUCAGGUAUGCCGACAUCCUCGGCAUCGAGCAAUUAAGCAUCACCUUUCCCUAAAAGUUAUUUUUGACACAUGGGAAACUAAAAGAGUUUAGUGAGCUCGAUUGGCAUUUGUAGUUUUUUUUGCCUCAAGUGAUCUGGUAUGUAUCAAUUAGUUUGUGAAAUUAUUGUACUGUAUCAAUUAGUUUGUGAUAUGUACACAUGCAUGGAUCACAAACUCAUUUCAUUGAAUAUUUUUUUUUUUAAUUAUACAAUUUAUAGGCUAUGCUUAAAAAUUAGAAAAAAAGAAUUGUAUUACAGUUGGUAUGAGACAUGCAUGUGUGCAUAUCAGUUGCUGAACAAACUUUGCCUUUUAAUUUUGUAGGCAUUACUUUCUGCAAUUUGAGAGAUAGUGGAUUAGUGGGGAGUGGAUUAAAGUGCAUCUACAUAGAAUUAAUCAAAAUAAAAUUGAUUUUUUAACUAUUUUUACUCAAAGUAGUAGUUAUUCUUUUUAUUAGUGUUAUUCCAAUUAUAUCAAAAUCAGUUGACUGGUGAUCAAAUUAAGUGAUAUAUGGUAUGGAGUUUUUAUAAAUCUAUGUAAAUAGUAAAAUAUUUAAUUUUUCUUGUCGUACAAUUUUAAUUUAUAUGGUUUAAAAAAAGAAAUUGACUUAUUAAUUAAUUAACAAUUAUAGAAAGAAUAAAUAGAAAAUUAUAGUUGUGGGAGAAAACUCUCGCGAAAAGGGCUCUAGAUUGGCUUCGUGCGUUGCCCCUGGCCCUUUCGAGCACGAAUUCGAAUCCAAUGCUUUAUAAUAAAGAUAUAAUAUUAUUAUAAUACUAAUAAUUAACAUUAAAAUAUUAAAAAAUAAGGAAAAAAAAAUCCAAAUUUUUACUGGGGUUUUUAAUUAAAUACCCUUUAAUAAUUUCAAAAUUAUUUAAAUACCCCCUCCCUUUUUGGUUUUCAUGGAUACCCUAACAAAUGUGAGCAAAGUCAGAAAUACCCUUAAUGAAUGCAUCAAACUCACUCAAGGAAUUGUCUUCAUAUUUCUUUCCUCAUUUCUUUCACCCAAAUCUAUUUUUGCUGCCGAUUCUUUCAAAAUCUCUUAGCAUCUCUCAAAAUCUCUCAUAACUUCUUACACAAAUACAAUUAUGUAUUCAUUUCUUUAACACCCACUCUUUCUUUAAAGGUGCAUUGCUUAUUAAACAACCAAAUAAGGUAUGUUAAUGUUGUUGGGUUUUAAAUUUUUAAUUUUUAGGAAAAUUUAGAAAUUUUCCUCACAUUACAAUGUUUUAUUUUCACCAUUUUUUCUUAUACGUAGAAAUAUAUGCAAUGUAGGUUGUUUAAUUAUUUUUUUCAGCAAUAUAACUUAUUUAUGGCGAAAAUGUUUCGAGUCGUGCAUUCUUUUGAUACCGUGUACGUCAUAUAAUUAGUCAUGUAGGUCAUGUAAGUAAUAUAGUCGUGUAAGUCGUGUAGGUCAUGUAAGAAAUAUAGUCGUGUAGGUCGUGUAAGAAAUAUAGUCGUGUAAGUCGUGUAAGUAAUAUAGUUGUGUAGGUCAUGUAAGUCGUGUAGUUAAUUGUAUAUGAAAUUUAAUAUUAUUGUUUUUAUUGUAUCAUCAGAUAUGGUUUUGGUACGUGUGCCUAUUCUCUUCAAUGGUGAAUGGAUUGAGCAAAAUGACGAGUAUAAGUUCAAAGGUUCAAAGGCUAAAGGGAUAAUGAUACCACGAUCGACAACAUAUGCCGAAUUGGUGGAGAAGAUAACUGAAGUUAUUGAUAUAGAUACUUCGGAAUUCGAAAUCACAAUGAAGUUCAAACUUAAGACAUCUGAUCCUAUGCCACUCGUUACAAUUCAAACCAAUGAUAAUGUGGAAUUUUUUUAGAUUCUAAUUUAAUUUCACUUCUUCUUUUUUAAUAAUUUUCGUUGACAUUUUCUGCAUAGCAGCAAAUAUAAAUUCUUAGCACAAAUUAAGUCUUUAAAGAACUAAAUUAAUCUAAUGAGUAAUAGAAAAAUUCGUGUAAUUUUAAAGUUGCAAUUAAACAUAUUACCGCCAUUUAAAAAGUUUUUUUUUUUUUUAUCUUCAAAGUGCUUUCUUCCUCUGGCCAAGCAUACAAGCAUACAUGAGGAAUGUCUGCAUAUAAUUAAUCCAUGAAAUCAAUUAAGAAAAAAAAAUAUCAACCAUAGGAAAUUAAUGUAAUGUUAUACACAUAAGAACACCAUUCGCAGUGAUAAAAUAUUUCCACUCAUAACUAGACAUAUCAUGACUUACCAUGGCUUAUAAUUGGAAAUUAAGAAUCUCUCUAACUAAUGACAUUUCACAAGGUAAAGGUAUAUGCACCAUUCCAAUUUAUUGUGAGCCUAAUUAAACUAAAUGUAAUGUGUAGAUUCUAUUGACAAGAAACAAAAUGUGGAAUUGAAGGUCGUGUAAUUGUGUAAUACAAGAAGAUCGUGUAAUUGUAUAAUACAUGAAGGUCGUAUAAACAUGCAAUACAUGAAGGUCGUGUAAACGUGCAAUACAUGAAGGUCGUAUAAUCGUGCAAUACAUGAAGGUCGUGUAAUCGUGCAAUACAUGAAGGUCGUGUAAUACACAACCUUGAAUCUUACAUAACCUUACACGACCAAAUCUUAUGUUACAUAACAAAAUUAUAAUCAGCACAAUCCAUUAAUUUUUCACAAUUUGCAUGCAGCAAAACAACUAGAAAUUUGUUUUCGAACAUGUUAUGAGAGACCCACAACUAAUUAAUCUAUUUUUUCAAUAUAAAACCCUAACUUUUUGUUUUUUUCCCUUGAAUAUUAACAAGAAAACUAAUUAUACGGAAUUACUUGUCUCAACUAGUGAUAUUCUGACAAUUUUACAGUAAAUGAUCAACUCUCUCCGGCGAUUAUGUAGUGACGAACUAUGCUUCACUUUCUCAGUUGUGGCAGCUUCCCCUUCUCAGGCUUAGUUUGCUCGUGUUGAAGUUCGAUUUACCAUGUAUGGAGAAUGAAUGUUUGUUUCGGUAGAGGUGAUGCUGGUGAGGGAAUUACAGAGGUGAUGUCGGUGAGGGAAUUGCAGUGUUUGUUUGUUUGAGUUUGAUAAUGGAGGGAAUUGCGGUAGAUGAGUGUUUGUUUGCUUCAGUAGAGAAGGGAGAUGUAUUGUCCGUUGAGUUGAAAUGUUUUAAAAUGAGGAUAGCUUAGUAAUUUCCUAUCAGUUUUUAAAGGGUAUCGAUGAAAAUUUUGGCAAAAACAGAUUUUAGGGUAUUGAGAUAAUUUUUGAAGUACGAAGGUGUACCGGGCGCAAUUGGCUCAUUUUUACUGGUAUAUAAUAUAACGCAGGGCCAAAACGAUAGCGAAACAUCAAAUUGUUUUUAUUUCAAUCUUCGCGCAACCUCCGGUGACAUAAUUUUUCUCUGUUUCAGGUACAUACAUACCCAAAACUAAACUUUGCAUGUAUCGUUCUUGUUUUUUUGUUAUUCAUUCACACAUCCUUCUUUUCUUUUCUUUUCUUUUCUUUUUUGCUGUAAGUUUUUAUGAGACGCUCUGUUUCAGUUUAAUAUUAUUGUUUGGGUUCUGUUCUGCUCUGUUCUCUGUUGUAUGUAUAUAUGUAUAUAUUUUUGGCCUCGAAUUGCUUUGAUCACCGGAAUUUUUAUUCAUUUAUCGUGAAUUUUAGAUGACUUGUUUGGCCAUGUAUUCAUUUGAUUGUUACAUUCAGCUGCCAUCUUCAUGGUGGGUUUGUAAGAUAGUCUCUGACUAACAUAUGGCAUUCAUUAUGAAUGAUGGUUUUGUGAGAUACAUCAUACAGACGUUAACUUGUAUUAACAUGUACUUGCUUCAUCUAAAAGAUUAGUGUUUUUCUGGCUUUUUUUUUUUUUUUCCUUUUUGAAAUGCCCUUUUUGCAUUUUAUAGGUGAAAGGAAAAAACAUAAUAUCGCAGCUCUAGAACAAAGGAGCCUAUUCUGGUACCUAUUGUCCAAGGAAGCUUCUGUAUAUUCGGUAGGCACUACCAUGGAAGUGAAAUCUUACCAGAGCCAGGCGGAGUCAUUGCUGAAGGAAUAUAUAUUAGCAGAUCCAUUUGUCCCGUACACUUCAAUUGUUGGUAGCAUUUUUGCUUGCAAGAUGGUAUGUUUUUCAUCGUUACUGCAUGGUGGUAUUUACUAGAAAAUAUUUUGAAUGCAUAGUUUUUAUUUAAUUAGUUAUAAAUUUUUAUACCCACUGCUUUCUAUAAGAACGUGUUCAUUUUCAGGUCUAUAAUCUUGCCCAAUUGAUUAGUGCGGUUCACUUUAAAAGUUAUUCCAGUUUCUCCAACAUACAGCGGGUUGAGUGGAGUAACAGGUGAUUGAAUAUUUUCAUUUAGUUCAAUUGACAUUUCUUUUUCAAUCGGUAAAGUUUAAUCGUUUCUCUUAAAUCGACAACUUAUGCAGGGCCAUAUCAACCGUCCAUGCCAUUUUUAUUACAGCUAUGUCUUUGUAUUUCGUGUUUUGGUCAGAUCUCAGAGUUUGUGCAUAGCACACUUGUUUCUACUGUUUGUUUGUCCCUUCAUAGACAUUUCGACAAACUGUUAUUUUUGUUCUUUGGAAGUGAAUAUUUUCAGCAACUAGAACUCCAAAGCAUCUGGAAUGAUCCAUUUUAUCAUUCUCAAUACCUAUAAAAGAAUGUCAUAGAAAACAGUUUCCAUAGCAAGUUGCAUGUGUUUUGAAUUUGUCUUUGCAAGCCACUAAUUGCUUAGAGCACACUGUUAGUCAGUCGUGAUUCCAUCCACUUUUUUUGAUAGACAAUUGUGCAUCCAUAUGAUCUGGACUAAACUAGUUUUUAAUUAAUAAUUGCCCAGGGUUUUAGUCUCAGUGUUACAGCCCAGUCUUUGUUGUCAAUACUCUUUCCCCCGUUGUGGAUGAGCACCAUUACAGCUUCUUAAUGUUUUGCAGUGGCUUUCGCACGGUUGUUUUUUCCUUCUGAAGCUAGGGUAGCUAUGGAUGUAGCAGAUGCAGAUGCCACCAAUUUUUAUACUGGCCUUUCAGCAUCAAAAUCAAAAGGAUCAAGUGGGAGCUUAAAGGAGGUUGAUUUGAAUGAAACACCCUCUAUGAAAGCCAAGAGACUCCAAUUAAGACUGCAAGCUCUGCUUAAAACAGGUAUUUAUAUACCUUAUUAGUUUUUGUACCUUUACAAUUAGUGAUUUUUGCAUCAAAAGAGAGAGGUUAAUUUUUAGUACAUUGAUAUCUCAACAAAAUGUUAGAACCUUUGGAGCACUACAGACAUUUUCUUAGAGCAUUUACUGAACUUUCUUUGAUUGCAGUGGAGACAGGUCGACGCUACUUCCCUCGUUGCUCAGAAGUGGUUGAUAAAUUUUAGGAUUGUGAUUGGUCCGAUGCUUCCCUCCUAGAAAAGGGUACUCCUGAAAAGCAGAAACUCAAAAGGGCACGCUUCAUGGAACUUAAAGAAGACCUGAAGGAGGCAUUUUACAAUGACAUGGCUGAGAAAAAUCGCUCAGGUUUGUAGUCAUACUCGUCGUCGUCAUCUUCUCCGAAGGAAGGAGUAAAGUGUAAGGGUAGGAAAAGGUGAUGCUUAGCUGCUUGUCUUUGUUAUUCAUUUAUAGGCAACUAAAAGAGUUUUAGUGAGUUGGAUUGUUACUUGUAAGCAGAUACUCUUCGAGCCUAUGUUAUGGCCAUGUUGUAUAAUAGCAGAGGAACUUCAAGCUUGCGUUGUUGUAUUUUCCCCAGUAUUUGGCAUGUAAUGCACUAGAUGACAAAGAAUUUUCUAAUUUUAGAGGGGAAAGUUAUGUCAGUUAAUUAUUUAUUUAUUUAUUUUGUCUGUUUAAUUCAGUUUGCAUUAGGGAUGGCAAAAUAACCUGAACCCGGACGAACCCGGAUAAUCCAGGCCGGGUUGAACCCGUACCGGAAUGUAAAAAAAUUCGGGUCCGGAAUAAAUUUUAAUAACCCGGAUAUAUCCGGGUCCGGGUCCGGGUUUAGGUUAACCCGAACAUUCGGAACCCGGACCCGGAUAUCUAAUUUUAAUAUUAUUUUUUAAUUAAUUUUAUUGAUUAAUUUAGAUGUGUUAUUGCUUGGAAAUGUAUUAAUUUUUUAUUUUUAGAAUUUUAGAAAUUGAUAUUGAUUCAUUGAUCCGGGUUCAAAACCCAGAAUCCGGAAACCCGGAUUUUUCCGGGUUGAACCCGGACCCGGGUGAAAAAAUCCGGGUUAAAAUCCGGGUCCGGGAAAAGAAAAUGGUAUCCGGGUCCGGAUCCGAAAAGGCUAAACCCGGACCCGGAUUUUGCCAUCCCUAGUUUGCAUAGCUUUUUUUUUUUUUUCUUUCCAAAAAAAUCUUCAUUUCUUCAUCUGCAAUUUAAGUCAUUUGUAACUUCUUUUAGGGAGGAGAGAGAGAAAAAAAAGAAAAGAGUAUAUUUUACAGUAGUGAUUUUCCUACGGAAAUUGGUUAAGAUGACAUUAAUGUUCUUUGAGAUGGACGGAUAUGCAGAUUUUUCGUCGAAAUUGAAAUUAGAAAUGGAUGGAUAUGAAUGACAUAUAUGCAGAAUUUUAAUAAAAUUUUUAUACAAAAAUUUGUAGCUCAUUACUCUCUAGAAGGAAAAAAUAAGUUUUUAAUUGUAAAUAUUAAAUAUUAAAUAUUAAAUUUAUAAUAUAAUAAAUGUGUGACUUAAGGUGCACAAUACCCAUAUAAUAAUAAUUAAGAAAAGAAAAAAUCAAAAUUUGCAAAUUACCAAUUUUCUCUUGAAAUUUGAUAUUCUAUAUUAACGUAGGUGUUGCAUGGACUGGGUUAGUACAACUGAAAGAAACAAAAUAUCAUAAAAAUGAGUGUAAGUUUGUAUAUAUAUUUUUUGAAUUGUCAUAUAUAUACAAGUUUGUCACUAACGGUAAAUUUAAUUAUGAAUAUUUUAAUAAUUCAAAAUCUCAUUCAACCAUCGGUGUUUAUAGUGUUUUUCGAAAUACAAAAUUGUAAUUUAUAAACAGUCUCACCCUUAAUAGUACAAUGCUAAAUCUUUUCAAAAAAUUAUUCUAUUAUAGUCGUCUUAGUCAGUUAUAUUUAUUUUCAAAUUGAAGAUAAAAAUCGUACUUCAUAUGUCAAACAUUACUUAAAGACUUUAGGGAUAUGUACGUGAAACUGAAUGAAUCAUCAGUUGCAUAUUACUUAAUGGCAAGUGAAGCUAUUUUAUGUGUAUUGCUUGUCACGGGAUGAGUGUUUUGCGCAGCUAACCCGUGUGGCACUUAGACAACUUUGCCGAAUGUUGCUAAGUAAGCCUUGAGCUUCUCGAACUAGAGAAGAGAGCAAUGGAGCCGAAUAAGAAAACUUGUAUUGCACAAAAGAGAGAUUACAAGAAUGCUUGAGUUGCUUGCUCUAAGCUUGUUGUUGUUGUUUUUUAACAAAUGCCUAAUGACAUCCCAUAUUUAUAGGGGAUGCUUGCCAAGCUCUAGGGAUUCUAGAGAAUUCUACCACUUCCUAGCUAUUUACAUGUGCUGGAAUUGUAAAGAGAAUUCUAGAGUAUUUACAAGCUCAAUGUGCUAGAGUUGCCUAGAACUUUCCGGAAUUUGGGCCAAGCUAGCACUCUUGGCUUUGUCUUGGGCUCUUGGUGGCCAAAUUGGGCUAGCGAAUUGGGUGGUCCACAACAUCCUCCCCCACCUAAGCUCGCGGCGUCCUCGUCGCGCUCUCGUGCUUGAAGCGUUGGAUGUGCUCAGCGAAUUGCCACAAAUCAUCUUCACGUUCCCAUGUGGCCUCGCUCUCGGGGAGGUUUUUCCACUUCACCAAGUACUCGCUAUGCGCUGGUACGCCUCUCCUCGAAACCACAUGAUCCGCAAGGAUGUAGUCCACAUCUUUGUCGAACGCGGUGACAACGGCAGUUGGCGCGCCCCUUGAUUCUCCACGACUUGGAUCUUCCACAUCUCGGUGGUAUGGCUUGAGAAGGCUCACAUGGAAGACCGGAUGGAUCUUGAGUCUUGGCGGAAGUUGAAGUUGAUACGAGACGUUGCCCACACGUCGUACAACUCGGAAGGGUCCCUUGUAGCGCCUCACUAACCCCUUGUGGACUUUCCGCAACGUCUUGAAUUGUUGGGGUAGGAGCUUGAUCAUGACUUGAUCACCUUCUUUGUACUCCACAUGCCGUCUCCUUGUAUCUGCCCAUUUCUUCAUUUUCCUUGCGGCUUUAUCGAGGUAGGCUCGCGUGAUGUCCGCUUCCUCGUGCCAUUCGCGGGCGAGCUUAUGUGCCGCGGGGCUCUUCCCUCCGUAAGUUGAGGCUAUGGCGUUGGGAGUCAUAGGCUGGAAUCCCAUGAUGAUUUCGAACGGACUCUUGCCCGUAGCCUCACUUCGCUGCAAGUUAUAAGAAAAUUGGACGAUGUCAAGUAACUUCGCCCAAUCCCGCUGAUGAGCGUUCACAUAAUGCCUCAAGUACAUCUCGAGGAGACCAUUGAUGCGCUCGGUCUGCCCAUCCGUUUGGGGAUGGAAGCUUGUCGAGAACUUGAGAUCGGUCCCCAACAUCUUGAAGAGCUCCGUCCAAAAACGCCCAGUGAACCGAGGGUCUCGGUCGCUCACAAUGCUCCUUGGAACUCCCCAAAGCUUCACAAUGUGCUUGACGAAUAGGCGGGCUGCCUCGUCCACUUUGCAAUCGACUGGUGCGGCAAUGAAUGUGGCGUACUUGCUGUAUCGGUCGACAACGACCAUGAUGCUUUCGCUACGUUGUGUUUGAAAGUAGCUCGUCGCUACGUUGUCCGUCAUAAUCGUGAAGUGAGAGCCGAGCAAGUAGUGUCGCCACACCCGCAAGCAAUGUAUUAUUGCAGUCAUCUCCUUCUCUUGCACCAUGUAGCGGCGUUCCGUAUCGUUUAGCCUUCGACUCUCGAACGCUAUGGGGUGGCCUUCUUGCAUGAUCACUCCACCUAUGGCGAAAUCCGAGGCAUCCGUUUGAACUUCGAAGGGUUUAGUGUGGUCCGGAAGAGCGAGGACUGGUUCCUCCGAAAUUGCCUUCUUCAAUUCCUCAAAUGCGCAUUGGCACUCUUCGGACCAAUGCUACGUUAUGUUUUUCUUAAGCAAAUCCGUCAAGGGGGCCCCUUUGGCUGAAUAGCUCUUGAUGAAACGGCGGUAGUAAUUCACCAGCCCAAGGAAUGAGCGAAGCUCAGGCACUUUCGAGGGAGGCUCCCAUUCGAGGAUGGCCUUCACUUUAGCAUUCUCCAUCAUGAGCUUCCCGCCCGCAAUCUUGUGGCCAAGGAACUCCACUUCUUGUUGGGAAAACGAGCACUUCUCCAACUUGAGGAAGAGCUCGUUGUCUCGGAGUACUUGGAGGACUUGUCGCAAGUGUUGGGCAUGCUCCUCGAGUGUGGUGCUAUACACCACGAUGUCAUCCAAGUACACGACCACAAAGUGGUCGAGGAAUGGUUGGAGUACCUUGUUCAUGAGCGUGCAAAAUGUGGCGGGUGCAUUAGUAAGGCCAAAAGGCAUCACAAGGAAUUCGAAAGACCCCGUACCUUGUUGUGCACGCCGUCUUCGGUUCGUCUCCCUUGGCGAUGCACACUUGAUAGUACCCAGAGCGCAAGUCAAGUUUAGUGAAGUACCGUGCUUUGCCAAGCUGGUCGAACAAGUCCGCGAUCAAGGGAAUCAGAUACUUGUUUUUUAUGGUGAUCUUGUUGAGCGCCCUAUAGUCGAUGCACAUCCGCAGCGAUCCAUCCUUUUUUCUUUUGGAAGAGGAUCGGUGCGCCAAAUGGGGCCUUUGAGGGGCGAAUGUAGCCUGCAUCCAACAAGUCUUUGAGUUGUCUCCGCAAUUCCUCUAGUUCGGGUGGCGCCAUGCGGUAGGGCGCCAAGGCUGGUGGUUUCACGCCUUAUUCCAACUCAAUUGCAUGAUCGACCUCUCGUCGAGGUGGGAGCUUCUUCGGAAGUUCCGGAGGCAUUACGUCCUUGUACUCAUUGAGGACGGCUUGAAUUCGCGGAGGGACUUGCCUUGGCGAGAUUCCGCUAUUUCCUUCCUCGUUUAGUUCCCGAAUGGAGACCAAGAAGCUUGGGUCCUUCUUGAAAGUCCUUUUGAAUUGCAUAGCGGAGAGUGUCUUCUCCUCGGACUUGCCUCCUUCCGUGGGAACCAUGCAUGCCUUACUCCCGUCGAGGAUGCUUAGGGAGUUCGUAGCGGGCAGCCGGAAGGCAUGGACUUGGUCGAAGAAUUCCAUGCCGAGGACCAUCUUGAAGUCAUCCAUGGGGACGAUGGAGAAGUCAAGCUUUUCGCUCCACGUACUGAGUGUAAUGUGCACACCUUGUGCGAUUCCCGCAAUUGGCUUAGUGGGUGAGUUCACAGCCUUCAUCGUGCCUCCUUCCUUGGUGGCCUUGAGGCCUAAGCGCUUGGCCUCGUCUACGGACACGAAAUUGUGUGUUGCUCCCGUGUCUAGCAGCGUGCGAACGGACUGGCCGUUUAUUUUCGCGCUUACAUACAUGAGCCCUUUCUUGACAAGUGUGGGCUAUUGGCGAUUGAGUGUGCCGAGGCGUUGGAGAGAACCCAUGCUGAGUUGGGGUUCUUCCGUGGACAUUGUGGGGUUGCUCUUAAGCUGGGCUGCGAGAGCAUUAAGCGACCUCUUCUCCGGACAAGUCGCGUACCCAAUGAGGACUGUUGCAUAUGAAGCAUGGGCUUCGCGGCUUUGGCGCCUCGUUCUUGCCCUCCGAUUUUCCUUGCCCGCUCUUGUUGCUAGGCGGCUUUUUCUACCCCCAAUCUUUGCGGUUGUUGCCCUUGUCCUUGCGACUCUCUUCCCCACCUUUGCCUUGGUUGGCCUUUUUGUCCUUGGAUUGGUGAGCGAUUCCGCAACGGCGAUGGCGUCGUCAAGUGUUUGAACACCCCGCCUAUCGAGCUCGGUCUUGGCCUAAUCCUUGAGGCCAUCUUGGAAGUAGAAGAGCGAAUCCUUGUCGGACAUGUCGCUUAUCUCCAACAUAAGGGUAGUGAACUCGUUGAUGUAGUCCUGAAUGCUACUCGUUUUCUUGAGGCGACGUAAGCGCGCUCGCGCUUCCUUCUCCACAUUGCUUGGGGCGAACUGCUUUCGGAGUUCUUGCUUGAAAUCGGCCCAAGUGUCGAUGGUGCAAAUGCCCUUGCCCAUCUCGCCAUGCUUGCGACGCCACCCUAGUUGUGCAGCGCCUCGAAGAUAAGUGGGUGCUGUGCCCACUUUCGAUGCAUCAUCUCGGACACCCAUGGCAUCGAAGUAUUGAUCAAGCCCAAAUAGGAAGUUGUCCACGAUUGUGGCAUUGCGUGUGCCAUCGUAUGUGUCGGGCUUUGGCACGUCAAUGCGGCGCGCAUCACUCGUGCUUGUGGAAGCUGGACUAGCGGAGAGUGUGCACUUGUGCCAUGCCCAAUCCGAGCGGACUUCAUCCACUUCCGCACGGACAGUGCGUAGUUCAUCCUGAACAAAGCUACGAAGUUUAAGCAACUCAUCAUGAAAAGAAUGAAACUCACCUCGAAGAGUGUUCGCUUGCUCUUGGAUGAGGGCUUUCGUUGCCACCGUGAACUCGGCGUAUUCACCCUCGAGACCGUCCACUCGUUCCUCUAAUCCCUCGAGGCUGUCUUGAGCGGCGGACAAUGCGAUUUCGAGAGUAGUCACUCGAGGCUCCAACACAUCCACGGAUGGGGCCUUGGACUUGCCGCGAGUUUUGCCUUGGGCGCGUUCUCCCUCUCGGCCGCGGCUUGGUUCCGGUGGAACAUCCACACCAACAACACCCUCUUGUGCUACGUUCAAAGGGUUGGCCAUUGCUCGUGAGCUAACUUGCGUGCGUGCAAACCUUAGCUCUGAUACCACUUGUCACGGGAUGAGUGUUUUACGCAGCUAACCCGUGCGGCACUUAGACAACUUUGCCGAAUGUUGCUCAGUAAGCCUUGAGCUUCUCGAACUAGAGAAGAGAGCAAUGGAGCCGAAUAAGAAAACUUGUAUUGCACAAAAGAGAGAUUACAAGAAUGCUUGAGUUGCUUGCUCUAAGCUUGUUGUUGUUGUUUUUUUACAAAUGCCUAAUGCCAUCCCAUAUUUAUAGGGGAGGCUUGCCAAGCUCUAGGGAUUCUAGAGAAUUCUACCACUUCCUAGCUAUUUACAUGUGCUGGAAUUGUAAAGAGAAUUCUAGAGUAUUUACAAGCUCAAUGUGCUAGAGUUGCCUAGAACUUUCCGGAAUUGGGCCAAGCUAGCACUCUUGGCUUUGUCUUGGGCUCUUGGUGGGCAAAUUAGGCUAGCGAAUUGGGCGGUCCGCAACAUGCUUCCUAUCAAAAUGUUUAUGUUUGAAUGCUUCUGUGAGUUCUCUGGUAAGGGCUAUACAACUAGCUCUAACAGAUUCCUUCAUGUGCAUUAAUUAGCUUAAUAGCUUAUUGACCUAUAUCCAAUGUCUAUUCUCCUUUUCUGUAGCCGUCUAGCUUUAUGAGUGCGUGAAGUGAACUUUUGUUUUUUGUUUCAGGACUUGGGAUUAGAGUGUAUAACAUUCAAUAUCUUUAUAUCAAACAACUGAUAUAUGUUAAUGUAGUGCGAUCUGGUCUUUAUUAGCUUCUUGAUUUGCGAGGAUGUUUGACAACCAUCUUUGACUGUGUUUGCCAGCGUAUAAGCUACUACAUAUUGUGUCUGAGGAAUCACAACAAAUUAUUAUCAUAAUAUGGUGAUUUUGAAUCCAAAACUUGGUAGUGUCAAGAAAAUAGACCCAUGUUUAUUUAGCUUCACGUUUUGUAUGCGGCUGCAAUAGACUAUUAUAAGUUACUUUUAGUUUUAUCAAGUUCCCCCCCGCCCCCUUAAAUUUCAGUUAUUUCAGCAGUUUCUUUUAACUGAGUUAAUAGUGUUGUUAGGUUAAACUAAGUUUGGCUUCAUAAGCUUCAUAGUAGAGUGUAGAAUUAGGUACAAUUUUGGGUUAGACAAGUCAAAGGUCUUAUCAAGUAAUUGUCCUGCUUACUGAUUUGGUAAUUGCAACAUUGCUAAAUAGUUCAAUUUGUCCUUUUUAUUUUGUUGAAUUUAUUGUAUGUCAUAUUACUUGAUUUAAUUAUUUUCUCAGAUCUUGUAGGUGAAAAUUUGAGCUUCAAAGACCAAAGCUAAUCAUCCAGCAAUUCAGUGAAGAAACCAAGACACACGCGGCGCAUAAAAAUUGUUGUUGAUCUGCUUUAUAUAUUUUGAGCUUUGUGAUUUGUGAAUACAUGGUUUGAUUCCAGUGUUUAAAACUUUGAAAUUCAAUUAAAAGUUGAGCUGUGAAAGAGUGUGUUGUAUAACUUGAGAAGCCAAACAGGAAAUGUGUUUUUUUGUUUUUAAUCUAUCUAUCUAUUUAUUUUUUGUUUGGAAAUGUAACAAUUUAUAGCUGGCAAAGUAAUAGAGUUGUAUACUUACUUGUAUUUAAUUUAUUAUUAUUAUUAUUAUUAUUAUUAUUAUUAUUUUAAUGACUCGGUAAUGUCAUUGUCCGUGGCGUUGUCAUUUCGAAAGUACUUAACCCUUCCACGCUAAGGCACAUCACAGCAGCCGAAAUUUUGAGCUUUCAGUUCUUGAUUUAGCGUGAGGGGUAUCUUUGUCUUUUCAGUAGUCAACAAACGGUCAACAAAACAGUCUACAAGCAAUCAGGGGGGAAAUCGGAUCUUUGAGUUUUCAGUAGUCAACAAAACAGUCAACAUACAGAAUCAGUUUGAAUAUGGUUCUUGAUGGUAUCAUGGAAAAUGCGAACGAAAAGUCAGCAUCUUUGAGUUUUGUCUCAUCAUAUCCGACUUGUUGGUCCACUAAUCAAUCAACAGGCACUUGUGAUCUUGAUAGUUUGAACUUAAGGAGGCAAAGCACCAAUCCUGAAGAGCCGUUCCUUGACGCUGAGAUUGUUGUUGAGGGCAAAUCAGUGGCAGUUAAUCGCAGCAUAUUGUCUGAGCGCAGUCAAUUUUUUCAUCGGCUUUUUAAUUUGAGAAAUGAUGCUUCUGUCGGUGAGGGGAAACCCAAGUAUCUUUUGACUGAUUUGGUGCCUCAUGGGAAGGUUGGAUAUGAAGCUUUCAAUGAUACCUUGUAUUAUCUUUACUUUGGACGGGUUAAGACAUCUCCUCCAGAAGGGUCCACGUGUGUUGAUGAUGCUUGUGCUCAUGAUGCUUGCCCUCCUGCUAUUAAUUAUGCUAUUGAGUUGAUGUAUGCUUCCGCUGCUUUUCAGAUGAAAAACCGCGUUGUUUAUUUUGGGGUAAUUGUGCUUCCCUGCUAUUUGUAUUGCUUAAAUUUAUGCACAUAUAUGGGAUUGAAAUCAAUUUCAGUUGUGAAGCAACUUCGGUGGUUCCCAAUAUUAGGAAUUGUAGUAGAUCCAAAAUUAGCUUAUUAAAAAGUGUAGAUACCGUAGAGCCCAAAACUUCGUCUUAUCUUGCAAGAGUCUGUCGUUAUAUUUUGAAAGAGACAAAAGUGAUGAUGAUGGGCGGCGAACUCUAGGAAUCAAUGCUUGCUGACACUCACUCCCAUGAAUGAUAAAAACUAACCAAAAAGGUAUAGAUUACAUGAGUCUGAAUUUGAUAAGUGCACCUAUCCUAUCACAAAAAGCUUUCGCGUUGAGUUUCUAACCAAUGAAAAUUGUCACUUCUGUCUGUAGCCUUCAUAGAUUUGUUCAAGCCUUCAAGGAUGUCUAGCUGUUACUUACCGUCCAACAAUGGUGCUACAUUUCUAGUGAAUGAUAUGUUAUUCUACAUCUGUAUAUUGCAACUUUGACAAACUUCGCCUUUCCUUUGUUGCCCGAUUAUGAAAUGGUCUAUUGGAGACUAGCAUUGGAAGGUUUCUUCUGGAAAAAAUUUUACUUGACCACCAAUUUUCAUUUGGGUGGGUGUCAGUUCAUGCUCUGGCUUGACUGUUCUGUUAUUUAGGUUGUUUUAUCUGUAUUUUCUCACUCACUUGAUACUGAGUUUUCUCAUGCUUUCAAGCUCAACAGUGAAUGCGAAUACUAGAGAUUCUCUUUUUUCCCGUCCAGGCUACAACCUAGCAAAUUGUUAAUGCUGUAGAAUAACAUCUUUUGUAGGCGAGCUUAUGUCUCUGAACAUUGGUCCAUCGGCAUUUAGGUUCAAUAAGCAUGCCACUGAUUUUCCCCCUCAUUAUUAUUUUCCUGCACAGGUUAUCCCCUUUAAGUAUUUGAAUUUUGAAUAUAUUAUUCUGAAUCAAUACUCUAUCUGUCCGUGUAGCAUUUUAUAUAUGCUUUAUGAUGUUUACCAAUAAUUACCCACUAUGGGGUAUUUGAAUUCUGAAUAUAUUAUUCUGAAUCAAAACUCUAUCUGUCCGUGUAGGAUUUGUUUUGGGACAUGACUGAGGAUGCUCCUGUGGAAGAUGUAAUCCCAAUUCUCGUGGCUGCCUUCCAUUGCCAACUGAACAAGCUUCGUUUUUUCUGCAUCCAGAGAAUUGCAAGGUCAAAUCUUGACAAUGUUUGUCUCGAGAAAGAGCUUCCCGAUGAAGUUUCAAGAGAAAUCAAAUCACUCCGUGUCAAAUCUAACCAGGAGUCUGAAGCUAUUAUAGCAGAAGUGGAUCCCAUGCAUGCAAAAAUAGUCAGUAGAAUCCACAAGGCGCUGGACUCUGAUGACGUUGAACUGUUGAAGCUUCUUCUGGAUGUAUCUAAUGUCACUCUGGAUGAUGCUUACGCUCUGCACUAUGCUGCUGCCUACUGCAACCCUAAGGUUUUUAAGGAAGUGCUCAAUAUGGGCUUGGCUGACCUCAAUCUUAGGGAUGCAAGAGGACGUACGGUGCUUCAUGUGGCUGCAAGGCGUAAUGAGCCAGAAGUGAUGGUGACUCUGCUGAGCAAGGGAGCAUGCGCAUCAGAAACUACAUCAGAUGGGCAAACCGCUGUAGCAAUCUGUCGGAGAAUGACAAGGCGAAAGGAUUAUCUUGAAGCUACAAAGCAGGGGCAGGGAACUAACAAAGACCGGUUAUGCAUUGAUGUCCUUGAGAGAGAGAUGAGAAGGAACUCCAUGUCUGAGAACUUGGCAAUGUCAUCAGAGGUGAUGGAUGAUGAUUUCCAAAGGAAGCUGGACUAUCUGGAAAAUAGAGGUGAUAAUUUCUUUACUGGUAUUAGUUCAUCACCUUCUCAGAGUUUGUGCAUAGCACACUUCUUUCUACUGUUUGUUUGUCCAUUCAUCUGGAAAAUAGAGGUGAUAUUCCUUUGCUGGUAUUAGUAAAUCAUCUUCUCAGAGUUUGUGAGUCCCUUCAUCUUAGGAUCUCAAACACACAUGGGCUCAUUGCUUGGAGCACACUGUUGGCCAGUCGUGUGAUUUGAUCCCUUUUUUGGAAUAGACAACUCUGAAUCCAUCUGAUCUAGGCUUGGCGGUUUGCACUGAACUGGUUUUUGAUGAAUAAUUGCACAAGACUUUGUCAUCAAAACUUUUAUUUUUUGGUUUUUUUGCCCCAAAAGUAAUGAGGUACAAAAAAAAUCUAUGCCUAUCCUGGAUGACUGCCAUAACAGCUUCUUAAUAUUUUGCAGUGGCUUUUGUACGGUUGUUUCCUUCUGAAGCUAGAGUAGCUAUGGAAAUAGCAGGUGCAGAUACCGCCACUGGCCUUUCAGCAUUAGGUCAGAAAGGACUAAGUGGGAACUUAAAGGAGAUUGAUUUGAAUGAAACGCCCUCUAUGCAAGCCAAGAGACGCCAAUUGAGACUGCUAACUCUGCUUAAAACAGGUAUUUAUAUACUUUAUUAACUUUUGCACCUUUCUAUUUACUGAUUAUCUUUAUAAUUAACUAAUACAUGUAUCCAGGUUUCUCCUUCCAUUUCUAAAAGGUUUCUCCUUCCAUUUCAUUAGAAGUAAAUUGGAAUUUCUUUAUAGUGCUCUGUUAGGUGUAAUCAGAUGUAUCAAAAGAGAAAGGGUAAUUGUUAGUACAUUGAUAUCUCAACAAAAUGGUAGAACCUUUCUUUAUACCAGUAAGACAUUUGUUGCAGGUAUGCCUACAUAAUCAGUGUCCUUCAAAACUUUCAAGGAGUUAGCAAUGCCUAACCCCUGAAACACUAAAUCUCACGGGAUCAACUCUUUACCUCUAGACCGAAGGUGUGACACCCAGACCCAAUUAGGGCUUAGAACACAUAUCGAAUCUGAGUGAAACUAAAUGCCUGUAAAUCCAAAUCUCCAAAAUAUCAUAAAGUCAUCUACUUUCUCUUUUCAUGUAUUUCACAAAAUUUUGAAAAAUUCAUUCUCAAUCAUAAACUAUGCACAGCUAAUUAUUCAGCAUAUCAGUAUAGAGCAAUACUUCCUCAUAAGCAAAUAAAUCUUACAAUCCUUCUUAAAUGAUUUGAAAAAAAUACUAAUAGAAGUCUUCUAGAUACAAACAUAAACAGAAUUCAACUGUUUAAAACUAUGCCAAAACACAAGCUUCAAUCAGUAAUGCAUACGACUAAUUAUUAAAAACAUCUAGCCAGAAACCUUACGAAAGCUCAAUCCUUUCGAAGCAUUCUUCAAAUUAAUAAUUGCUACCAUCUGUGAAAAAUAAUUGACAAGGAGUCACCUGUGAACUCAAUCAGUAGAAACAUUCGUAACGAACAAAAAGAAUUCUUUGUGCAAUAUUUUCAGAAAAUUCAUUUAACCUUUCAAAUGAAACAGAGUAAUUUUUCUAACGCAGUCAGGAUUUAUAUAAAACACAAACGUUUCAGACAAAAGCUGUGUGGAAUGUAAAUUUUGUUUCUUUAAACAGAAAGUUAUAUAUUAGUUUGAUUUUAAAGGGAGGUUAUUGGGAAGUUAAAAUUGGCAGUUGCGGGAAAAGGGUAAUAGCAGUUAUAAAAUCUCUUUUAAAGCAAAUUCAAAUCAAGUUUCAAAUUUUAGGAGUACUUAAUUCAAUAAAAUAAGGAAUAAAUAAAGCUUUCAUUGAAAUAAAACUAAGUAAAUUCAUUUAAAGCAAAAAAGGAUGGGAGCAUUACUAUGGGUUCUUAUGUUUACCCGCAGUCAGACAUCUGGGACCUUGUUAUUUGGAGACAAGACUUGAUUGUGCCAUGUUUUCCGCAGCUAGACAUCUGUGGAUAAGAGAACCCUAAGCGUAUUGAGAAUAAAUUCCAUAAUCCAAGUCUCUUCAGUUCUUUCAUUUGUGGCUAAUUAGUUAUAAAAUUUGUGAAUUUCAUGCCCCAUGCCCCUUGCAAAAAUGUAUUUUAUAUCCUUAAGAUGCCAGUUGUUGAACUGAAAUAAUAAAAAAUGGAAAACAGACUUAAUGCCGAUAGCAUUUCUUAAGAAAAACUUGGGAUGUUUAUAAGUUUCUUAGAGCAUUUGCUGAACUUUCUGUGAUGGCAGUCGAGACGGGUGACCGCUACUUCCCUCAUUGCUCAGAAGUGGUUGAUCGCUUUUUGGAUUUGAACAAUCCUUCCACCCCAGAAAUGGACGACGAGAAACUUAAAGUAGACGUGCAGGAGGCAUUCUGCAAGGACGUGGCUUAUCACCGUCGUUUAGGGCUGCCAUCAUCCUGGCCGGCAUUUUACCAGUACAUGGCUAGGAGCAAUCAGUCGGCAUUUUACAAGUACGUGGCUGAGAGCAAUGGUUCACGAAUGUCGACAUCCUGGGCAGCGAGCAAUUAAGCAUCACCUUUCCCUAAAAGUUAUAUUUGACACCUGGAAAACUAAAGUAGUUGAGUGAGCUCGAUUGGUAUUUGUAGUUUCUUUUUUUUUUACUCAAGUGAUCUGGCAUAAUUAAAAGUUAUUUGUUUGUCUUCAAAGUUAUUGUAUUGUCUCAAGUCCGGUGAGAUGCGCGAACGUAUAGCAUGCAUCACAAACUCAUUUCAUAGAAUAUUUUUUUGUAUAAUUAUAUAAUUUAUAGGCUUUGCUUAAAAAAUUAAAAAAGAAAAAAAGAAUUGUAUUACAAUUGGUAUGAGGCAUGCUCGUGUGUUAUAUCAGUUGCAUGCGUGUGUUAUAUCAGUUGCUGAACAAACUUUGCCUUUUAGUUUUGUAGGCACUACCAUCUCAAAUUCUCUGUUAUCAUGAAUGAGUAUUUUUUUUCUUUUUUCUUUUUUAAGAAAUCAUAAAUGAGAUUCAGAUAAUCUUUUUAAAAAAAAAAGAAAAAAAAAUGGAGAUUUCUUUUAUUUUUCCUUAAAAAACUGAAGAAAAAUUUAGAAGGUAGUGAGAGACGGAGAAUUAAAGCAAUUUUAUUCACAAAUGUAAUGUGUUUGGUCUAGCAAUACAAACUAAUAAAUUAUAAUUUAUGAGAUUAGUUUACAUAAUCUUAUAUAUAAAAUUAUAUCCUCUGAAUAAAAAUCUUCUCACCUCUUUUGACUUCUCAUUUAGAUGCCCUCUCUAGAAUCUCUCCAGCCAUAAACACAUUUUUAUAAAACAAAACACAAAAAAAAAUUAUAUAUAGUUGUCACAAGGACUAUUUCAUUUGCACAUAAUACGCAAUUGGUCAUUAAAGUUAUUAGAGGAGAAACUUUACAUGACAUGGGUACAUCAUAUUAUUAGUAUUUUAGUUUAAAUUUUUACAUACUAGAACAGUCUCUUUUUCUCCGAUUUGAGAGAUAAUGGGGAAUGGGGUUAAAGUGCAUCUACAUAGAAUUAAUUAUAAUUAAAUUUAUUUUUUAAAACUAUUUUAACUAGAAGUAGUAGUAAUUCUUUUUACUAUUGUUAUUCCAAUUAUAUCAAAAUCUCGUGACUGGUGAUCAAAAUAAGUGGUUCAUUAAAUUUUUUUAGGUGACGUAUGGUAUGGAGUUGUUAUAAAUCUAUAUAAAAAGUAAAAUAUUUAAUUUUGCUUGUCGUAAACUUUUAAUUUGCAUGGGUUAAAAAAGAAAAAAAGAAAUUGACUUAUUAAUUAAUUAACAAUUAUAGAAAGAAUAAAUAGAAAAUUAUAGUUGCGUGAGAAAACCCUCGUGAAAAGGGCUCCGGAUUUCCUUUCCCUGGCUUCGUGCGUUUCCUUUUGCCCUUUUCGAGCACGAAUUCGAAUCCAGUACUUUAUAAUAAAGAUAUAAUAUUAAAAAAUAAGAAAAAGAAUCCCAAUUUUUACUGGUAUAUAACGCAGAGCCUGCAUUAUGAAACACUCUUUUGCUAUUGUUUUCUUUUCUUUUCUCUUUUGCUGUAAUUUUUUAUGAAACACUCUGUUUCAGUUCUGUUUCUGGUUUUGUUUCGGUUUAAUAUUAUUGGUUCCGUUUGGUUCUGUUCUGCUCUGUUCUACGUCGUAUGUAUAUAUGUAUAUAUUUUUGGCCUCGAAUUGCUUUCAUCACCGGUUUUGUUAUUCAUUUAUCGUGAAUUUUAGAUGACUUGUUCGGCCAUGUUACAUUCAGCUACCAUUUUCAUGGUGGGUUUGUAAGAUAGUCUCUGACUAACACAUGGCAUUGAUUAUGAAUGAUGGUUUUGUGAGAUACAUCAUACAGACGUUAACUCGUGUUAAUUUGUACUUACAUCAUUCAAAAGAUUACUGUUUUUCUCUCUUUUUUUUAAAAAAAAAAAAAAUUGAAAUGCCCUUUUUCGCAUUUUAUAGAUGAAAGGAAGAAACAUAAUAUCGCAGAACUAGAAUAAAGGAGCCUAUUCUGUUACCUAUUGUCCGAGGAACCUUCUGUAUAUUCGGUAGGAACUACCAUGGGAAGUCAAAUCUUACCAGAGCCAGGCGGAGUCGUUGCUGAAGGAAUAUAUAUUAGCAGAUCCAUUUGUCCCGUACACUUCAAUUGUUGGUAGCAUUUUUGCUUGCACGAUGGUAUGUUUGUCAUCGUUACUGCGUGGUGGUAUUUACUAGAAAAUAUUUUGAAUGCAUAGUUUUUAUUUAAUUAGUUAUAAAAUUUUUAUACCCUCUGUUUUCCAUAAGAAUGUGUUCCUUUUCAGGUCUAUGAUCUUGCCCAAUUGAUUAGUGUGCUGUUCACUUUAAAUCUGAUUCCAGUUUCUCCAACAUACAGCGGGUCGAGUGGAGUAACAGGUGAUUGAAAAUUUUCAUUUAGUCCAAUUGUCAUUUCUUUCUCAAUCGGUAAAGUUUAAUCAUUUUUCUUAAAUCGACAACUCAUGCAGGGCCAUAUCAACCGUCCAUGACAUUUUUAUUACAGCGAUGUCUUUGUACUUUGUGUUUUGGUCGGAUCUCAGAGUUUGUGCAUAGCACACUUGGUUCUACUGUUUGUUUGUCCCUUCAUAGACAUUUCGAUAAACUGUUAUUUUUGUUCUUUGGAAGUGAAUAUUUUCAGCAACUAGAACUCCGAAGCAUCUGGAGUGAUCCAUUUUGUCAUUCUCAAUACCUAUAAAAGAAUGUCAUAGAAAACAGUUUCCAAAGCAAGUUGCAUGUGUUUUGAAUUUGUCUUUGCAAGCCACUAAUUGCUUGGAGCGCACUGUUAGCCAGUCGUGGUUCCAUCCACUUUUUUGGAUAGACAAUUGUGCAUCCAUAUGAUCUGGACUAAACUAGUUUCUAAUAAAUAAUUGCCCAGGGUUUUAGUCUCAGUGUUACAGCCCAGUCUUUGUUGUCAAUACUCUUUCCCCUGUCGUGGAUGAGCGACAUAACAGCUUCUUAAUGUUUUGCAGUGGCUUUUGCACGGUUGUUGUUUCCUUCUGAAGCUAGAGUAGCUACGGAUAGAGCGGAUGCAGAUGCCACCAAUUUUUAUACUGGCCUUUCAGCAUCAAAAUCAAAAGGAUCAAGUGGGAACUUAAAGGAGGUUGAUUUGAAUGAAACACCCUCUAUGCAAGCCAAGAGACUCCAAUUAAGAUUGCAAGCUCUGCUUAAAACAAGUAUUCAUAUACCUUAUUAGUUUUUGUACCUUUACAAUUUGUGAUUUUUGUAUCAAAAGAGAGAGGUUAAUUUUUAGUACAUUGAUAUCUCGACAAACUGUUAGAACCUUUGCACCACUAGAGACAUUUUCUUAGAGCAUUUACUGAACCUUCUAUGAUUGCAGUGGAGACAGGUCGACGCUACUUCCCUCGUUGCUCAGAAGUGGUUGAUAAAUUUUAGGAUUGUGAUUGGGCCGAUGCUUCCCUCCUAGAAAAAGGGUACUCCUGAAGAGCAGAGACUCAAAAGGGCACGCUUCAUGGAACUUAAAGAAGACAUGAAGAAGGCAUUUUACAAGGACAUGGCUGAGAAAAAAUGGCUCAGGUUUGUAGUCAUCCUCGUCAUCGUCAUCUUCUCCGAAGGACGGAGUAAAGUGUAAGGGUAGGAAAAUGUGAUGCUUAGCUGCAUGUCUUUGUUAUUCAUUUAUUGGCAACUAAAAGAGUUUUAGUGAGUUGGCUUGUUACUUGUAGAGAGAUACUCUUAGAGCCUAUGUUAUGGCUAUGUUGUAUAAUAGCAGAGGAACUUCAAGCUUGUGUUGUUGUAUUUUCCCUGGUAUUUGGCAUGUAAUGCACUAAAUGACAAAGAAUUUUCUAAUUUUAGAGGGGAAUGUUAUGUCAGUUAAUUAUUUAUUUAUUUUGUCUGUUUAAUUCAGUUUACAUAGCUUUUUUUUUUUCUCCAAAAAAAUCUUCAUAUCUCCAUCUGCAAUUUAAGUCAUUUGUAACUUCUUUCAGGGAGGAAGGAAAAGGGAAAAAAAAGAAGCAUUUGUAAGUAUAUUUACAGUACUGAUUUUCCUACAGAAAUUGGUUAAGGUGACAUUAAUGUUCUUAGUAACAGAUGGAUAUGCAGAAUUUUCGUUGAAAUUGAAAUUAGAAAUGGAUGGAUAUGAAUGACAUAUAUUCAGAAUUUUUUAGUAGAAUGUUUAAACAAAAUUUUUUAGCUCAUUACUCUCUAGAAGGAAAAUAAAUUUUUUAUUGUAAAUAUUAAAUAUUAAAUUUAUAAUAUAAUAAAUGUGUGACUUAAGGUGCACAAUACCUAUAUAAUAAUAAUAAUUAGGACAAGAAAAAUCAAAUUUUGUAAAUUACCAAAUUUCCCUUGGAAUUUGAUAUUCUAUAUCAACGUAGGUGUUGCAUCCACUGGGUUAGUACAACUAAAAGAAACUAACUAAAGUAAAACAAAAUAUCAGAAAAAUAUGGCGAGCUUCUCAUUUUUUUUUAAGUGAAAAAAAAAGAAAACUGAAAUUAAUUAUUUUUAUACCCAAAUUCUCAUGCUCGAAGGCCGCUGGAAUUGGUCAUUGUAAUUUUGUCAUCCUCGUUAUUCACUGGCCAUCGUAGCCUUCCUCCCUUAGAAUGAGAGUCGUUUUUUGGACCACGACAUAAUAAAAAUAGUAUUGAUUAAUACUAAUAAAUUUCUUUUUGAUUAUUUUGCAGUGUAAUAGUCUAGUGCGUGCCAGUGCCCAUCAGAUCACUUGAACAUGUGGUAAAAUUCUGCGAGUCUUUGUAAAAUAAUUUUUAAAUUGUGUAUUAACCAAAUAGCUCAAUGAAGACUAUCGACUCAUUAUUUUAUUUUGUAUAUAUUUAUGAUAAUUGUUGAAAAGAAAAUUGUAAAGUGAGAUUAAUGAACAUUUAUGAAUGUGGAAAUUAACACAACCAGAAUUUAUGAUGAAAUAAUUUUAAGUCAAACGAAUGUAAGUUUGUAUAUAUAUUUUUUGAAUUGUCAUAUAUAUACAAGUUUGUCACUAACAGUAAAUUAAAUUAUGAAUAUUUUAAUAAUUCAAAAUCUCAUUUAACCAUCAGCGUUUAUAGGGUGCGUUUGGCACAUUGUAUUGUAUUAUAUUGUAUUAUAUUAUUUUAAUGCAUGUGUAUUAUAUUAUAUUGUAUUACAUUAACAUUGUAUUAUAAUAAUACUAUACAAUGUUUGGUACUACAUUGUAUUAAUUUUUAAUAAAUAUAUAAUAUUACACUGUAUUAUAUUAAUUUUUUAAUAAGUACUUUAAAUUAUAUAUUUAGAAAAUAACAUUUAUUAGUCGUUAAAAAAUACUAAAUAUAAAAUUCUUAAAUUUUAGAAAUUUAAUAUUAUCUUUCUGGUAUAAACGUUGAAAAAAAAAAUCAUAAUUCUUCGUAAAAAUCGAAAUAAAUAAUUCAAUCAAAUAACCUUCAAAUAAUAUUAUAACAUAAAUAAAUAAUUAAAAUGUACAAGAUUAAGUUAAAAAUCAUUUUAAGAUAAUAAAAUAAAAAUUUAUACAUAGUAUAAAAUAAUAUAGUAACUGUAGUAUAAUAACUAACAAAAUAGACUGUACUAAAUAAUUUAAGUAAUACAACAAUAUUUACAAGUACCGUUUUUGCUAUCUUUCUCUUUUAAAGGCCCCUUUUUUGUUUUAUUCUUAGAACUUCAUAGUUCUUUUGUUUUUUCUUUUUCUUUUUCUUUUUCUUUGCCCCUUUUUUGUUUUCUUCAUAUUUCUUUUGGCUUCAUAAGUUUCUUUUAACUGAGUUAAUAGUGUUGUUAGGUUAAACUAAGUUUGGCUUCAUAAACUUAAAUCUCGUUAAGUUUUCCUUCGAAUAGCUCUCUCUCUUUUAGAGAGGCUUGAAUGGAAAAAUAUUAAGGGGUCGUAAGGACUCAGGUGGUCACUCCUAGUGAGUGGAAAGUAAUCUAAACCAGCAAGCUGUUGGGAUUGAUGUGCUGGUGGAGAAAGUUUCGAAGAGCCAAAGGUAGUGUAAAGCGUUGGGGUACGAGUCAAAGCAAGCAAGUUGAAAGAACUCACUAUCGGCUCUAGCGUUAUUUGCCAUGGACACUGAAGAGCUAAUUCGCAAGUGUCAAGCAAUAAAUAUUAGAGAGGAAGACAAAGCCAAAAUAACACUGGAGGUGAAUCUGGAAAAAAAGAAAGAACUAAUGAUGGCAGGCUGCUUAGUGGGUAAAGUAAUGCUCGCGAAGGGAGUAAAUAAAGAGGGUCUCAAGGCUGCGUUACAGCAGGUGUGGAGGACUUUCAAAGAAGUCAAAAUCGAAAGCGUGGGAAACAACAUCUUCAUGUUUAAAUUUGCUGAGGAAGCAGACAAGAAAAGAGUGUUAAAAUGGGGACCAUGGCACUUCGACAGGGCAUUGAUUGUACUCGCUGAGCCAAGGGGGAUUGGGGAAGUCGCAAAACAAUCCUUUACUCAUACAUCCUUUUGGGUGCAGAUUCGUAAUGUUCCACUAGCGUGUAUGGAUAAAGAUUUUCUCCGGGAGCUGGGUGAGAAGCUAGGAUCAGUUGAAGAGGUCCAAACUGAUGAUAAUGGAGAUUGUAUUGGGGAAUAUGCCAGAAUAAGAGUUUCAAUUAAUAUAACACUGCCGCUAGAGAGGAUUCUAUUUCUAAAGCGAGAAGGUGAAACUGAUAUCCCAAUGCCAGUGGUCUAUGAACGUUUGCCGGAUUUUUGUUAUUGCUGCGGCAUCAUAGGACAUCAAUACAAAGAGUGUGGCAAAUACCAAGACCAACCAAGAGAAGAUUUACCAUAUGGGAGCUGGAUGAAAGCGAUUACGGUAGGGGGCUUCACAAAGAGGAAUCAGAACCAGGGAAGGUGGAACUAUGGGGCUGGAAAAUCGGAUGAAAAAUCAGCAAGCUCAGAAAAUCACAGCUUCCAGCAACAGCAAGGGCAAAACAAAGAAAACCCGAUAGAGGCAAACGGGUCGGUACAAAAUGAGAAGGAAAUGGGGCAAACCAUGGAGCAUGCUAAGAAUGAUGUGAUAGGAGGAGUAGCUGAGCAACAAUUAAUGCAAGGAGUGUCACAGUCAGCGGACAAAAAACAAACUGACGGCCACAAGCAAGCUAAGAAAAGUGGCAAUGCAACAGUCCCAAGGAAAAUGGGCACACAAGCGGGAAAUGGUAUCCUAAACGAGGGGGAAAAAAUGCAAAUAAGUCAUGAAAAGGAAGCUGGAAAAAAUGAUGGGCCGGAAGUCUCUCAGCUACAGCCCAAUAAGAGAAAGUGGAAGAGAUUACUUAGAGAGCUAAGUGAAGGGGGGGAAGAAAUGGAGGUACAAACUCGGAAAAGGCCAAGGGGGAAAAAACUCGGGCAAAGCCCAAGGAAAAAAACAAAACUCUCCAACUCAAACCAGCUCGAGACAAAAAAUCUGAUGCAUGUUUCUUCAACAGCAAGUCUUCAGCUGGGGUGGGAACCGCUGAUGCUGGAAGAGGUGGUAGUUAUGGAAGCAAACAACAUGGAGAUAUCGGCGGAGGCUGGUGGCCAGCCCCGCCGAAAACCAUGAAUAUCCUCAGCUGGAAUGUUCGGGGUUUGGGGAAUCCCCGAGCAUUUCAAGCCUUAAGAAAAAUCCUCCAGUUGCAUGGUGCUCAGCUGGUGUUCUUGUGUGAAACAAAGGUAUCAACCAUGCAAAUGAAUGUAAUUGCAAGUAAGCUGAGCUUCGAGAAUUGCCUUGCGGUAAACGGUAAUGGAAGAGGAGGCGGAAUAGCAAUGCUCUGGAAGUCAGAUAUUGAGGUGCAAAUCAAAUCAUACAGCCAGCACCACAUUGAUGCCGAAACUCAAAUGCCAAAUGGGAAUCAAAUGCGAAUUACAGGAGUGUAUGGGCAUCCGGAAAUAAGCCAGAAAAAGCACACUUGGACGCUCCUCAGACGGCUGGCGGUUUUAUCUUCUAGUCCUUGGUUGUGUUGUGGAGAUUUUAACGAAAUUUUACAUCCAAAUGAGAAGAGGGGCGGCAAUGAUAGAAAUGUGAAUUUAAUUAAUGAGUUUAGAGAAGUCUUGAGAGAUUGUGGCUUAAAGGAUGUCGGGUUUCGGGGGUAUGCUUUUACUUGGAAUAAUGGAAGAUAUGGGGAGGGUUUUGUGGAAGAAAGGUUGGACAGAUUUGUUUGCUCUAAAGCUUGGAGUGAUAGAUUUGUGGACUGUGCAGCAAGUAAUCUGGACUCCUGGACUUCGGAUCAUUGUCCCGUGCUGAUGGUUGUUCAAGAGAGAAGGGAGGGUAUGAUCCAAAGGGGUAGACAUUCCUCGCGAAUCCAUUAUGAGGAUAUGUGGAGUUCGUAUGACGGAUGCAAAGAGAUAAUUAAGGAGGAAUGGGGGCUGUAUAGAAACUGGAGCAGUGAAAAUUCAGCCCAAUCCUUUCGACAAGCAACAAAAACUUCGAUGGGUAGGCUGCUGGGGUGGAGCAAGAGGGAAUUUAGAAAGCGUGACAGAAAAUUAGAGAAGCUGAAGGUUCAGCUGAGGGAGUUAAAACAAAGAAGGGUGCAAUUUGUAGAUGGUGAGGAAAUUCGGAAGGUGGAGAAGCAAAUUCAAAAUAUUCUUAUGGAUGAAGAAAUCUACUGGAAGCAACGUUCAAGAGCAGAUUGGCUCAAGGAGGGGGACAAAAACACAAAAUUUUUUCACGGCAAAGCGACGGCAAGAAGGAAAAAAAACAGAAUUUGGGGGAUUGAAGAUAAUUUUGGGAAAUGGAUUGAGGAGCCAAUCAAAGUAGAGCAUGAGUUUUGCAACUAUUUCACCAAGCUUUUUACAUCAACCCAGCCGAGACAAGAUCAAAUUGCAGCAGCUUUGGAAGGAAUAACUCCAAGAGUUUCAGCCAGUAUGAAUGAGAGUCUGGGGGCACCUUUUACAGCCGAGGAAGUGUUGGAAGCGCUGAGCCAAAUGUGCCCAACAAAGGCUCCGGGGCCGGAUGGUUUGCCAGCCGUGUUUUACCAAAAGCAUUGGCAUUCGGUCAAGGAGGGAGUGCUCACCACUUGUCUGCAUAUCCUUAAUUCACAAGGUACCAUCGGCCCUCUAAACCACACUUACAUUGCUUUGAUACCAAAAAUCGGAAAGCCUAGGAAAGUGACAGAUUUUAGGCCUAUUAGUUUGUGCAAUGUCAGCUAUAGAAUUGUUGCUAAAACAGUUGCUAAUAGAUUUAAGCAAGUUUUGCACAAAAUCAUCUCUCCAUCGCAAAGUGCAUUCAUUCCCAAUAGGCUGAUCACUGACAAUAUAAUAGUUGGCUAUGAAUGUUUGCACAAAAUUAGGCAUUGUAAAAGCAAGCGAAAUGGAUUAAUUGCCUUAAAGCUUGAUGUUAGUAAAGCUUAUGAUAGAUUGGAAUGGAAUUUCUUAGAGCAAACUUUAGAAAAAUUAGGCUUCUCGCAGCAAUGGAUUAGCUUGAUUAUGAGGUGCAUUAGUUCGGUUUCAUUUUCAGUGUUAAUAAAUGGUGCAGUGAAAGGCUUAAUUAAACCUCAAAGGGGCUUACGUCAAGGAUGCCCCCUCUCCCCAUAUUUGUUUAUUACAUGUGCAGAGGCCUUUUCAUCUUUGCUGCAGCAAGCUGAGCAACAACAACUCAUUCAUGGGUUAUCUUUUGGAAGCAAUCUGAAGAUUUCGCACCUCCUUUUUGCCGAUGACAGCCUGGUCUUCAGCAGAGCCUCCAUGGCCGACUGUCACAACUUGAAGAUGAUCCUUGAGUGUUACUCCACAGCUUCGGGCCAAAUUUUUAACUUCGAGAAAUCUUCCCUUUUUAUCAGUGGCAAUGUACAGCAAGAUCAAACUGAGGCUCUUGGGAAUCUAUUUCAGCUCAAUAUUGUGUCGAGACAUGAGAAAUAUCUAGGCUUGCCAUCGAUGAUUGGGAGAAAGAGAAGCAGUUUUUUCAAUGACAUCAAGCUGAAGGUUGCUAAUAAGAUCUCAAGCUGGCAGCAUAAAUUCUUUUCUUGCGGAGGGAAAGAAGUCUUAAUCAAAGCGGCUGUUCAAGCUAUCCCAGCCUACGCAAUGAGCGUCUUUAAAAUUCCAGGGGGUGUUUGUGAUGAUAUUCAAAAGAUGGUGGCAAAGUUUUGGUGGGGCUCCAAGAGGGAAGGGCGGAGUAUUCACUGGGCGCAGUGGGAAAAACUGAGCCAAGCCAAGUGUUUGGGAGGGAUGGGAUUUCGUGACUUCUCAAGUUUUAACCGAGCUCUUCUAGCAAAGCAAGGCUGGAGGAUUCAGCAAUGUCCAGAUUCGCUGGUGGCAAGGGUCCUGCAAGCUAGAUAUUUCCAGUCAACCAAUUUCUUGGCUGCUAAACUCGGCUCAAACCCCUCAUAUAUUUGGAGAAGUCUUCUGUGGGGGAGGAAAAUUAUUUGCGCGGGCUCUAGGUGGAGAGUUGGUAAUGGUCAGAAAAUUCAUGUUCAUAAGGCUAAUUGGAUCCCACGGGCUUCAACUUUCCAGCCAAUAGUUAAGCCAUCUCUGCCCCCUGAUGCUAUGGUCUCGGAAUUAAUCACUGAGGCAAACUGUUGGGAUGAAAAGAGGAUUUAUGAGCAUUUUGACCAUAUGGAUGCUGAUUUAAUUGCUAAGAUUCCCCUGCCUCGAAGUCCAAGGGAGGAUGAGCUGAUUUGGCAUUAUGGAAAAAAUGGCCAAUUCUCGGUUAGAAGUGGAUACCAGACAGCUCUCCAAAUGAAAUUUCCAGCCAUGGCUUCAAGCUCAGUGGUUUCCAAAAAUGAGUGGAAUAUUAUUUGGUCCCUUGCUUUGCCUCAAAAGAUCAGAAUCUUUGCUUGGAGAGCAGCCAAAAACCAACUCCCAUCAGCUGAGAAUCUGUGGAGGAAAAAAAUAAUCCAGAAUCCCAUGUGCCAAGUCUGUAAAAUAGGAACAAAAAAUGUCUUUCAUGCUCUAGUAGCCUGCAAAUCGGCUGAGAAGGUGUGGAAGCUAAUCCAUUUUGAUGAUGACAUUCGUGCAGCUCACAGUCAAGACAUUCUAAGCAUACUGCAUGCUAUGAAAAGGAUGAGAAACAGAGACGACCUGGAGCUGUUGGUAACAAUUUUCUGGGUUAAAUGGAAUGCUAGAAAUCAGAUGAUCUUCAAAGGGAAAAGGGAAACCCCCCAGAUCAUGGUAGCUAAAGCUGAAGCCUUGAUUGCUGCUUAUAAGAGGGUGCAUUCUCCAGAUGAGGCCUGCAGUGAAACAGAGCAGAAAGCACCUCCCCAGAAAUGGAACCCCCCUCAAGCUGGUUUUGUAAAAGUAAACACUGAUGCAGCCAUUUGCUUUGAAAAGAACAUUGUAGGGCUGGGGGUAGUAAUAAAAAAUGUUUUGGGGCAUGUUACAGCAGUUGCUAUCAAGGUUGCUAAGUUUCAUGGAGAUGUUUCUUAUGCGGAAGCAGAAGCCAUGGAAUGGGGUAUGUUAGUGGCGAGAGAGGCCAACAUGAAAGCUGUCAUCAUGGAAUCAGAUUCUCAAGGUGUGGUCAAUUUAGUUAACAACAAGCAGGGCAGCAGAUCAGAGAUCUAUUGGGUUGUGUCAGAAAUUCAGAAUCUAGCGGAAAGUUUCGAUCGUGUUAGCUUUAAAUACACGCCUAGAUCUUGUAAUGUUAUUGCCCACUCUUUAGCUAAACUAGCUUUAGAGAAGUGCGAGAAUGUUGUGUGGAAAGGGUCAUACCCUUCACAAGUGAUGUAUCUCUUUUCUUCUUUAGUUUAAUGGAAAUCUCUUUUCAAAAAAAAAAAAAAAAAAGUUUGGCUUCAUAAGCUUCAUAGUAGAGUGUAGAAUUAGGUACAAUUUUGGAUUAGACAAGUCAAAGGUCUUAUCAAGUAAUUGUUCUGCUUACUGAUUUGGUAAUUGCAACAUUGCUAAAUUGUUCAAUUUGUCCUUUUUAUUUUGUUGAAUUUAUUGUAUGUCAUAUUACUUGAUUUAAUUAUUUUCUCAGAUCUUGUAGGUGAAAAUUUCAGCUUCAAAGACCAAAGCUAAUCAAUCAUCCAGCAAUUCAGUGAAGAAACCAAGACACAGUGGCUCAUAAAUUGUUGUUGGUGAUUGAUCCCAGCCAUUCGGGUGCUCGCCAGUCCUAGAUUAGAAAACUUUCAACGCGGCGCAUAAAUUGCUGUUGAUCUGCUUUAUAUAUUUUGACGUUUGUGAUUUGUGAAUACAUGGUCUGAUUCCAGUGUUUACAACUUUGAAAUUCAAUUAAAAGUUGAGCUGUGAAAGAGUGUGUUGUAUAACUUGAGAAGCAAAUGAAACAAACAGAAAAUGUGUUUUUAUUUUUUUAAUCUAUCUAUGUAACAAUUUAUAGCUGGCAAAGUAAUAGAGUUGUAUACUUGUAUUUAAUUAUUUAUUAUUAUUAUUAUUAUUAUUUUUUUGUAUCCAUGGUGUUUUGUCAUUUCGAAAGUACUUGACCCUUUCACGCUAAGGCACACUCCAGCAGCCGAAACUUUGAGCUUUCAGUUCUUGAUUUUAGCGUGAGGGGUAUCUUUGUCUUUUCAGUAGUCAACACACGGUCAACAAAACAGUCUACAAACAAUCGACCUGUGAACUUGGGUCAAAGCUUUCAUCUUUAAAUCACAUAGGUAGAUCAUGAUUCAAGCUUCAGUUAUAAGCCUUUCAUUGUGAUUGAUAGUAUUCUUUCUUUGAUAUAUAUAUAUAUAUAUAUAUAUAUAGAUUCAUGGUUCUUGAUGGUAUCAUGGAAAAUGCGAACGAAAAGUCAGCAUCUUUGAGUUUUGACUCAUCUUAUCAAACUUGUUGGUCCACUAAUCAAUCAACAGGCACUUGUGAUCUUGAUUAUUUCAACUUAAGGAUGCAAAGCAGCAAUGCCAAAGAGACAUGGCAUGACGCUGAGAUUGUUGUUGAGGGCAAAUCAGUGGCGGUUAAUCGCAGCAUAUUGUCUGAGCGCAGUCAAUUUUUUCGUCGGCUUUUUAAUUUGAGAAAUGAUGGUUCUGUCAGUGAGGAGAAACCCAAGUAUCUUAUGACUGAUUUGGUGCCUCAUGGGAAGGUUGGAUAUGAAGCUUUCAAUGAUAUCCUGCUUUAUAUUUACACUGGGAAGACAAAGGCAUCUCCUCCAGAAGCGUCCACGUGUGUUGAUGACGCUUGUACUCAUGGUGCUUGCCCUCCUGCUAUUAAUUAUGUUAUUGAGUUGAUGUAUGCUUCUGCUGCUUUUCAGAUGACACAUCUCGUUUCGGUUUAUGAGGUAGUUGCGCUUCCCCGCUAUUUGCAUUGCUUAAAUUUAUGCUUGUUGGUAUAGUUUUAACAUAUAUGGAAUUGAAAUCAAUUUCGGUUGUGAAGCAACUUCGGUGGUUCCCAAUAUUAGGCAUUGUAGUAGAUCCAAAAUUAGCUUGUUGAGAAGUGUAGAUACUGUAGAGCCCAAAACUUCGUCUUAUCUUGCAAGAGUCUGUUGUUUUAUUUUGAAAGAGACAAAAGUGAUGAUGAUGGGCAGCGAACUCUAGGAAUCAAUGCUUGCUGACACUGACCCCCAAGAAUCAAUGAGUCUGAAUUUGAUAAGUGCACCUAUCCUAUCACAAAAGCUUUUGCGUUGAGUUUCUAACCAAUUUUCAUUUGUGUAGGUGUCAGUUCAUGCUCUGGCUUGACUGUUCUGUUAUUUAGGUUGUUUUAUCCGUAUUUUCUUCACUCACUUGAUGGUUAGUUCUCUCAUGCUUUCAAGCUCUCAACAGUGAAUGCGGGAGAUUCUAUUUUUCCCGUCCAGUCUAUAACCUAGCAAAUCAUUAAUGCUGUAGAAUAACAUCUUGUGUAGCCGAGUUUAUGUCUCUGAACAUUGGUCCAUCGGCAUUUAGGAUCAAUAUUAUUUUUCCCCCUCAUUAUUAUUUUCCUCCACAGAUUAUCCCCUUUGAGUAUUUGAAUUUUGAAUAUAUUAUUCUGAAUCAAAACUCUAUCUGUCCGUGUAGCAUUUUUUAUAUGCUUUACGAUGUUUACCAAUAAUUACCCACUAUGGGGUAUUUGAAUUUUGAAUAUAUUAUUCUGAAUCAAAACUCUAUCUGUCCGUGCAGCAUUGGCUUCUGAACUUGGCUGAGGAUGCGCGUGUGGAAGAUGUAAUCCCAAUUCUCGUGGCUGCCUUCCAUUGCCAACAGAACAUGCUCUGUUCUUACUGCAUCCAGAGAAUUGCAGGAUCAAAUCUUGACAAUGUUUGUCUCGAGAAAGAGCUUCCUGAUGAAGUUUCAAGAGAAAUCAAAUCACUCCGUGUCAAAUCUAACCAGGAGUCUGAAGCUAAUAUAGCAGAAGUGGAUCCUAUGCAUGCAAAAAUAGUCAGAAGAAUCCAUAAGGCGCUGGACUCUGAUGACUUUGAACUGUUGAAGCUUCUUCUGGAUGUAUCUAAUGUCACUCUGGAUGAUGCUUAUGCUCUGCACUAUGCUGCUGCCUACUGCAACCCUAAGGUUUUUAAGGAAGUGCUCAAUAUGGACUUGGCUGGUCUCAAUCUUAAGAAUGCAAGAGGUCGUACGGUGCUUCAUGUGGCUGCAAGGCGUAAUGAGCCAGAAGUGAUGGUGACUCUGCUGAGCAAGGGAGCAUGCGCAUCAGAAACUACAUCAGAUGGGCAAACAGCUGUAGCAAUCUGUCGGAGAAUGACAAGGCGAAAGGAUUAUAUUGAAGCUUCAAAGCAGGGGCAGGAAACUAACAAAGACCGGUUAUGCAUUGACGUCCUUGAGAGAGAGAUGAGAAGGAACUCCAUGUCUGAGAACUUGGCAAUGUCAUCAGAGGUGAUGUAUGAUCAUUUCCAAGCGGAGCUGGACUAUCUAGAAAAUACAGGUGAUAUUUCUUUACUGGUAUUAGUUCAUCACCUUCUCAGAGUUUGUGCAUAGCACACUUCUUUCUACUGUUUGUUUGUCCCUUCAUAUGGAAAAUAGAGGUGAUAUUCCUUUACUGGUAUUAGUAAAUCAUCUUCUCAAGAGUUUGUGAGUCCCUUCAUUUUAGCAUCUCAAACACACAUGGGCUCAUUGCUUGGGGCACACUGUUGGCCAGUCAUGUGAUUUGAUCCCCUUUUUUGGAAUAGAGAAUUAUGAAUCCAUCUGAUCUAGGCUUGGUGGUUUGCACCGAAGUGGUUUUUGAUAAAUAAUUGUACAAGACUUUGUCAUCAAAAACUUUUUUUUUUGUUUUCCAAAAGUAAUGAGGUACAAAAAUAUUUAUGCCUAUCCUGGAUGAGUGCCAUAACAGCUUCUUAAUAUUUUGCAGUGGCUUUUGUACGGUUGUUUCCUUCUGAAGCUAGAGUAGCUAUGGAAAUAGCUGGUGCAGAUACCGCCACUGGCCUUUCAGCAUUAGGUCAGAAAGGACUAAGUGGGAACUUAAAGGAGAUUGAUUUGAAUGAAACGCCCUCUAUGCAAGCCAAGAGACGCCAAUUGAGACUGCUAACUCUGCUUAAAACAGGUAUUUAUAUACUUUAUUAACUUUUGCACCUUUCUAUUUACUGAUUAUCUUUAUAAUUAACUAAUACAUGUAUCCAGGUUUCUCCUUCCAUUUCAUUAGAAGUAAAUUGGAAUCUCUUUAUAGUGCUCUGUUAGGUGUAAUCAGAUGUAUCAAAAGAGAAAGAGUAAUUGUUAGUACAUUGAUAUCUCAACAAAAUGGUGGAACCUUUCUUUAUACCACUAAAGACAUUUGUUGCAGGAUGCCUACAGAAUCAGUGUGCUUUAAAACUUUCAAGGAGUUCGCAAUGCCUAACCCUUGAAACACUAAAUCUCACGGGAUCAACUCUUUACCUCUAGACCGAAGGUGUGACACCCAGACCCAAUUAGUGCUUAGAACACAUAUCGAAUCUGAGUGAAACUAAAUGCCUGUAAAUCCAAAUCUCCAAAAUAUCAAAAAGUCAUCUACUUUCUCUUUUCAUGUAUUUCACAAAAUUUUGAAAAAUUCAUUUUCAAUCAUAAACUAUGCACAGCUAAAUAUUCAGCAUAUCAGUAUAGAGCAAUACUUCCUCAUAAGCAAAUAAAUCUUACAAUCCUUCUUACAUGAUUUUAAAAAAAUACUAAUAGAAGUCUUCUAGAUACAAACAUAAACAGAAUUCAACUGUUUAAAACUAUGCCAAAACACAAGCUUCAAUCAGUAAUACAUACGACUAAUUAUUAAAAACAUCUAGGCAGAAACCUUACGAAAGCUCAAUCCUUCCGAAGCAUUCUUCAAAUUAAUAAUUGCUACCAUCUGUGAAAAAUAAUUGACAAGGAGUCAGCUGUGAAUUCAAUCAAUAGAAACAUUUGUAACGAACAAAAAUAAUUCUUUGCGCAAUAUUUUCAGAAAAUUCAUUUAACCUUUCAAAUGAAACAGAGUAAUUUUUCUAACGCAGUCAGGAUUUAUAUAAAACACAAACGUUUCAAACAGAAGCUGUGUGGAAUGUAAAUUUUGCUUCUUUAAACAGAAAGUUAUAUAUUAGUUUGAUUUUAAAGGGAGGUUAUUGGGAAGUUAAAAUUGGCAGUUGUGGGAAAAGGGUAAUAGCAGUUAUAAAAUCUCUUUUAAAGCAAAUUCAAAUCAAGUUUCAAAUUUUAGGAGUACUUAAUUCAAUAAAAUAAGGAAUAAAUAAAGCUUUCAUUGAAACAAAACUAAGUAAAUUCAUUUAAAGCAAAAAAGGAUGGGAGCAUUACUAUGGGUUCUUAUGUUUACCCGCAGUCAGGCAUCUGGGACCUUGUUAUUUGGAGACAAGACUUGAUUGUGCCAUGUUUUCCACAGCCAGAUAUAUUUUACUUCAUUAGUUCCUAGACAUCUGUGGAUAAGAGAACCCUAAGCAUAUUGAGAAUAAAUUCCGUAAUCCAAGACUCUUCAGUUCUUUCAUUUGUGGCUAAUUAGUUAUAAAAUUUGUGAAUUUCAUGCCCCAUGCUCCUUGCAAAAUGUAUUUUAUAUCCUUAAGAUGCCAGUGGAUGAACUGAAAUAAUAAAAAAUGGAAGACAGAUUUAAUGCCGACAACAUUUCUUAAGAAAAACUUGGGAUGUUUAUAAUUUUCUUAGAGCAUUUGCUGAACUUUCUGUGAUCGCAGUCGAGACGGGUCAACGCUACUUCCCUCAUUGCUCAGAAGUGGUUGAUCACUUUAUGGAUUGGCCCUAUGCUUCCACCCCAAAAAUGGACGACGAGAAACUUAAAGUAGACGUGCAGGAGGCAUUCUGCAAGGACGUGGCUUAUCACCGUCGUAUAGGGCUGCCAUCAUCCUGGCCGGCAUUUUACCAGUACAUGGCUGAGGGCAAUCAGUCGGCAUUUUACAAGUACGUGGCUGAGAGCAAUCGUUCAGGAAUGGCGACAUCCUCGGCAGCGAGCAAUUAAGCAUCACCUUUCCCUAAAAGUUAUAUUUGACACCUGGAAAACUAAAGGAGUUGAGUGAGCUCUGCUCGAUUGGUAUUUGUAGUUUCUUUUUUUUUUCCUCAAGUGAUCUGGCAUGUAUCAAUUAGUUUGUAAAGUUAAUUGUAUUGUCUCAAGUCCGGUGAGAUGCGCGAACGUAUAGCAUGGAUCACAAACUAAUUGUAUUGUCUCAAGUGAUCACAAAAAGAAUUGUAUUACAAUUGGUAUGAGGCAUGCAUGUGUGUGUCAUAUCAGUUGCUGAACAAACUUUGCCUUUUAGUUUUGUAGGCACUACCAUCUCAAAUUCUCUGUUAUCAUGAAUGAGUAUUUUUUUUUUCUUUUUUUUCUUUUUAACAAAUCAUAAAUGAGAUUAAGAUAAUCUUUUUUUUAAAAAAAAAAAAAAUAGAGAUUUCUUUUAUUUUUCCUUAAAAAACUGAAGAAAAAUUUAGAAGGUAGUGAGAGACGGAGAAUUAAAGAAAUUUUAUUCACAAAUGUAAUGUGUUUGGUGCAGCAAUACAAACUAAUAAAUUAUAAUUUAUGAGACUAGUUUGCAAAAUCUUAUAUAUAAAAUUAUAUCAUCUGAAUAAAAAUCUUCUCACCUCUUUUGACUUCUCAUUUAGAUGUCCUCUCUAGAAUCUCUCUGGCCAUAAACACAUUUUUACAAAACAAAACAGAAGAAAUUAUAUAUAAUUCUCACAAAGACUAUUUCAUUUGCACAUAGUACGCAAUUGGUCACUAAAGUUAUUUGAGGAGAAAAUUUACAUGAGAUGGGUACAUCCUAUUAUCAGUAUUGUAAUUUAAAUUUGAACAUACUAGAAUGGUCUCUCAUAAAUUUUUCUCCAAUUUGAGAGAUGGUGGGGAAGUGGGGUUAAAGUGCAUCUGCAUAGAAUUAAUUAUAAUUAUAUUUAUUUUUUAAAACUAUUUUAACUAGAAGUAGUAGUAAUUCUUUUUAUUAUUGUUAUUCCAAUUAUAUCAAAAUCUCGUGACUCGUGAUCAAAUUAAGUAGUUCAUUAAAUUUUUUUAGGUGACGUACGGUAUGGAGUUUUUAUAAAUCUAUAUAAAUAGUAAAAUAUUUAAUUUUGUUUGUCGUAAACUUUUAAUUUGCAUGGGUUAAAAAAGAAAAAAAGAAAUUGACUUAUUAAUUAAUUAACAAUUAUAGAAAGAAUAAAAAGCAAAUUAGAGUUGCGUGAGAAAACUCUCGUGAAAAGGGUUCCAGAUUUCCUUUCCCUGGCUUCGUGCGUUUCCUGUUUGCCCUUUCGAGCACAAUUCGAAUCCAAUACUUAAUAAUAAAGAUAUAAUAUUAAAAAAUACGAAAAAGAAUCCAAAUUUUUACUGGUAUAUAAGGCAGAGCCAGUUAGAAUUCACAAACCUUAAGCAUACAAUCUGUUUGGCUAGCAGGAAAGUGACGAAGGAAGAAAGAAAAAUAAACUGAAUAAGAGAAUUUUAUUAAUCUCGAAUCACACCCUUACAUUCAAGCUUUCAUCAACUUAUAUUGCUGAUUAACAGAAGUAACAACCUCUGUAACAGCUGUCAAAUAACUAUUGGUUAAGCUAAGCUAAACAAUAACAAUCUAACUAAUUUGUCCAGCUCAGCUAUCCAGCUCAUCAAUCCUAGUCAAGUGAAUCUCAGCCAUUGAUCUGCUGCUGUUGAUUAAGCAUCUCAACACCCCUUCUCAAGCUUAAUGGUCGUGGAACAACAUUAAGCUUGUCUCUAUAGUAAUUAAAAAAAGAGUAAGCCAUAGGCUUUGUAAGCACAUCUGCAAUAUUCCACUCACUUGGUACAUACUUGAUCUCCACUUGUUUGCCCGUUACCUUUUCCCUUAUGAAAUGCACAUCCAACUCUAUGUGCUUGGUUUUGGCAUGAUAUACUGGAUUUGUUGCUAGUGCAGCUGCACCAUUGUUGUCACACCAGAUUAUUGGUAUUUGGCUACACUUCAGUUUAAGCUCUCCAAGUAAAGCUUGAAUCCAAACAAUUUCUGCACAAGCUGUUGACAAUGCUCUAUACUCUGACUCUGUGCUAGACCUUGCUACAGUUUGUUGCUUCUUGGAGGACCAUGAAACCAGAUUCUGCCCAAGAUAUACACAAUAUGCUCCAACUGACUUUCUGUCAUCCACAUCACACGCCCAAUCUGCAUCUGUAUAUGCUGUCAGACUAAUUCCAUCUCCUGCUUUAAACAUCAAUCCAUAAUCUUCAGUUGCCUUUAAGUAUCUUAGAAUUUUCUUACAAGCAACCCAGUGUUUCUCAGUUGGUGCAGCAAGAAAUUGGCUCAACUUAUUAACUGAAAAGGCAAGUUCUGGUCUUGUAAGUACCAAAUACUGUAAAGCACCUAUUAUGCUUUUAUACUCAGUGACAUUAACAAUCAAGUUAUCAUCAUUCCCUGCUCUUCUUAGUUUCUGUCCUGUACUCAUUGGAGUAUCACUUUCUCUGCAAUUUUCCAUAUCAGUUCUUGUAAGCAAAUCUCUUACAUAUUUUGCCUGUGAAAGAUGUAAGCUACCCUUUGCAUCAUGUGUAACCUCAAUACCAAGGAAGUAACUGAACUCACCAAGAUCUUUUAAAGCAAAGGUAUCUCCAAGGUAUUGGAUAAAUGUUUCAAUUACUGUAUUGUUAUCACCAGUAAUUAAUAUAUCAUCUACAUAUACUAACACAGCCACAAUACCUCCAAGUUCAUGUUUGAUGAACAAAGAUGAGUCUGCUUUGGAGUUCUGAAACCCCCACUGCAACAGUGCUUUCCUUAGCCUGUCAAACCAGGCUCUGGGAGCCUGUUUCAAACCGUAAAGAGCCUUAUGCAACUGACAAACAUGACCAGAUGGAGACUGAACAAAACCCUCAGGUUGAAACAUGUAGACAUCUUCAUUGAGCUCUCCAUUAAGGAAAGCAUUGUUGAUGUCGAUUUGUCUUAUUUUCCAGCCCUUCAUCACAGCAAGACUAAGGAUAAUUCUCACAGUUGACUGUUUAACUACUGGACUAAAGGUCUCAAAGUAGUCAAUACCAGCUGUUUGAUGAAACCCUUUUGCCACCAGCCGUGCUUUAUACUUAGAAACAGAACCAUCUGCAUUAUACUUAAUGCGAAAAACCCAUUUACACCCAACAAUUUUAGUAGCUUGAGAAGGUGGUACAAGAAUCCAAGUCUUAUUUUCCAUAAGUGCAUUAUACUCUGCCUGCAUGGCUGCUUUCCAUUUGGAAUCUGAAAGAGCUUGAGAAACUGUGGCAGGCUCUUGUUCUCCAAGAACAGAGGAAUAGGCAUGAAAUUUUGGCUUAAAUACACCUGCUUUGGCUCUUGUAAUCAUUGGGUGAUUUGGCAGUGAAACUUGAGUAGAGGAUGGUUGUUGAUUUGAAGUAUUUUGGGAUACAUAAGGAGAGGUGUGGGAGGGUGGAUGAUUUGAUUGAGAUGGUUGAAAUGGUUGAGAAGAAGGUGAUAAAGAACUAGAUGAGGAGGAAGAAGCUGAAGCUGCAGACAACUGAAAUGGUUGUAUAAUGGUGUUACUUGAGCCUGAAGGGUCAUGAAGUGGAACUGACACUGAAGAUACCUUAAACAUAGGAUAUCUAUAUUCAGAAGCAGAGGAAGAAGGUUGUUUAGAGAAAAGAGAGUCAGUAGAGAAAGGAAAUUCUGACUCAUUAAACACAACAUGCCUAGCAACAUAUACAACACCUUUUGAGCUUAGGCAUUUAUACCCUUUGUGAUCUGAGCUAUAACCAAUAAACAAACAUUUUGUAGUGUGAUAGUUGAAUUUGUGUUUGUUAUAGAAUCUCAGGUAUGGAAAACAGGAGCAGCCAAAAAACUUUAGAAAAUCAUAGUCAGGCUUGUGUUUGAAAAGAAUCUCAUAGGGAGAUUUAUUUGAUGGUAGAACAGAAGUUGGCAAUCGAUUGAUAAGAAAAGCAGAAGUUGAGAAUGCUUCCCACCAGAAACUGAGAGGUAAUUUAGCUUGUGCAAGAAGAGUCAAACCCAUCUCAACAAGAUGUCUAUGUUUCCUCUCUACUGUCCCAUUCUGGUGAUGUGUGUGAGGACAUGGAUGUCUGAAUAAAAUGCCAUGUUUUUGAAGAUAAGGCACAAAGGAUCUGAAUUCACCCUCCCAAUCUGACUGUAGGACCUUAAUGACUGUUUCAAAUUGUUUUUCAACUUGAGUUCGAAAAAUGGCAAAAACAGAUAAAGCUUGAGACUUGGUUUUCAAAGGAUAAACCCAGGCAUAUCUACUAUAAUCAUCAAUGAAACUGAUAUAGUAUCUAUAACCAUUGAGAGAAGUAAUGGGUGCUGGACCCCAUAAGUCAGUAUGGAUGAGUUCUAGAGGUGAGGUUGUUUUGUGUUCAGUUGCUCCAAAAUGCAGUUUAUGAACUUUGCCAUAUUGGCAGGCAUCACAAAAAUCAGGAAUUUGAAUUUUAUUGCUUAACUGCAAAUGUUUACAACUGGUGAGUACUUGUUUCAAGACUUUUGAACUAGGAUGACCAAGUUGCCUAUGUAGGAUAUUUAUUGAAGCACUGGAAACUCUACUGGAAUGAGACAACAGACACUGUUGAGAGGAGUGCUGAACAACUUUAGCUUGAAUAUUUGAAAAAGAACAAGACUGCAAACCAUCUGAGCAAUGUGACACCAUAGACAUAGGAACAAAACAUGACUCUUUAUUUACAGUUGAAAAUAAAGCUUGAUGAGUUUUACUUCCAGGCUCAAGUUUCAGCUUAUACAGACCCUUCAUAGCUACACCCUCCAGCAAAACUGUCCUCUUCUUCUUGUCCUUGAGAAAGCAAGUAUUUCCACAAAAUUCAAUGAUCAAGGAAUUAUCAGAAGUAAGCUUAGAAAUGCUUAAAAGAUUUUUAGUGAUGUGUGGCACAAAUAAAAGAUUUUUGAGCAAUAAUCUAUGAUUUCCAACUGCUAAAUAAGUGCUUCCUAUAUGAGAAAUAGUAAGGCCAUGUCCAUUACCAAUUAAAAGCUUUUCAUUACCUUCAUAAGGCUCACUGAUGCUGAGAUUAUUGAGAUCAUUGGUUAGGUGGUGAGUUGCUCCACUAUCCAGGUACCAGUCAUCAUCCAUUACUGCUUCUGGUGUUGCCAUAUAAGCUGACAUAUUUCUUUGAUUGUAGCCUUGAUUAAAAACUUGAUUUUGAUGUGGAUACCUUGUGACUGGAAUGAAAUCCUUGUUGAACCUAUCCUUGCAGGUAGCAGCAGUGUGUCCUAUAAUGAAGCACACUUGGUAUCUAGGUUGAUAUGGCUGUGAAAAAUGACCAGGCACAUGACUAGGCAUUUGAGUUCUCCCACCUUGAUUCCAAGAUCUUCCUCCAUGCAUGUUAUUUCCUCUUCCACCUUUCCUUCCUCGAUAGAAAUUUCCACCUUGAUUCCCUCUAAAAUUUCCUUGCAUCAUGUAUCCAGAAUUUUCAGAUCUUGAUGCAUUUUGAUUGAAACUAGAUCUUGAGUUGUAUGUUCCAAAACCUUUCUUAUUAUUGUUCCCUUUCUUAACAAAAUUUGCAGCAAACGCCAUAUUUGCAUCCAUAGUUUCAGCUAAAGCUUGUUGUUCUAACAUUCCCUCAUGUGUCAUUAACAUAGAGAGUGAUUCUGAUAAAUCGAGAUCUAAUCCUCUUCCUGUGAUCAAAACUGCUACAGGAUUGAAUUCUGAACCAAUUCCUCCUAACACACUCAUCAUAAAGUCAUAGUCACUCAUUGGUGCUCCUGCUGCUGCCAUGUUAUCUGCUAUGCCUUUCAUUUUGUGAAAAUAGUCAUAAACACUCAAAUCGUUCUUCUUUGUCAACAUCAUUUGAUUCUUCAGUUGCAAUGCUCUGGUUUUGUUUUGUGAGCCAGAAAGUUUUUCCAGAGCUUUCCAAACUUCAAAGGAAGUUUUGUAUCCGAGAACAAUUCCGAGAACACUCUCAGUCAUGGAAGAGAGUAGCCAACCUAGCAACUGCUGAUCAGUUCGCUUCCACAUCACAAACUCAGAGUUCGGAAUCCUCUGAUCUGUGCAUGGUGCUGUGAUUGAACCAUCAAUAUAUCCUUCUAAUCCAUUUCCCUGAAUGGAUGCCAAUACUUGCAUUUUCCAGAUCAAAUAAUUUGAUCUGUCGAGCUUAAUUGGUGUAGGAAAGGUAUAGGAAACAGUUGUGGUUUGAUUUAAGCUUGAUGAUGCCAUCUGGCUCUGAUACCAAGUUAGAAUUCACAAACCUUAAGCAUACAAUCUGUUUGGCUAGCAGGAAAGUGACGAAGGAAGAAAGAAAAAUAAACUGAAUAAGAGAAUUUUAUUAAUCUCGAAUCACACCCUUACAUUCAAGCUUUCAUCAACUUAUAUUGCUGAUUAAUAGAAGUAACAACCUCUGUAACAGCUGUCAAAUAACUAUUGGUUAAGCUAAGCUAAACAAUAACAAUCUAACUAAUUUGUCCAGCUCAGCUAUCCAGCUCAUCAAUCCUGGUCAAGUGAAUCUCAGCCAUUGAUCUGCUGCUGUUGAUUAAGCAUCUCAAAAGAGCCAAAGCGAUAGCGAAACAUCAAAUUGUUUUUAUUUCAACCUUCGCGCAACUUCCGGUGACAUAAUUUUUCUCUGUUUCAGGUACAUACCCAACACUAAACUUUGCAUGUAUCAUUCUUGUACUUUUGUUAUUCUUUUCUUUUCUUUUCUUUUCUCUUUUGCUGUAAUUUUUUAUGAAGCACUCUGUUUCAGUUCUGUUUCUGGUUUUGUUUCGGUUUAAUAUUAUUGGUUCGGUUCUGUUCUGCUCUGUUCUACGUCGUAUGUAUAUAUGUAUAUAUUUUUGGCCUCGAAUUGCUUUCAUCACCGGUUUUGUUAUUCAUUUAUCGUGAAAUUUAGAUGACUUGUUCGGCCAUGUUAUAUUCAGCUACCAUCUUCAUGGUGGGUUUGUAAGAUAGUCUCUGACUAACACAUGGCAUUGAUUAUGAAUGAUGGUUUUGUGAGAUACAUCAUACAGACGUUAACUCGUGUUAAUUUGUACUUACAUCAUUCAAAAGAUUACUGUUUUUCUCUCUUUUUUUUUUAAAAAAAAAAAAAAUUGAAAUGCCCCUUUUCGCAUUUUAUAGAUGAAAGGAAGAAACAUAAUAUCGCAGAACUAGAAUAAAGGAGCCUAUUCUGGUACCUAUUGUCCGAGGAACCUUCUGUAUAUUCGGUAGGAACUACCAUGGGAAGUCAAAUCUUACCAGAGCCAGGCGGAGUCGUUGCUGAAGGAAUAUAUAUUAGCAGAUCCAUUUGUCCCGUACACUUCAAUUGUUGGUAGCAUUUUUGCUUGCACGAUGGUAUGUUUGUCAUCGUUACUGCGUGGUGGUAUAUACUAGAAAAUAUUUUGAAUGCAUAGUUUUUAUUUAAUUAGUUAUAAAUUUUAUACCCUCUGUUUUCCAUAAGAAUGUGUUCCUUUUCAGGUCUAUGAUCUUGCCCAAUUGAUUAGUGUGCUGUUCACUUUAAAUCUGAUUCCAGUUUCUCCAACAUACAGCGGGUCGAGUGGAGUUUAAUCAUUUUUCUUAAAUCGACAACUUAUGCAGGGCCAUAUCAACUGUCCAUGACAUUUUUAUUACAACAAUGUCUUUGUACUUUGUGUUUUGGUCGGAUCUCAGAGUUUGUGCAUAGCACACUUGGUUCUACUGUUUGUUUGUCCCUUCAUAGACAUUUUGAUAAACUGUUAUUUUUGUUCUUUGGAAGUGAAUAUUUUCAGCAACUAGAACUCCGAAGCAUCUGGAGUGAUCCAUUUUGUCAUUCUCAAUACCUAUAAAAGAAUGUCAUAGAAAACAGUUUCCAAAGCAAGUUGCAUGUGUUUUGAAUUUGUCUUUGCAAGCCACUAAUUGCUUGGAGCACACUGUUAACCUGUCGCGAUCCCAUCCACUUUUUUGGAUAGACAAUUGUGCAUCCAUAUGAUCUGGACUAAACUAGUUUCUAAUAAAUAAUUGCCCAAGGAUUUAGUCUCAGUGUUACAGCCCAGUCUUUGUUGUCAAUACUCUUUCCCCUGUCGUGGAUGAGCGCCAUAACAGCUUCUUAAUGUUUUGCAGUGGCUUUUGCACGGUUGUUGUUUCCUUCUGAAGCUAGAGUAGCUACGGAUAGAGCGGAUGCAGAUGCCACCAAUUUUUAUACUGGCCUUUCAGCAUCAAAAUCAAAAGGAUCAAGUGGGAACUUAAAGGAGGUUGAUUUGAAUGAAACACCCUCUAUGCAAGCCAAGAGACUCCAAUUAAGAUUGCAAGCUCUGCUUAAAACAAGUAUUCAUAUACCUUAUUAGUUUUUGUACCUUUACAAUUUGUGAUUUUUGUAUCAAAAGAGAGGUUAAUUUUUAGUGCAUUUACUGAACUUUCUAUGAUUGCAGUGGAGACAGGUCGACGCUACUUCCCUCGUUGCUCAGAAAUGGUUGAUAAAUUUUAGGAUUGUGAUUGGUCCGAUGCUUCCUUCCUAGAAAAGGGUACUCCUGAAGAGCAGAGACUCAAAAGGGCACGCUUCAUGGAACUUAAAGAAGGCGUGAAGAAGGCAUUUUACAAAGACAUGGCUGAGAAAAUAUGGCUCAGGUUUGUAGUCAUCCUCGUCGUCGUCAUCUUCUCCCAAGGAAGGAGUAAAGUGUAAGGGUAGGAAAAGGUGAUGCUUAGCUGCUUGUCUUUGUUAUUCAUUUAUAGGCAACUAAAAGAGUUUUAGUGAGUUGGAUUGUUACGUUGUACAGAGAUACUCUUAGAGCCUAUGUUAUGGCUUAUGUUGUAUAAUAGCAGAGGAACUUCAAGCUUGCGUUGUUGUAUUUUCCCUGGUAUUUGGCAUGUAAUGCACUAAAUGACAAAGAAUUUUCUAAUUUUAGAGGGAAAAGUUAUGUCAGUUAAUUAUUUAUUUAUUUUGUCUGUUUAAUUCAGUUUAUAAUAUAGCUUUUUUUUUUUCUUUCCAAAAAAAUCUUCAUUUCUUCAUCUGCAAUUUAAGUCAUUUGUAACUUCUUUCAGGGAGGAGAGAGAGAAAAAAAGAAAAAGAAAAAGAAAAAGAAAAGAGUUUAUUUUACAGUACUGAUUUUCCUACAGAAAUUGGUUAAGGUGACAUUAAUGUUCUUUGAGGUGGACGGAUAUGCAGAUUUUUCGUCGAAAUUGAAAUUAGAAAUGGAUGGAUAUGCAGAAUUUUUUAAUAGAAUUUUUAUACAAAAAUUUGUAGCUCAUUACUCUCUAAAAGGAAAAAAUAAAUUUUUGAUGGUAAAUAUUAAAUUUUAAAUUUAUAAUAUAAUAACUUUGUGAGUUAAGGUGCACAAUACCCAUAUAUUAAUAAUUAAGAAAAGAAAAAAAAAUUAAAAUUUGUAAAUUACCAAUUUUUUCUUGAAAUUUGAUAUUCUAUAUUAACGUAGGUGUUGCAUGGACUGGGUUAGUACAAUUGAAAGAAACUAACUAAAGUAAAACAAAAUAUCAUUAAAAAUAUGGCAAGCUUCUCGUAUUUUUUAAGUGAAAAAGAGAAGAAAACUAAAAUUAAUUAUUGUUAUACCCAAAUUCUAGUGCUUGAAGGCCGCUGGAAUUGACCAUUGCAGUUUUGUCAUCCUCAUUAUUCACCGGCCAUCGUGGCCUUCCUCCAUUAAAAAAAUAAAUGACCAUUUUUUUGGACCACGACAUAUUAAAAAUAGUAUUGAUUAAUACUAAUAAAUCUCUUUUUUGAUUAUUUUGCAGUGCGAUAGUCCAGUGAGGGCAGUGCCCAUCGUAGCACUUCAACAUGUGGUAAAUUUCUGCCAAUCUUUGUAAAAUAAUUUUUAAAUUAUGUAUUAACCAGAUAGCUCAAUGAAAACUAUCGUUCACUAAAUCAUUACUUUAUUUUGUAUAUAUUUAUGGUAAUUGUUGAAAAGAAAAAUGUAAAGUGAGAUUAAUGAACGUUUAUGAAUGUGGAAAUUAACACAACCAGGAUUUAUGAUAAAAUAAUUUUAAGUCAAAUGAGCAUAAAUUUGUAUAAAUAUUUUUUGAAUUGUCAUAUAUAUACAAGUUUGUCACUAAUAGUAAACUUAAUUAUGAAUAUUUUAAUAAUUCAAAAUUUUAUUUAACAAUUGGUGUUUAUAGUGUUUUUCAUAAUACAAAAUUGUAAACAGUCUCAUCCUGAAUAGUAUAAUGCCAAACCUUUUCAAAAAUUUAUUCUAUUAUAGUCGUCUUAGUCAAUUAUAUUUAUUUUCAAAUUGAAGAUAAAAAUAGUACUUCAUAUAUCAUACAUUACUUAUAGUUUUUUUUUUUCAAUCAAAUUACGACUAAAAUUGAAAAAUUUACCAAUGGCUAUAUACAAAGUCUGAUUCUCAUGAGCUUAAAAGAUGGGCUUUGAAUGAUGUAUGGUACUCAAAACUCUACUUUUAUUAAUAUGAUUGCCCUGCUUCCUUCAUGACGGGUAAUUUUUAGUUUCUUCCCCUGAAGUUUGGCGUAUCUCCAUUUUAAUAGGAAGUAUUAGCGUAUCUCCCACUUUUCUCCCCUACCGUUUGUAUACCGUUUCAUAUUGUUAAUGGACGAAGCUACAAGUCUUCUCUUUCAUCAAAUCGAUCCAUAACAAAUACGAGUCUGCUUCACCUAACCAAAACACACGCAUACUCCAUCUCUAAAUGCUUUGAAGAUAAACAAAUCAACGGUAAUCCUGCAACUUUAGCUCAGAGAAUCGGAUAAGAAAAGAACAGGUGAUGAAUCAAGGGUAAUGGCGCCGAGUGAGUGUCGCCUGCGGUCGGCGUUAGAGGCGACUGUCACUCAAUCGCGUACAAGGUUAGUCUUUGAAAAAACUCUUUGCACGUUAGAAAUCAGUGAUUGGGCAUUAUUUUGUUAUUUAAAAAUGAAAAUGGGUUUAUUAGUUUGUCGAAGAAUCUGCUCUGUUGCCGGUGUUGUUUGUUGAUUAAAAUGAAAAUGGGUUUGUUGAUGUGUUGAAGAAGUUGCUCUACUGCUGGUGUUUUUUUAUUAAUUAAAAUGAAAAUGGGUUUGUUAAUUUAUUGAAGCAGCUGCUGGCAUUGUUAUUGCGACUUUAUUUAUCCAAUUGAUGAGCUUAUGAGCUAAUAGUAUUGUUUGAUCAAGCUUGUGUUCUUAAUAGUGGAGUUGAUAUUCUUAAAAAUGAAUUUAUGAUUAUGAGAAUAUGAAAAUUGAAUGGCAUCGUAGAGAUCUAGAUUAAUCACCAUCGUAUAUGUUUCUAAAUAAAGGAAUAAGCAGCAAUCUGAUUUGAAAGUUAAGACUUUAGGGAUAUGUAUGUGCAACUGAAUGAAUCAUCAGUUGCUAUCUUGUAAGUCAAUACUAGCAUAUUACUUAAUGGCAAGUGAAGCUAUUUUAUGUGUAUUGCUGCCUAUCAAAAUGUUUAUGUUUGAAGUUAUCUCCUUUUAGGAAAUUGAAUGCUUCUGUGAGUUCUCUGGUAAGGGCUAUACAACUAGCUCUAAUAGAUUCCUUCAUGUGCAUUAAUUAGCUUAGUAGUUUAUUGACCUAUAUCCAAUGUCUAUUCUUCUUUUCUGUAGCCGUCUAGUUUUAUGAGUGUGUGAAGUGAACUUUUGUUUUAUGUUUCAGGACUUGGGAUUAGAGUGUAUAACAUUCAAUAUCUUUUUAUCAAAGAACUGAUAUAUGUCAAUGUAGUGCGAUCUGGUCUUUAUUAGCUUCUUGAUUUGCCAGGAUGUUUGACAACCAUCUUUGACCAUGAUUGCCAACAUAUAAGCUGCUACAUAGUGUCUCAGGAAUCACAGCAAAUUAUUAUCAUAAUAUGGUGAUUUUGAAUCCAAAACUUGGUAGUGUCAAGAAAAUAGACCCAUGUUUAUUUAUCUUCAUGUUUUGUAUGCGGCUGCAAUAGACUAUUAUAAGUUACUUUUAGUUUUAUCAAGUUUUUUUUUCCUUAAAUUUCAUCGAGUCUUGGAGUCUUUGUAAUAUAGAGUCUAAGUGAAGAAUACUUGGGUGAAAUCUUGUAUUCUCUCUUCCAGUAAUAUAAUCAUCCUUUGUGUUUUUAUCUUUUUAUUUUGGUAUCAGAGCAUACUUUAUUAUAGAAGGACUUAGACUCUAUAUUACAAAGACUCAGCGGUUUCUUUUAACUGAGUUAAUAGUGUUGUUAUGUUAAACUAAGUUUGGCUUCAUAAGAUUCAUAGUAGAGUGUAGAACUGGGUACAAUUUUGGGUUAGACAAGUCAAAAGUCUUCUCAAGUAAUUGUUCUGCUUACUGAUUUGGUAAUUGCAACAUUGCUAAAUAGUUCAAUUUGUCCUUUUAUCUUGUUGAAUUUAUUGUAUGUCAUAUUACUUCAUUUAAUUAUUUUCUCAGAUCUUGUAGGUGAAAAUUUCAGCUUCAAAGGCCAAGCUAAUCAUCCAGCAAUUCAGUGAAACCAAGACACAGUGGCUCAUAAAUUGUUGUUGGUGAUCCAGCCAUUCGGGUGCUUGCCAGUCCUAGAUGAGAGAACUUUCAACGCGGCGCAUAAAUUGUUGUUGAUCUGUUUUAUAUAUUUUGACCUUUGUGAUUUGUGAAUACAUGGUUUGAUUCCAGUGUUUACAACUUUGAUACUGUGUAUAACUUGAGAAGCAAAUGAAACAAAUAGGAAAUGUGUUUUUAUUUUUUUUAUUCUAUCUAUCUAUUUAUUUUUUUGUUUCGAAAUGUAACAAUUUAUAGCUGGCAAAGUACUAGAGUUGUAUACUUGUAUUUAAUUCAUUAUUAUUAUUUUUUUAAUGACUCAGUAACGUCAUUGUCC